GUCUUUUAAACAUGUCAUACAUAUGUAAUUACAAACAACCAUAUUUAAAUCCAAAUAUGGGAUGACUUCUUAAAAUGUCAUUAUAUAAUUCUCAUAGGUAAUCAUACAACGAAAUUCUCCUCCUCUUAUCGCUCGUAAAAAUUGAAGAAAGUAACUAGAAUGUUUUAAUUACGUUCAAUUCAGUAAGAAACACUAAUUACAAUAAUUAUUUAAAUAUGUCACACAUAUUUAGGUAAAAGUAUUAUAGAGAUCUUUGUACUAGGAGUUAGAUUGCAUUUUAUACCAUUUACUCAAAAAAUAAGCAAAUUAGUCUUUAUAUGUUAGAUCAAAGAGCUAACUGGUCCUUUUUGUUACAAAUUUUAUCAAUUUCUACUAUUAAAAACUGGCAUGGCUGACGAAAUAAUCGAAUAGUUAUACUUGGCAUACCACGUGUACUUAUGCUGACAUACAUGGACCGAUUUUUAAUAGUAAAAAUGGAUGAAAUUUUUAACUGAAAAACUAAUUUGCUCGUUAGUUUGAUGUAUAAUUUACUUUUUUUUUAAAGUAGAAAAACAAAUUACAAUGCCACUUUUAAUACAACGACUUCUAUAAUACUUUUACCAUAUAUUUAAUUUACAAAUAUAAUUACAUUCAAAUUUAAUCACGGAAUCACUUUUCAAACAUACACUUAGUGUGAUUAUGUAGUUAGAAUUAGGUGGACGAAAAAGGCAACUCUAAUAUUCUCAAGAUGAUGCCAACGGAUAUAUAUCGACAAUGAUUGGACCAUAAGCAUCAAAUAGCAUCAAGGACCAUGCCCUUAGUGUGAUUAUGUUCUAUUAGUAGUGAUUGUACCAUGGAGAAUCUAAAAGCUAUGGUGCUCCACAAUCAAAGAACCCCAACAAUUUUAGUGCAACACAACAUAAUUGAUCAAAAGACCCUCAUAUUCCAUUCCAACUAUUACCAUUACCACCCAACAUUGUUCUCUAUAUUUUCAACAAACACAAAUAUUCCUUUCGUGUUGCGAACGAAAAUGUGAUAGUAAUUUUUUUAGGGUAAACUGAGAUAGAAAUGAUAGUUCAGAUAUCAAAAUAAGAUAAAUAAAAUAAAAUAAAGAUCAAAUUAUAACUUAAACCUAUUGAUAAAGUAGAAUGGAUUGUAAAAUCAGGUUGGGUGAAUUUGAAAAUUAUCAAAAAAUUUAUACAAACAAAUUUCGUAUAAAAAAUUUGAAGACAAAUUAAAAUUUUUAUAUGUUAUUCUUCUUUUAAAAGUCUUCACAACUUUAGGUUAAAGAGAGAAAAAGAAAAAGAAAAACAAAAUCGAAACUAAAAGUGAGAAAUCACAAACUUUGAAUUUUGUUCAUUUCUUUUCAUUUUUCCAAGAUUCUUUUUUUUUAAGUUUGAAAUUGUUUUCAAAUAUAUAAAAUUUUAGGAAGUUGUUUUCCUUUUUUUUCUCUCUUUUUUGAAAGAUUCCAAAAUAUUUUUUAAUAUAAAAAAUGGCUUUAAGAAUAAUUUCUCAUAAUAUUAUCGCAUUACUUAUAAAUUAGAAUUUUGGAUGAUAAUUUUCCUUAUAUUUUUUACUUUUAAAUUGACUUAAAACGAGCUGUUAUCACCCUUGUUGAUACACGGUAUUAACAGAAGAAGCCCCCCUCUUAAACAGAGUGUCUAAGGUUACUUGAAUCAUAGGUAUUUUGAGUUGGAUAAACGGAUUGAAUUUCGGGACAGAUUAUUAUAUAUUUUAUUAUAAUUGUAUAACAACCCUUAAUCAAUAUCUUUAUUUAUUAAGAUAUAUUAUAAAAUAUUUCAACAUGAUUAUUAAUAGGACAUGUGUCAAGUUGAUAAAAUUUCAAAACUUCACAAAUUAAAAUAAACGAGGCGGACAUAAAUGUUAACAAUAUUAAUUCUAAGAGUUCCAAACUGAAAAAAUAGGAAAAUGUAAUUUUUAAUUUUUUAAAUUACAAAAUUAAAUUUCAAACUUUUCCUAGUAAAUUUAUAACAAUUCACUAAUGUAAGUCGACGCAAAUUGUGUAAAAAGAAUUAAUGUAUGGAAAAAAAUAAGGCAUAAUGUCAAAUUUAGUCCUCAAUGUUUAUAUUCAUUGUCAAUUUAGCUAUUAUUCUUUUUUUUAAAAGUAAAUUUGACCCUUAACCUUUUAAAAAAAAUCAAUUUGACCAUAAACCUUUCAAAAAGAGUUAAAUUGUUGAUGUUUUUAAUAGAAAUAUUUUCAAAAAGAGUUAAAUUGUUGUUGUUUUUAAUAGAAUUAUUGACUAAAACGUUAAUUUUUUAAACAUGGUAGCUCGAAUGACAAUCCACAUGUAUUUCACGUUGCUUUUUAUGAACUUUUUGUAUUUUUUUAAAUUUUAAAUAUUUUUAUUUUUAUAUUUUUAAAAUUAUUUGUUGACAUGACAUAUAAAAGACAAAUAAUGAUAUGUCAACAUAAAAGUACAUGUGGAGUGCCAUGCGGGUUGCCACACCCACAUCCUCAACAUUUUCGUUAAAAAAAUAAUUUGACUCUUUUUUUGAAAGUUGAGAGUCAAAUUUAACUAAAAAAAAUAACAAUGGUCAAAUUAACAAUAAAUGCAAACGUUGAGGACUUGAGGGUUAAAAAAUUCAACGUUCAAUGUAUCAAAUAAUUACACAUUAUAUAUAUAUAUAUAUAUAUAUAUAUCUUUUUAUAUAUUUUAUAUAUUAAAGUUUUUGUGAAUAUAUUAUCUAUUUGUAUUAUGUACGGGCGAAAUUAAAAAUUUUUAACAAGCCAAAUUAAUUUUUGAAAUAUCAAAAUAUAAAUUUUAUUAUGUAUUAAUUUAUAAUUUCAUCAUUUUUUAAAAGAUUAAAUAAAAAAAUUAUUUUGUCAAAGCAUAAUUUUAUUAUGCAUUAAUUUAUAAUUUGAUCAUUUAUAAAAGAUUAAAAUUAUAAUUUUUCAUUUUGAGGACCAAAGCUCCUGUUUGCCCUUGUAUUCGCCCCUCAUUAUACAUACUAAAUAAUUAUAUAUACCUAAAUUAUGUUAAUAAUUAAUUUAUAAAUAUAAAAUAAUAUGAUAUUAAAUCGAAAUCUCAUUAAUAAAAAUAAAAUAAGGUGGAACAGUAUAAAACAUGUGGAGUUACACAUAUAUAUCCAACAUGUAUGAACGUGAAUAUUUUCAACAUCAAUGCAAACAAAAAACAGAAUGGAUAAGACAAGCCAAUAUCCAUAUAACUAUCUCGUUUCGUUACCAUCCUUAUUAAAUGUUAGAAAUAACAUGAAAAAGGUUACAUCGUAACAAUGCGACAUUCAUAACAUAACAUAAAUGGAUGAUUAUGUAAAAAUCUACUUUGAAAUAACCACAAGAAUAAAAGUAAAUCAAAGAGUUUCUACUGUAAAUAACAUAAUAGCAAUAGAAAAAGAGUACAUAAUUUAUUCAUAGUAAUGAAAACCCCAAGUAACCGACAAGGGCUUGAAAUUACACCAGUUUCAUUGGUCAUACACACACACACACAUCAAGAACUUCCAGCAGCCUCAAACAGUUGUUUUACUUUGGUGAUAUAAUCCCCCAUUGCUUCCUCCUUUGAUUUCCCUGUCAAAAUGCCAAAAAACCCAAAGUCAAAUCAUAGUUUUUGUUCAUAUAUUUCGAAACCCUCUGCUAUCUGAUAGUCACAUUAAAGCCCCCAAUUAAAUUCAAAGUCGAAACUGAUUCAAACCCCUAAACAAGAAAUAAAGCUCUUCUAAAGUUGCUUUCUUUCUCCACAAGAUUCCAACACAAUAUUGGUAAAAAUAUUGUGGAGGUCCCCAUUUCUACUAAAAAAGAGCAAAUUAAUCUUUGUAAGUUAAAUAAAAGAACAAACCAAUCAUUUGUAUCAAAAAUUUCAUCCUUAAAAAAUGGUGUGGCUGUGGCUGAUGAAAUAAUCCGACAAUGACACGUGACAUGCCACAUGUACCUCAUGUUAAUGUAUAUAGACCAGUUUUUAAUUAUAGAAAUGGAUGGAAUUUUUUUUAAAAGAAUGACAAAUAUGCCCAUUUUUAAGUAAAAUAGACAAAAUACAAUUCAACUCCUAGUACAGGAGCCUCCAUUGUACUUUUACCCCUACAAUACCUUACUUAAAAGGACAUCGGAUUGAACAACUAGUUAUUACAUACCUUCAACAGCCUUCCAUGCAUCCCACUUGUACUUUUCCCUCAUGUUGAACAUUCCAGGACGGCCUUUUUUAUAGACAAAAAUACAAAACACCAUGAAUCCCUUUACUAUAUAGUGACUAAAAGAAUAUGAUUAAAUGAGUUAUAUAUAUAUAUACUAACUGGUAUUCACUGGUCCAACAGUAGCUUGCUUGUACAGUCCAUAGAGAAUGAGCAUGUCAUCAUUCGAAGGGGCGGCAGGGAGGGUCUUAACUUUCUCGGCAUGCUCCUCGAAUUCCUCCUACAGUCAACAACAAUCAAAGGGAUUAGAUUGAAGUGAAACAAUAACAUACAUGCAGUGAUCUAAUUACGGUUUUAAUCUCUUCAUUAUACUGAAAUUCGAGAUUUAUAAUUAGCAAAUCUGAACUGAUAACACCCUUAGUAGCUGCAGAUCACAUUCAAACAAUAACAAAUUUACAUACACUUAAUAGAAGAGGCUAAAACCAUAACCAUAAUUAGAUCAUAUCUAGUUAGACAUUUGGAUUUAGGGGUUAGUUUAGAAAUUCAAAAAUCCCCAAUUAGACGUAUCAGUAGAUUCAAGUUGAUUGGCGUUAGAUCUGGGAUCCGAUAUCUGUAAUUGUAAUUCAUUCACAAAAAAACUUCCAGAUCUAAAGGUAAUCUACUUCAAUUGACUUCAUAUUAAACCUAAAAUUCCCCCCCCCAAAAAAAAAAAUGCAGAUGCAGUUCUUUGGGGUGAAUGAAUGAAUAGAUAAUCAGAACAUAAAACCAUAAACACAAGUAAACUAAUUAAUUAGAUUAGAUUAGAUUAUGAAUGAAAGUGAAAGGAAAAAGUAAAGAAAAUCAGACCUUCAAACCCAUAAUUUUGUGAGCGAUGGAUUAAAAGAUGGGUGAAACUAUGGGAAAGAGAGAGAGAGAGAACAGCAGCUUCUUGCUUUCAGUGUGUUUCAAUGGAUCCAAACUAGCAUGUUAUUUAUAACUGUAAACCCCUGCCCAUUAACACGUGGUGGGUAGACUUUGAAAUUAAGUGUACUUAUACAAUUUAUUACUAUAAAUUAUCAAGAAGAUGAGGAUUGAAUUCAACUCGAUUGAUAUUGGUAUUGUUAUUAAUGUAAAAAGAUAGAGGUUUAAGUACUUUAAAGUGCAUUAUUCUUUCGUUUAAGAGUUUGGGAGAGACUAUAGAUAAUUCUAAGUAUUCUAAGGGAUGAGGUAACAAAGAUUAGAUUCGUGCCAAACAGCUGUGAAAUUAUUAAUGUGACAAAUUUAUAAAAAAAAACAAUAUUAAAAUUAAACAUGUUCUUAAAUUAAGGUUAAAAUAUGUUGUUUUUGUAUUUUUUAGAAAUUUGAAAUUUAAUUUUUGUAAUUGUAUUUUGAGGAAUGUAGUUCCUUUACUUUUCAAUUUUCAAAAUUUAAAUAUUAUUGUUUCAUUUUAGUUAUAUUUUUUAUCGUAGAAAUAAUUUAUCGAGAUCUUUUUAUUUUUAUCAAUUUACGUACUUGAACCUCUUUUAGAGUAUUAUCAUUAGUUAUUUAUUGAUCUUCUUCAUUAGUACUUGCCUUUAUAAUACAACUAUCUCGAGUGUUUACUCAUUUUCUUUUACUAGCAGUUUUACCUCUGGAACAAACUGGUUUACUAUGCUUUAGGUGAGACCUACUUUCACUUGCACUAGUAAAUUGUCCUACAAGGGCCUUGAUUCGAUUCGGAGUAUUUUCAGUUGGUAUAUAAGAUUAAAAUUAUCUGAUAAUUUAUUUACAGUAUUUUACAAAUGGGCUACCUUUUAAACUUCUAGUUCACAUUGAUUUAGUUAAAGAUUUAUAUGAGAUGAUAAUGAUGCAUUCCCUUUAAUUUCCUUUACCAACUUGUUACUUUUUCCCCACAAAUGUUGGGAACAUUGCUUCAUCAAAACAACAAUCAACUAAUCAUGCUAUAAAUAGGUUUCUUGUCAUUGGUUCAAACUAUUUAACUAUAGAAGGGAUUCGUAGCCAACUUAUAUUUCCAGCUUUCUUUAAGAGCUCGUCUUUGUGCGUUGCAAUGGGACAACUGGAAGAUAUAUUGCACAUUCAAAUAUUAUAAGAUAGGAAAUGUUUAGUUCUUGAUUAAAACUCAAUUGCAAUGGGAAGAAUGUAUGAUAACUUAUUAAUCCGAUGCAUACAAGUACUGCAACAUGUAAAACAGCAUAUCCCCAGGUUGAAACAUAAAGCUUUGUCCUCCUAAGUUAUGGUCUAGCAAUUAAUUGAAGGUGUUUAACGAAUUAUUCUACUAAACCAUUUUGAAUAUGAACAUGGGCAACAAGCCUUUCAAUUAAUAUUCCAAUAGACAUACAAUACUCGUUAAAAGCCUAAGAUACAAACUCACCGGUAUUAUCAAGACAAAAUUGUCUAGAUUGCAUAAAUUUAAUUAUUUGCACAAGUAAUUUCGCAAAUGUCAAGUUACAAGUUUACAAUAAACAUGCAUGGGACCAUCUUGUAAAUGAAUUUAUCAAAACCAGGAAAUACUUAAAUGAUCCACAUGAUAAGUUAAUAGCCCCACAUGUAUAAACUUGAAUGCAUUUCAAAAAUGCAAAUGACUCCAAAUCAAUUUUAACCAAUGUUGGCAUGGUACUUAAUUUACCUUGAAAACAAGCAACAUAUGAAAAAUUUCGAGUUAAAAAAUCUUUUGAUUCUUCAAUGAAUGAUCAUGUGAGUUCUUAAUGAUUUGCUAAAUAAUAAAUAAAUUUGGAUCUGUAAUCUUCUAGUUUAUUGCAACAUGUGUUUCAAUUAUAUUAAUAAUUGUUUGUUAUGAUUUUCAUUUCUAGUCUCAACAUAUUAUCUAUUUCGACGACUUUUUUAAUACGUAGAUAAAAACGAUACAUAUCUCUAAUAAGUUUUUUUCUCCGGAUAAUAAUAUUAUUACUCUUCUAGAGCUUUGAUAUGAUAUUAAUAUUUGCAUCACACGUUAAUGGAGAUGCUUCAACGAGGAUUUACACGGCUAGAAUAUUCAACCUUAUACAAGAAAGGACGACUACUUUUAAGCAAAAUAGUGAUAAUAACAUAUUUAAAGAAAAUUAAAAGGAAAGAGUGAGAAAAAAAAAUAUAGAUGAAUAAGUAAUAUAAUUUUUUUAAAUAAAAAAGACACAAAUUCAAAGAAUUAGCCACAAUAAAAUUGAUGGGAAUCUAUAUUAAUUAUGGCUUAGUGAAUAUCUUCUUCAAAUAAAGAUCGAGUAUGAUCAAAUAGGUCUUCAAAAAUCGAAAAAUUAUUAAGAUUACUAUAAACAAUUUUAGCCAUGAAAUUUGCUAAUUUGUUAUACUCUUACGGGACAUGUUGAAACUUAUGUUACCAGUCUUGCAAUAAACGAAGCUCAGAAAAAUUAUUAUCACCCAUAUAAAUAGAUUGUCACUUUCUGUCACAAUUUUACGAAACUUUCUUUCCAAGAUAAACUGAGUCGUCAGGUACACCGACCUUCAUAGCAAAAUCAAACUGCCAGCCUCCUGUCGAAUCCCGAAGAAUACUACCAAUAGCAGCAUUAAAAUACCGUAACGAGAUUGUCCGAACGGUAUUUAUAACACAAAAAGUAAAAAUAAUAAUAAUAAUAAUAAUAAUAAUAAUAAUAAUAAUAACGAUAAAACUUACAAAAUUAAAGAAAUAAUGAAUAAAUAGUGAUAAUUAAGAAAAGAUGAAGAAAUUACUCAUCUUCAACAAACAUACACAAUAAUUACAUUAUUAUUUAUAACAAAAAUAUUUUUUUUCCUAUUUUUAAGACACAUAUUUCUCUACAUCGAGAUGAGUUGCAGAGAUUAAAGAUAAAUGGCGGAGAAAACAAUGAAGAAUAAAAUACCCAAAAAAAUCAAUGAAGGGUAUAUUUAAUGCAGACAGCUAGAUGUUGGGACUAAUUAAAUUGUAUAAUACUUUAAUGGAUAUCUAUUGAGUGGAUGGCAGCUGCUUAUAAUUUCGAUCCCAUUUCCAUUUAUUUUCUAAUGAAUUUUAAAAAUUAUAAAUUUAUUUUUUUAUUUUUUUAAAUUCUUAAUAUAUUUAUUAUAACAAAUUCAGUAAGUAAUCUUCUGCGUUCUGUAGACCCAUUAAAUGAAUUUUGAUUUAAUAUAUAAUGCUACUUGAAACUUAUGAUUUUGGAUAAUUAUCAAAUUUUAAUUUUGAUUAGUUAAAAGAGAAAAAAAUAUGUAAAAAAUAUAUUUAUCAAACGGUUAUAUUAAUUAGUUCAUGUUUUGAUUACAAUAUUAAUGCAGGAGAAUGUCAGUUCGAAUGCGUUGAAGCACAUUAUCUUCCUAUUUAUGGGUUGAGGAGGGAUUAUAGGUAGUUCUAGAUAUUAUGUCAAAAAUAGCAAAUAUGAUUAGAAUCUAUAAUGAGAUUGUUAAAAAAAAAUUAAUUGUUUAUCUUACAAGACAUUUCGAGUUCAAAUUACAUUAUAAUUAAAUUUUUAUUGAUUUAUUAUAUGAAAAGAUAAAAAUACCUUCAAAAAUAUAAUUUAUUUUGUAUAUGAAAGAGUGUUUUGGUAAUUUCAUAUUUAAAUUCAUGCUCAAUUGAUUCAUAAUAUCAACUCAAUAAAAUACUUCAAAUAAGUAUAAUAGUAUAGAUAGAUGUAGCAGCGAAGCCAGGGGACUAGCAAGGGACUCCCCCUCCCCCCUAAAUUAAAAUUUUCACUUUUUUUUAUACUUUUAUAAUUUAUAAAAUUUUAAAUUAGUAUAUAAUAAAAUUACACUUAGUUCUCGAUAAAAAAUUAAUUUAAUCUUUUAAAUAUUAUAAAAACAUACUAUUAAAAUGAUAAAAUUAUAUUUUUAUUAUUAUACAAAUAUAUAACUUACUUCCAUCCCUCCCAAGAUUUUUUAGACUUCACCCUAAAUAGAUAAUAUAUCAAUAAAUGAAUUUUUAAUUAAAAAUAAAAGAAAGCAUUAUUAUAUAAUUUUUUAUUUGAUAAAGACACGUCACACCAACUAUUUAAAAAAAUGAAUAAAUUUAAUAUUAGAUAAUUUUUUAUAUAUGUAAUAAAUAAACAAUACUAUAUUGGUGUGGUUGUUAAAAAAUGUGAAAGAUUAAAUCAAAAUUAUACAAUAAUAUUAUAAUAUACACAAUUUUAAUUCAUUGAUCAAAGAUAAAAAAUAAUAAUAAUAAACUAAUCAUCCAAACUUUUUUUAGGGCACUUUUAUUUUGGGACUAAAAUGAAAUUCCUACAAUUUCGUCAGUCAAAUUUUAGUGUGCUCCUAUUGUAGUCACCCACGUAUUAAAUCUCUAAUAAUGAUUAACUGUACAUGUCAUAUUAUAUUUACACUUUUAUUUUGGUCACUUAACUUUUAGGUCGCUUUCAUUUUGAUUAGCCAAAAAGAUAUUUUUUAAGUAUUGAUCAAAAUGAAAAAAAAAGAAUUAAAGUGAAAAAACAAUAAAAACUAAAAUAAUGCAUUAAAAAUUGUCAAAUAGUAUAUAUUUACCCUCUUGCAGAAAGUUUUAAUUUUUUUUCAAUAUUAAAAUAUUAAAUUUCAAAACAUCAAAAUUAAUUAAUUAAAUUAUUAAAAACUUUUAUCCCUUAAUAGUUUUAGUUAAUUUACAACUAUAAUAUUGAAAUUAAUUAAUUUAAUCUACUAAAAUUUUAAAUUUUAUUUAAUGUUCUCAAAUUAAAAUCAACUCACAUAAUUCAUAUUUAACAAAAAUCUCAUAGUUUUUCACUUCUUUACCUAAAAAAAAGAAAUAAUUAAUUUAAUUAAUUAAAAGAAUUUUCCUUUGAAGAUUUGACAUCAUAUAAUAAAAAAAAUUAUGUUUUGUAAAUAGUUAUUAAAUAUUAGUUAUUUAAUUUUUUUUUGUUAAAGAUAAUUCAAAAACCUAUUUUAAAAUUUAAAAGAUUAAAUUAAUUAAUUUAAAUCGUUGACAUUAUCAAAUAAUAAUAAAAAAUCAACAAUUUAUUUAAAUUAUUUGAUGUUUAGAUAUUUAAGUUUUCAAUAUUAAAUUUUUUAAAAAAAAUUCAAAAUUAAGAUAAAGAAGCACAAUUUGACAAUUUCAUGUAUUAUUUUAAAUUCUACUAUUUUUUAACUUUAAUCCUUAAUAUUUUUUUACCUCAAUCAAAACUUACUUAAAAAAGAGAUUUUUUUGAUAACUGAAAUGAAAACCAUCUAAAAGUUGAAUGACAAAAGAAAAUGUAAAUAUGAUAUAAUAUGUAUAAUUAACUAGUGUUAAAAAUUUAACACCCUAAAAUGAUGACCAAAGUAAAAGCUCUAAAAGUUUGGAUUACCAACUAGGGACCUUGUCAUGAGAUUGGCAGAUGAACCGGAAAAUUACAAACUUGUCAAUCAAUGCUCUAAAGAUCAAACCACCAAUUUUUUUUAUUUAACAGACACCAUUGUGAUUCGUGAGUCUGACAAUAUUAAAUAAAUAAAUAAAAUAUACUAAAAAUUUUAUAAACCGAUUCAACCAUCUGCUUUGUCCUGGUUUCUCUGUUUUUACCUAUUCCAAGCAAUUCACUCAAAGGCCAAACUAUGCCUGAACCAAUAUAGUGAACGAUUUUCGGUUCAAUCGGCUAGUCCUGUCUGGUUCCAACAAUACAAGUGUCAAUAUAUAAAUUCAAAUAUGCUGUUAAGUCCCUAUACUUUCAUAAAUUUUGAUAUUUAGUCCUGUACUUAAAAAUUAAAAAUUAAGCCCUCUUACUUUUUUUUUAUUUAAAAAUUUCAGUCAAAUCAUUAAAACACUAUUAGUAUUUCCCGUAAAAAAUUUAUCAACUUGGCACGAUUAAGCCAUCUCAUAUGAUUGACAAAAACUUAACAUGUUAACAAAUUUUGACGAAAACUACCGACGACAUCGAUCAGACUAUAAUUUUUAAAUAGGAAAAAGUAAGAGUACUUAAUUUUCAACUUUUUAAGUUCAUGGACUAAUUCGCAAAUUUUAUUAAAAUACAAAGACAAACAGCAUUUGUUAACCAAUAUAUAUAAAAGUUUAUAAUUCCACAAACAUGAUUAUGUCGUGAAGCAUAACACAGCCACGAUAUGAAUACAUGAAUUGCUAUAGAUCUAAAUGAAAUCUUAAGAAAGAACCACCUCAAAACCAAGCGUAAUUUAAUAUAGCCGCAUGGAUCUAUCUAAUACUACCGAAACAUACAGCCAUUAUAUAACUUAACAGUGUGUGUAAAGCAAAAAAAAAAAAAAACCAAUUUUAUAAUAAAAUAAAAAUAAAUAAAUAGAAAUUAGGUUUUCAAAAGGUUGGAUUUGGACAUUUAAAAAUUGUUAAAUCUUUUCGAAUCAGGCAAAUCCAUCCCUAAACUAUUAGACUUAUUAUAACAUAAAGGCUUCAAUUAGAAACUAGAAACUAAGUUAUGAAAAAGAUUAGCAGUCAAACUGACCGUGGCUUGUUAUGCAUAUGCUGUCUGUUUUUGGUCUCAUGAUGGCAUUUCAAUAUCACCUCCACAGAAUUUCCAUGAUCCAUCAUCUUGCCUUCUAAGGAUAUAUCGGAUCUUAUAUGUGCUGCAAAAAUCGAUAAAAAACCGAAUACAUCUCAGUCCGAUGAAACAAUUUCGAGUUCUAGAGUUGAUGGUAAUGCAUUGGCAGGUAAAAUGUAGAAAAUUUUCCCUCAGCGUGAUUUUUGAAAGAAAAUUUUUUACAAGUACAAAUACAAUCCAAGUACAAGUAGGAGUAACUACAAAGUAUAAUGCACAUAUGGACGAAUAACUGAAAAUGAUCCGGACUAAAAACCUACACAUGCAUAAUUGUGCAUGGUAGGACCCAAACUUAGGCAGUCAGGAUUCAAGACUCGGGCCUCAGCCUUUGCCAAGACUUCGACCCCUCAGCACGUUUUUAAGCAGUGUAAAACUGUGGUAAAAAGAUCUCUCCAGUCCCUCUCAAUUUCAAAAUAUAGCAAAUUGGUCCCUCUCAAAAAAAUCGGAGCAAUUUAAUCCCAGUCAAAUUCAAGUGUAAUCAAUUAAGGACAAUUAAUCACAUCGUUAAUGUUUUCUGUCAAUUCUACAUAACUUUGAUUGGUAUAAUAACAAAUUGAGCCCUUAAAGUUCACACAUUCCGUCAAUUUGGUAAUAAUUUAACAAUUUUAGCCUGCAACAUUUAUGUUAAUGUGUAAAUAGUGAGGCUAAAUUUGUUGAAUUUUUUAAAAUCUAGACCAAAUUGACAAAACAUGUAAACAUCAAGAGCUAAAUUUGUUGUUAUACCAAUCAAAAUUAAUACAAUUGACUGAAGACAUUAUUGUCAUGAUUAAUUGUCCUUAAUUGCUUGCUUUCGAAGCUGACAAGGAUUAAAUUGUUCUGAUUUUUUUGAGAAGGAUCAAUUUGCUCAAUUUCGAAAUUAAGAAAGACUAGAGAGGUCUUUUUACCUAAAGUGCAACUAUUAUACAUUCUGAGCUCUGAAAAUAGAGUAACCCAACGUGUAUUUGCUUACCUGUAAUAAUUAGGAUUCUUUGGCUGAGACUCAUCGACAAGCUCUGCUGCUUCCUCUAGGAGAGCCUCAAUUUCAGCAAUCUCCCCCCUGUGAAUAUCCAAUAGAACGUCUGCUCGCAGAAUGGUCAAUUGCAGCAAAACAAAUCUCCAAUAACAACAUCUAGUUUUCGCCAUGUCAGCCAAAGCUUGCCACUGCAGACCACAAUAAUGUCAACAAAAGGAAUUCAAAGGUUUUACACAUCAUGAAUUCAUAGUUAGUGUCUUGCAGAUGUUUAGUUUUGAAAAUCGAAAAAUCUCAGAAAUGAUUGAAUCUUGAUUUUAUUUUGGUUUUGAUUUUCCAAAUGUUUAGUUCAGACAACAUUCAUUAAAUUUUUUAGACUGAUCAAGCUCCCCCAAAUUUUGACUAACACGUGAUGUUCCUUUUCACCACAUGAGGGAAAUAAAAUCAAAGAAUAAUUUCAGUAUUUCCUUGCAGCUAUUGAAAUAGGCAGCUAAAUCGCAGACAAUUUGCUAUCAUCAAUAAUAUCUAAAAUCAGUUUCUCCAGAAGGAAUGUUCUUAUUUUCCAAAGAGUACACAAGUGGCACUAACUGAUCAACGGUAGACACUCCUUUUAACAUAUGUUGCUUGGACCUAGAUGUAAGUGUGGAGUAUGGGUCUGUGUCUGACACAGGUAUGGUUAGGUUUUUCUAAGUUGUUCCAUGUAUUUGGAGGAUCCUUUCAUGUUCUCAUGUCCAGGUGUCAAACAGGAGAACCGGACAGGGGUACUUCAACAAAAAUUAAGAGCCUGAGCAACAGAGUUUUGACCUUUCUUAUCCUCCCUUCUGAGGUUCGGGUGGUCAGGCAAGGAUACAAGGGAAAGUUCAUGUAUCAUCUUAUUGUUAACAUAACAAAAGCAUGAAAUUAAAUGAGACCCUUCAAUAGAUUUUACCUGAAUUAACAUUGACUCAUCAAGGGCUUCAGAGAGGGUAUCAACCUGAUGGUUAGGUCCAAGAGCUUCAGCUUUAAUUGCUUGCCAUUGCCUGACAAGAGCUUCAGCUUCUUCCACAGACAUUUGCUUUGUGUCAACUUCCGUGAUUGAAGUUGACAGGCUAGCAGGAAGGCAGGAAGUUCUUGCAUUCCUAGCUUCAGAAGGGUUCAUGAAUUGAACCUUAGCCAAAUCCAAAAGUUUCUUUAUCUUUACACCAAUACCAACUGCCUUGAUACGAGGAGAGCCUACAUUAUAAUCCAAGAAAGAAUCUCCCUUACUGGUAAGGGAACUUGUGUUCAUAUGUGGUUUACUGGAGGCCCAUAUUGACAUACGCCUGACCCCACUUAAGUUCAUUCCAGAUAACUUACAGCUAGUUAAAACAAUGCACCCUAAUAUAGCAACAAAAGUUACCCUUUCGGUGACAUUACUUUGCGAAAACCAGCUUUCCCAAGUUUUAUUCUGGUUUACUCCAAAUUUUCUUUCCAACUGAACAGAAGAUGAACUGACAUUGCUUCCACCGCUAUCGUCACCCAUUACCAAAGGACUCUGCAAAUCAGUUGGUCCUAAUUGCUUAACAGCUGACACAAUAUGUAGAGAAGAUUUCAUACGGGGAAGGGAAUCCUCAAAAUCUCUCCUCUCCGAUGCAAGAGCAGUAGGUAGUGAUCUAUGGCCUAGAUUUGGGAUGGUUUGAGGGGAACCUUUAAUUUUCUUGCUCCUAGGAGCUCUUCUUUCACCGCCAAAAUAGUUGGCCUGCAGACAAGUACAUAUGUUAGUACAUCCUUGUUAAUCUGAUAACUCAAUCAUUGUGUUCUUACCAAAGAAGGAGAACAAUCUCUUGUAUCAGGAAAGAGAGAAAGCACAGCAUCCUUCAGCCAAAUUUCCUGAUUAAAGUCAGAAGUCAGUUUAAUAUUAGAGAAUGCAUCAAUCUUGAUGAUAAACAAGAACUUCAAAAGACAUGAUCCAACUAGUGACUGAAUAAUGACUAUUUUCAAAUGCACAACCUCACCAACUUACCUGUCUUCAAACAUAAGAUAAGGAAUGAAGAAAAAAUAAAUCACCCCAGGUGCAAAAAGGUGUGCUCACUUGAGUGGAGACACUAAUUUCUAAAGGAAAAUUAAUAACUACAGGAUAAAAGCAUUCCCUGUAUUGUGUCUAAUAGCUUAAAAAAUAUUAGAGAUUACACCAUUACAGUACCUAAUGUGCUCCAAAAGACAUGAAUUAUCACAAGUAAUGUCCCUUUUUUGACCAUUAAUUUUUUAUUCCCAUAAAUAGAGCAGAAAACGUCCCCUUUUGACCAUUGAAACAAUAGCUAACAAAAGAUGAGAAAAACUUGAGAAACCAAAGGACACUAGAGUCAGGCAUGCUUUUUCUCUACAUUUAGCCUAGGAGAAGGAAAAAAGCAAAUGCCUAGGCACAAAAGACAUGCAUCUUAUUGAACACACCUUCCUGAAGGGGUGUAAGGAGCUUUGCUUGAUUGACACUGCACCUUAGCACCUAGGUAUGUGCACUGACAAUGUUGUAUCUACCUCAUGGAAUCAGCUACAAGGAACAUUGUGUUCUUUUCAGAAUCCUAAUUAGGGUAAUAUCAUUAAACGCUAAAUUGUAAGUUUUCUCCUAUCUCUUCAUUGGAGUAUCCUUCCUGCUUUUUGAAAUCAACUUUCUCCAUUAAAUCAUAGAUUCCCAACAAAAGCAUUUACAGACCUCUGUCCCACAUAGCCAAACCACUACUCACACCUCCACGUUUUACGCUUACUACUGUUUCCACAUAUUCCUGAAGGCCCGUGUGCAUUCAGAAUCCUCUUUUUUUUUUUUUAUAAGCUCAAAUAUCUUUGCAGCAUCCUCGUUUAACUAUUUCCAUCUUUGCUUAACCACCCAAAAUUCAAUAGCAUAAAGCAAUUGUGGUGUUAUUGCUAUCAUGCAGAAGUCUGCCUUAAGCUUAAGAGGUAUUUGCUGUCACACAAGUAAAAUUUCUCCUAUGUUUGCAUGAUUGAGCCAAGAUACUAAAACAAAUCACUUUGCAGUAUAUAUCUUUUUCUCUAAUUUUUACACUUGCUUCAUUGCCAGUCCUUUACUGAGUGUUCAUCUCAUAAACUUUCUUGUACAUUUACUUAACACUUUUGAUUCUAUGGUUUCCCUCCAUAGCUCAAGCAUUAGUCAUGGCUCUCAUCUCACCCACCAGAUAGAUAUAUCAUUUAAAAAAGCAUAUACCAACAAAUUGAUCAAUCACCAAGGAAAAUAGAUAAGGCUCAAGGCUGACCCUUGGUUAAACUAUGCUAGUGAGCAAUGCUCCAUCACCCCCUCUAUUAAUCUCUAAACAAGUCACUACAUUAUAUGUAACAUUCAUUACCUGAAAUAACACACCGACUCCCUAAUGCUCCUAAAGUUCCUAAGCAAACAUAAAAUCACAAUUUGAUAGUCAAUCCAAAAUAAGUAAUAAUAAAUCAAAAAGGUAACAUCCAGAGUCAAAAGAGUAAAAAUUAAACAUAUUGAUCCCCCAACUGUUGAACUUUCUACUCAUUGCAAUCUUAGAUGCAUAAGCAGGAAGAUGAUUUAAGACUUACCAGUGAGGAAUUUAUACUAGAACUGCUUAGUUUCUCCUUUCCUGUAAUAGAAUUUUGGGGAGCACGAUUUGAAGUUGAUUCAAGCUGUUGAAGCUUUUCAAUAAUCUCAGCCUCACUUCCCUAAUAACCAACAUAUGAGUUAUAAAAGUAUUUCAAUAAAAAAAUGCUCCAGCAUCCAAAGACACAAAACUUUCAACUUUUACAAUAUUUAAAUCCAACAUUAGGUAAAGGGAAGAUAUAAAAUCUAUACCUGUCCAAGAAGGAACAAGCAGAAAGCCUCCUCAAGCUUUAGAUCAGUACCCUCGGAUGUUAUCAAACACUCGCAUAUAGUUUUUGCUUUGAUAAUCUACAAAAUAUAGUAAAAAAUAACAACAAUAACAAAGUAUUGAUAGAAAACAGUCUCCCCACCCAACCACUCCAAAGCAGAACCCCCAAGUUAUUAUUCAGAGACCAAGCAGAAUGGAGAGAUACCAGGUCAGUUUGCCUGCUUGAAAAUCCAAGAGCAAUAUGAGCAAUCAAUGCCAUGUAGAAACAGGUAAAAUCAAUUACAACCCUUUGAUUCUGUGAUUCAAUUGAUUUCUUAUUCUUCCUUGCCAUUGCAAAAUUAUCCCAGGGAAGAAUAUCAACUACUUCUGAGGCCAACAGCCGAUUAAGAGCUUGGCUCAAGAAGCUUGACCAAUCUUGGACCUGGCAAGAAGAUUCCACAUCAAGCCCCUGUCUGAGCAGUUCGCGCAGGGCAGCAAUCGCUCCUCGUCGCCUGUCAGCAUUUUCAGGUGAUCGAGGCAAGCCUAAUAAUUCCAAUGUGCAUGCAGGUGCAAGUUCCUCCAAAGAUUCUUCUAUCUAAGAACCAUAGCAAAUAAUUAAUGUAAACAGAAGGAUAUUACUAAACCUUCAAGAAUAAGGAGAGCACAUAAUUACAGACUGUCUAAAUGUGGCACCUAUCCUCCGACAUUAUUGCAGUCAUCACUAUGCAAAAUAUAUUCAAUUCAUAGCCAUCAGAAGAAUUCAUUAGAAAUUUUGUAUUGUUUGGCUCUGUUUACUUUUUUUUUUUUGGUUACAAACAGUAUGCUAUUAACAAUUAUCAUUGUCAUUAGCACAGAAGAAACCAAGAGGAUGCCUAUUACUGAUUAAAGCAAAGCAAGUUGUGGAAAUCCUUGAAUAAGUAAAAUGAAGGCAAAAGCAUAAAAUAGAAACAACAAUUACCUGAGAUAACAACAUCAUUUGUUUAAGAGAUUUUGUACUCCUCAGAAGACACUGAGCACGAGCAAGAGCUUCAAAUCCUUCAGAGACCUUGUUCUUUUCGAAACCAAUCUUUGCGAUUGAACACUUCAAGAAAGCACCUAUUAUAAGAAAAGUGGGCAUAGCAAAGUUGAUGUUAAAGUUGGUAAAAGAUGCUAAGCUCUUCACCUAUUUAUCUCACCUCAGCAAGUGCCAUUGAUAAAAGCAAAUCAUGAAUAUAGGGCUUAGCAUCUGUACGCUGAAUAGCUGCCCUCCCAACUUCGAGGACAAGCUCCUCUUCUCCAACCUAAUACACAAGAAACCCAUACCAUAUCAGUUCUAUCCAUCCAAGCAGAAAAAGAUGCUUUUGCUACUUACUGUUUAUUUCCAAAAGCAAAUAAAUAAAUAUGUAAAUUUAGAUGAUAUGAUUUCUGAAUAAUAAUAAGUUAAAAUUUUAACUUUAUUAAUAACAAAAUGUACAAUUUUAACUUGAUAUGCAAUAAUUACAUUUGAUUAUCUGUUAUACUUGUACAUUUCUAGCCAUUCACUAAUGUUUUAUGAAAGCCUUAGCCUAUUUAAAAUUUUCUUAAACAUAACGAGCAAAUACAAAUUCCCAGGUCUCAUUAGCUUAUUACCUUUUGCACUGCUUCCUCAAAAUUUUAAAGCAAAAGCACAAAAUAGAAUGUGAAAUCAUACUUGUUUUAUAACGACCAAAUGACUAAAAUAUAACACCAAUUCAAACAUAGUGGUAACCAUGAACACUAUUUUCUUAAAUUUAAAAACUUCUAGCACUUACUUUUACAUUCAAAUGCAAAUCGAACAUUAUUUCUCUAAAUGUUCAACAAUAUCACCCAAAUACUCUAAUUAACAAUAUCACCUAAUUAUAAUAACUACAAAUUAGAGAAUCGCACCUCUUGAAGAAGGCAAACAGCAGCAGGCAACCAACGCCAUGGAAUUCGAAGAGAUGAUUUCGGCGGAAUCUUCUCCUUCACAUUUCCAGCGUACUCCGUUUCGAAAAGUAGCUUAUCCCUCACAUCCAUCAGAAUCUCCUACAACAAAGAGUGAAACGACACUGAAACAAUAAAAAAUAUUUAAAAAUACAAAAAAAAAUAAAACGACUUCUUCGAUCGUUUUACCUGACGAGAAACAACAACAUCACUAGUAUAACCAUCAUCAACCUCACUUCCCUUCAAAUUCAUUACCGACUUCACAAUCUCAUCUUUCUCAGCUUGACUCGAAACGCCGAUCAGCUGAUAACAACUAACCGGUAUGUCAACAACCGCGUUUCCAACGACGGAGGAAGAAGGAGAAGACAAAACAGGCGCCGCGUUGUUGUUGUUCUCCACAAUGCCGACGCCACGAGUGUCGAUAGCACCGGACUGAAAUCGGCUUCUCACGGUAGGAAAACGGUAGCCGUUUGAUUUGAUUAGGGUUUCAAAACCUGAAACCUCACAGUAACUAGAGCUACGAAUGAAGAAACAACAAGAAGAAGACGAAGAAGAAGGAGGAACAAUUGGAGCCAACGUCAAAUUACUCAGUGCCAUUUCCCACUCCAAAAAAAAAAAUGAAAAAAAUUGGAAAAAAAAAUUGAAAAUGGAAGCUUAUUUGUUUACAUGAAUUAAAUUUCUAACGGAAUUAUUUGAGUGAAUUGCUGUGAUUUCGUGUUUAUGGAUUUAGAUUGCGUUUGUUUAGCUCAAUGGAAAAAUUGAAAAAAAAAAACACAAAAAAUGAUGGGUAAAGCUAAAAAGUGUUAAUGCCGUCGGUCCGGAUAGCGGUCCGAUCUUUUUUAAAGGUUAAUAUUCGUUCGGUUUGGUUAAUUUAUUAUUUUAGAAAAUGUUUUAUAUUUAGGGAUAAAUUGCAUUCAAAGUCACUAAACUACUAAUAACUUUAAGUUUUAGUCACUCAACUUUAAAAAGUUAUAAAAUUUUCACUAAACUAUUUGAAAGUUUUCAAUUAAAUCAUUCGACUAUUACGAUCGUUGUUUAGUUUAGUUUUUUUUCUUUUACAUAAAACAACUUUAAACAUUAUAAAUCUGUGAACUAAAGCCUAAAAAUCUUUAUUUUUUGAUUUUCAGCACCAACUGUCAAAUCAACUUAAAUCUAAGAAAUAUUUUUCUAUUCGUUAAUAGAUAUUGAUUUACUCCACCUAUCAUUAAAUCAUCCUUUGAAGCUCGCUAAUCAAAUUGUGUGAAUGGCUUGAAUACCAUAGCCAUUAUGUUAAUAUCCCCUCCCAAAUGGUGGGUGCUCGAAUCACUGGUUCCUUCAAGGAAAUAGAAAUGUGUAACAAGAUGGCAGUUGGUGUAGUUCAUUCUCGACAAUGCCAUGGCUUCGCCAACUGCAACCAAUGCCUUUUCAACCUCGAUGUUCAGUGCAGUUCAUUCUCGAACAUUGUUAAACACAAAGCACAUGAGCAUCCCCUUUUUCGGCAAGGUAAACAAAUGCAGUGAUUACACCGGUUAUGGUUUCAGCUACACUUCGUUACCAAGUACAGCAAUGCAUAAGCACCACAAACACCCUCUUGAUCUCACUUACAGAGAUGCCAUGGAUCGGAUAUACAACGACAUUUGUGAAGAGGACAUCAGCCCCAAGCAUUGGUUCUACUACUGCAGAGCAUGCAACUUUCCAGCGCACCCGAAACGUGCUUCGGUGCAAUACCCGUACAUCAGGUUCGGAAAUACAUACACGUAUAAACUAUAUAAAAGGCAAAAAAAUCUAUAGAUAUUUAAACACAGUAGAUAGAAACCGACAUUUAAGAUUAAAAUUGAUUGACGAAAAACUUGAUUGAUAACACCUUACCCUAAGAAACCAUACAUGUAUGCAUGUGUACAAAAAGGAAAAGGACAUUGAUCUGGUUUUUAACCAGUUAGUAUAAAACACUUUCAGUGUUGCAUAUAUAAACUAUAUAUAAAGGCAAAAACAAUAAGAAAAAUUGAAUUGAAAGGAGCAACGGGAGUUGGGUUCUUCAAAAGAAUCAUGUUUAACCUACAAAUCAUCAUAGGGGGGGAUAGAAAUACGAAGAAAGGGAAAAGCCAAGGAAGAGAAAGCCGCCAAUUGCGGCCACUGUUCGCUGCGAGAUCUUGGCCGCCAACAUGCUCCCUCCCACCACGGCCAGUGAUGUACAGAUGGUGUGUCCUAUUAUGGCUCCCACUGCUACCCCCACUGCAUUUUUAUGUGUUGCUAGCUGAAACAACAGAAAGAAAAUUAGUGAUGAAAAGCUUUCUCAUAACUCUUUGCACCGAUUACAGACCAGUUUUUAAAAAAAAAGGCUACAACAGUUUCAGUAGAAUCAAUCAUUACAAGUAUUGAACUGGAUAACUAACUCAACAACUAAUUCAAUUCGAUUGAACUAACUAAUCAACCAGAAUAAAUCUGGAGGAGAACCCACACAUUUACAAAUGGUGAGACAUGAACUUCGGAUCCUAAACUUCUCAAGGCCUCAACCUUACCAUUGAGCCGAUGCUUCAUUGACCUCCUUUACUGAUUACAUACUAUUAUCAAAGGGUUUUCACAUAUCAAAUAAUUUUACUUGUAUCCCUCUAAAUAAGCCAAAAACCUAAGGUUUUAUGGUGUUGUUAACUCUAAAAAAACAUAGGGUUAUCAACAUUCUGGUCUCUGUAUAUUACUUGAGAGAAAAUAAUAAUGAUAUGGCUAUAAAAUUUGUUUUACAACACAAGGUUUAAAUCUAACCCUAGAUUUAAACCAUAAAGAUAAUUAAUAAUCCUAGUCAUCUUUUUAUAUCUAAUAAUAUUAAAUAAGUUCCUGCAUCAUUUUAGACUAGCAUAGGUAACUUUUGACCUAAGUGCCAAGAUCAAGGAGGUUCAUUAUUUUUAUAUAGCAACAGAGGUGAUCUGCGAUUUUUAAGAUAACAUGUUAGCUAUUUUUCCUUAAAAACUUCUACUCAAGAACAAGAACCUGAAAAUAUGAGUAACCAUUGGAAACAAAUGAACAAAUAGGAAUCGUGGUAAUAACUUAAGAUCAAGGGUGGGAAUCAUCUUACAGCAAUUGUGGCAAUUUGGCUUCGAUCCCCCCAUUCGGCUAGAAAUGUUAAAAUAAAUGACUGCAUAGAAAGGAAAAAAGAACAAACACAAUUCAGUGACAAUAGAUGAUUUGAACAAUGAGUGACAAUAAACUACAUGUAAAUAUUUAAGGCGGGGUAAAGUGGAAAUAAAACCUCCAAAAAGAUAGGUGUACAAAAUCUGGUAAGAAAGCGCCGGUAAUAUGUCUUCCCUUGGCCAGUCUCAAGUUUCUCUUCUACCUGCAAAUGCGAGUUAACCAAAUGUGCAUUCAAAAGUUCACAUGCUAUAUGAUGCAAUCUUUAAAUAUAGUACAACUCAUUAAUAUUAGAUAGGUUACAAUCCAAAGAAUACAUAUGUAUAUGAAAGAAUGUGCACCCAUUACACAUGAAUAAGAAAAGCUCAAGAUACUCUAAAAGAAUUUACACACUUCCCCAAAAAGGAACAUGCGCUUUUCCAACCUUCACAGUGUAGAAAACGGAGAAAGGAAACAUUUUGGUAAUCCGACUCACAAAAUUACAAGUAUAAACAUUUAGACUGCCACAAAAUUAAAUGUCACCUUAUUCCGGUUCUUUUAUUGUGAGAAGCAUCUCUUAUACAUGUCAAAAUGGAUGCAUAAAAGGAAAGAUCAAACUGAGAGUUAGAGAGACAUACUUCUUCCAUUUCCUUUUUCUGAGACCCCUUCGUAUCUGCUCUCCAAGCAAUGUAAAGUAACCGAAGCCCAAAAAAUGCAUAGAGAACUGUGUACCAUCACAAAUGGUUAUAACAAAAUGACCAUACAAUGAAGUCAGGAAAACGAUAAAUGCAUGGCGAGCAAAAAACAAAAUGAACACAAGAAACCUAUUAUGAAAAAUUCAUGGUACAUAAACUAGGGGCAAUAACAGUUUGAUUUGGUUUUGAAGAAAAAUUAGGUUGUCUCGGUUUUCUUGCUCAACCCUAACCCUAAGAAUAACGUGAAAAGACGAAGUCAAUAUAUAUACCUGUAGCUGCACUAUUUGUGUGCUUCCUUGAUAUCAAAUUCGGCACAAUCCUACCUAGUCCAGUGGAAAGUACCUAAUUGGCAAGAAAAAUUAAACACUAAUAACAUUAUGACUUUAGCAUAACUAUCUUAGACAGUACCAAAAGCAUUUUCAUCCCACCAUGCAACUGAAUUGUAUUCUAUGGAACAGAAAAAAGGGGCAGGGACUUAAAACAUUUCACAGGUCAAGAAAAAAAAUGGGGACGGCUAACUUACAGUCAUAACAAACAGGGCAGCUAAUGCGCCGGAUAAAACAGUUGACUUUGGGUGUCGCAUAGCCAUAAGAGCGGCUAUUAUAAAAGUUUCAUCUCCAAUCUGUCAUUGUAUCCGUAUAACAUAUCAGUUAUAAAUAUAUAUAUGUGAUGAAUUUAAGUAAAAUAGUUGGCAAUGGAAUAGCCAUUUGACAUGUUUCUUAGUAGAAAAUCUUCCUUUCAAGCACAUGAUAGUAAGAUCAGUGGAAAUCAUUAUCAUUUUUCAAGUAUGUAUAUAUAGGGAGAGAGAGAACUCAAUGCACAAACCUCACUGACAAUUAUCAUGGAAAAACUUGCAACGAAUGCAUCAAGGACGCCGAGACCAGCUGGAUCGAAACCAAGAUUAGUAACUAUGGAAUCGGUACCGACCUUCUCGUCUAGUACACCAUUCUCGGAGUUCUUUGAAACAAUCUGUACUCCCAUAAAUCAAUUCAUCAACAUAAUUCAAAUACCAACACAAAUUACAACAUUUUUAAGAAGAACUCACAAUUCCCAAGGAUGAAGAGGUUGCAUAACAUUGUAAGUUGCAAGUUAAAACAUGAAAAUCUCAAAAUGAAGCUAAAGUUUACGCUUUCAUGUGAAUUAAAUUAGAAACAGUUAAUAACUAAGCAAUUAAAAAACAAGUUAAAUAAAUAAUUCUCCACAAAAUAAGACUAAAUAAACCAUUUGAACUCUAUAAUUUCUAAGUUUCCCAACAAACAACAAACAAACAGCAAAAAAAAGGGGGGGGGGAAGCAAACCAUGCCGCGGCGGCCGAGAUCUUUAAUUGACCCAUCAGAUUCCUCCUUCUCAGCUUGAAAACCUGAAUCCUAGUAAAUUAAACAAACAAGUAAAACCCCAUUUUAAUUAUUUACAUAAAUUUGAAAAAAAAAAGGCUUUAAAAUAUUUUUUUUAAAGUAAAAAGAGGGAUGAAUAAUACCUGAGAAAAAGAAACGGAAGCGAAAACGAAGAAGAAAAAGGAAACAAUGAAGAGAAAGCGAAUUUGGGUGAAACCCAUUACGAAAAAUGAAAGAAAAAAAACUGGGUUUGUGAGAGAAAAUCGAGGGAUCCUGAGAUUUAAUCAAAAGAUUUUUUUUUCUUUCUAAAAACGUCAAAAAAUUGAAUCAAAGAAGAGAGAACUGAAACAUGGGAUAGAGAUCUAAAGGACGGUUUGAUAGAAUGGAAGGAUUCAUUUGUGAGUCAAUGAGAUCGGAGAGAAUGAAAAGAGAGAAGAGAUGACGCGAAUGGGGGAAGAAGAUCUUCUCAUGGAAAAUACACACUAGCUGUUCUUAUUGAUUAGCUAAAUUUUUCUUAGUUUAAAGUUAACUUUUGAUAAAAUUUUAAAUACAUAUUGUAAUCAACACCUUAUUUUAAAAAUAAAUAUUAAUUGCAACUUGCAUCAAGCUUGUAUACAUAUUUUAUUUGUGAGUAGCCUAGAAUUGUUCAUUCAUUGAAUCAUAUGAUUAUUUAUUGAAUUUGAUUAGAUUUGAAUUUGGGUAAAAAAAUUUUGUCGUCCAGCUAGUUUGAUCUAAUUCAAAUUUAAAUUAAAUAAUUUUAAAUAUAUUUUUAUCGGGUGAGUUGAAUUAAGUCAAAUUUAAGAUUGAACUCGAAAUUAAUUUUUUUAAAAAUUUUGAUCGUGAUCUAGUCAAAUUUAUGAAUACCUAUUAUUAUUACGAGUAUUUUUUAUGCCUUGUUUGGUAAUAAAUAACUCGAGGUUUGGUUGAUAGACUGCAAAUAAUGUAAUAACAUAUUUUAAUUAGAUCCUAAUAUUCUGUGACUAGACAUACCAUAAUCCAAUAGCAAAAUCCAUUUUUUAGGCCAUUAAGAUGACUUUUUGGGGACGUUUGGUUCAUCGAAUAUAAUAUUACAACCUGUGUAAAAUUACAUUCCAGAAUGAGAUUAAGAUGUUUUGAUUGUCAACAUUUUGAAUAUUUCGUAAUCUCACAUUAUUCAAUAGUGUUAAAAUGUUAUAAUUUAGGGUGUAAUCUCAUUACGGUCUAUUUAUUAUGUUUACUUUUAUUAUAGGUGUAAUUUUAAAUUUUAAACUAAUUUGCGCUUUGCUUUUAUUAUUUUAUCAAUUUAAGCUUUUUUCUUAAAUAAAGUUUAAGAUUAGUUUAAAACAAAAAGGAUUUUUUUUUCUUAGUAGUGAACCAAUGAAAGUCAUACAUUACAAGUAUAAUUAUUAUAUUUUAUUAAUAAUUUAUUUAUUUAUAUAUUAAUUAUAGUUGUAAUUAUAAUCACGGUUGGUGUUGUAAUGAUUUAUAAAUUUAUUUCAACAUCAUAUAUUUAAUUAUUAAUAUAUAAAUUGUAAUAAAAAGUAAGAAUUCUAAUAAUUUAUCAUAAUUGAAAUUUGAGACUAAAAAAAAUUAAAGCCAAAGGAAUGAACUAAACUUGUUAAGAAAAUAAAUUCUAUAACAAACACAAUUGAGUAAAAUAUGUUUCUAGGUAACCUUACAUUCCGUUAACUAAACACCUAAAUCUUACCUUCCAGCAAAAUGAACUAAAUAAAGUUGUGGUAUGUGUCUCACAUUUAUUGGAUACAUUGCAGACACUUAAGACAAGAAUAGACAAGAAAUAUAAAAGGAGUAGAAAGCUACGAGAUGUCAAAACGAAGAGGUCCUAGACGCCGGGACAAUGCGACGUCCUUGGCAACCAAGCAAGGCUAGGACGUCAUGACAAGUAGGUAGGCCACGUCACGACAAGGUGUUAUUUUCUGCUCAAAUACAACCAUGUUUUUUUACUUUCAACAAGACAUCUUCUCUCAGUUAAACUCUAUUUCCUACAGGGUUAUUUUAGUUAUAUUGGACCCAUGUCCUAAGCCUCUUUAAAUAGCCUUUGAAACCCUAUUUAGAAAUUAAAAAAAUUAGAUUUAGAUAAUCAAAUUUGCGUUAAAUAUCUUUUGUAUGAGAUUUGUUAAAGAGUUUUUUAGGAGAGUUUUUGAGAGAGCUUUUUUUGUAUUUGGGAUAUUUGGGUUUUUUUAUAGUUGCUUUUUGUAUUCGGGUAUUGGAUAUUGUAACACCCCAAAUUCGGGCUAGACGUUAUAGCUGAAUCUAGUGAUGUCACAUGGAAUAGAGUUUGAAAUUGAACUUAUCAAGUUAAAUCGUUCCUGUUUAUUUACCUUUAUUUAACUUUUAUCUAUUUCAAAACUAUUUUUCUUGUUAGUUUGAUUUAUUUAAAUACAUAUUCAGUAGCGGAAGCUUUUAAAACCGUGAAAUUUAAAGGAAAUCAUUCGCUUUUAGGAAAAACAUUAUGUUUAAUAAAAUCGAGUUUUCGUUGCAGUUUGAAAGCUUAUGAAAACGGUUAAAAAUCCCAAAAUAAAGGCAAACCGUCCAAAAGUCCCAAAUUACAUCCAAAAUAACCUAUAAACAUAGAGAGUAAAACCAUUAAUGAAGUUUAAGCAGUGCAAUAAACAUGUGGUCACCGUUGAGUCCUUCGCCGCACCGGUCUAUCUAAGUUUGGGGAUUACUUAUAUAGUUAAAAUAGAAAAGGGUGAGUUUAUGUAAACUCAGUAUGUAAUCCGCACAGAAGACAUGCAUACAGUCAAACAACAGUCAUUAGUUAAAUGCAGUCUGGGCCUAAGCCCAUUUUAGUUUCAGUAGUAGUUCGGGCCUUAGUCCAUUUCAGUUUCAGUAUCAGAUAUGCGUUAGGGUCUAAACCCAUCAUAGUAACAGUACCAAAUAUACAUUAAUCAGUAAACAGAGUCCUACCCAACCAGCCUCUACACACCAUCUCCGUCCAUCCCUACACUCCAUGUGGGGUUUAAAACACCCACCCAUCCUUACACUCCAAUAAGUACCGAAUGCGGCACAUAAUUAAUAAAUUGCAGCUGAGUUUCCAGAUAAUAGGCUUAAGAGCCUUCCAAUACACUUCCUCCAAAUAUCAACAUCUCAACCCAAUGCAGUACAAAUAUACAAUAAAUGACAUGCUAUUACAUGGUAACAGUUACACAUACAGUUCAGUAUACAUGCAUAUAAGCAUCAUGCUAAUACAUACAUCAUGCAGUCAAUUUAUGCAUAUAGGGGUCCAAGUAGUGCUUACCGACCCCAUAGUAGGUUCAUAGUCGACUUAGGUGACCCGUGCAACCUUAAAAAACUUUUCAAUUAAAUGGGCCCACAAGCCCAUAUGGUCUGGCCGUGUGGGCCCACACACCCGUGUGACCCAUAAGGCCUAAUUUGGCCUUAGUCGUGCGGAUCACACAGCCUGGCCCAAAGUCUCACACUCCUAUGUGGACUAUCUGUGUGGACCCACACGUCCGUGCAGCCCACACAGCUCAAAUCAAUCUAACACGUGUGUCGCACACAAUCUACCUAGCUAUUACACGGUCAUGUCUUGCGUGCACGACCUGGCCUCGUCGAUCACACGCCUGUGUUAUGGUACACGACCUACCACACGGAUGACCAUACGCCCGUGCAGUGUCGUCAAUGGGGUUUUCGGCAUUCACUGAAACCCCGUUUUCUGCGUUUACACACCUAGUUUCACCUGAUGCUACACCGAUCCUUGAGCACUCUAGAACCUAUAAUUUUUCAAUUUCACUCAAUUUAUCACAUAAUCAAUCGAACUAAAAUCGAAUUCGAAACGAGAAACGCAUCUCUUAAGCGAUGAAAAGCUUACCCCAGCACCUCGAAGCAGUUGAUUACGCAAUAGCACGAUGAGACCCUUAAUCCACACGAGAUGCUGCUACCAAACGUCAAAAACGCCAGAAUCAAAGUUGGAAAAAUCGUAAGUUAAAGAGAGCAAAAACUCCACUUACCAGAACGUUUAACGAAAAUUGACCCAACAGAACGAAGGUGUGGUAGCCAACAAAAAGAUACGGAAACAGAAAGAAGAAUUCGGGCUUGACCACAGAAAAAUAAAAAGAGAAGAAGAAAGAGAGAAGAGAUGGCGUUACAAAGGUGGAGAGUUUUGGGAAAGAAGAAAUUUUAUAAAGAGAAAAAGAUAAUGCUCAGAAAAUUUGAUAACCCCAAAAUCCACUCCCCUAAAUUCUCUCUACCAAACUUCAACUACUCAGAUCUCCAAUACAACUCAAACUAUCCAACCGACGAGCAAAUAAAAAAAUAUUUGUCUUUACACUCACACAGGGAUUCGAACUCCUAACCCUCUGCUAACCAACACUCCCCUUAACCACCAGACCAGCAGGCUCGUUCUAGUAAGCACUUACAAACUUUUAAUUAAAUGCCUACUAGCUAGAAAUAGGGGUUCAGUCAGAAAAAUACUAGAAUUUUUCAAAGUCAGGGCUUGAACUCAAUACCUUCCAAAAACACCCAGAGCACUUAAACACUAAUGCAGAUAUAUAAUUGUGUCACAUUUUUUACAAUAACCAAAAAUAAGAAUUUUGGGGCGUUACAGAUACUCUCCAUCGUUGUACUCUUUAUUUGUUGCUUAGUGAAAAGUUGAAGCCUCCUUUGCCUGUGGUUUUUAUCCCUCAAUGAGGGUUUUUCACGUAAAUAUUUAUGUUCAUUCUUCUCUACUUCUACUAUCUCAUUGUUUAUACAAAUCGAUCCCUAACAAACUGGUAUCAGAGCCUAAUUCAAGCUUCCACAAAUUAACUCAUUCAGGAUGGCAAUAAUGAGAUUCAACAUUGAGCAAUUUGAUGAGACCACAAUUUUCAAUUUAUGACAAGUUCGGAUGACAACACUUCUAGUUUAGAACGGUCUAAAGAAGGUCAUUACCGAUAAAAAGACCAAAGGUAUGGAAAAAUCGAAAGAGGAAGAGCUUGAUGAAAAAGCUCUAUCUACAAUUUAGUUAUGCCUCACAAAUAAUAUAUUACAUGAAGUACUCAUAGAAAAAAUAGCGGUUGUUUUAUGGAUGAAAUUAGAAACCCUUUAUAUGAAAAAUUGUUGGCCAAUCGGUUGGUAUUGAAGUAGCGCUUGUACACAUUUCGUAUGGAUGAAAGAAUGUUUAUUGAGGCUCAUGUUAGUGAGUUUAUUACACUUCUGAAUAACUUGAAGAAUGUCUAGGUUGACAUAGAUGACAAAGAUUAGGUUAUGUUAUUGUAAUGUUGUUUGCCCUUUUCGUAUAAAUCUUUUAGGGGGACAUUAAUUUAUAGCAGAGAUAAGCUCGCAUUUAAAGAUGUGAAGGAAAAUUUUUUGGGUAAAGAAAAACUCGACAAUGAAUUACGCUCAAGCAAAAAAUCUUAUUAAAGAGCUUUGAUUUUGGUUACCAUAUGUAGGCAACAGUCUAGGUCAAGGUCGAAAUCGAGGAACCAUGACAAAAUAUGCAACUACUGCAAAAAGUUGGGUCACAUAAAGGUAGAAUUUUAUAGUUUGAAAAAUAAAAAUAGGAGGGUUGUAGAGAGCGACGAGGAUGAAGAGCAAAAUACUGAGGUAGCCAAUGCUAAUGUGACUGUAGAAAAAGGUGAUGAUUUCUUAUUGGUGUCAACGAAUGAAAGCUCCAAACUUACAUCCGAGUGGAUCUAAGAUCCGGGAUGUUCUUCUCACAUGUGUCCCAAAAAAGACUGAUUUUCCACAUACAGUUCAGUUGAAGGUAGAGUUGUGCAUAUGGGGAAAGACUUAUCAUGUAAAAUAAUUGGUAUUGCUACCGUUCAAAUUAGGAUGCAUGACAAGACAAUCAAGACACUAUUAGAUGUCAAGCAUGUUCCUGAUUCAAAGAGAAAUCUCAUCUCAUUGAGAAAUUUGGACUCGAUGGGUUGUAGAAUCAACAAAAAGUCAAACGACAUUAAUGUGUCUUGUGGUGCUCUCGUUUUGAUAAGAGGUCAAAAGAUUGAUAGUCUUUAUACUAUCUAAAGAUCAACGAUAAUGGAUAAAACUACAAGCUCCUCGUUGCUUAAAGAGUUAGAUUCGACUCAGUUAAGGCAUAAACGACUUGAUCAUACAAGCAAAAAAGGUAUGAACAUUCUAGAUAAAAGAGGAGCUCUUUCAUAUGCAGAAGUUAUAAAAAUAGAGCAUUGCAUUCGUGGGAAGAAAAAUUAAGUCAAUUUUGAUUUGGCAAUACACAAGAAAAAGACUAGAAGUCUUUCGAUUUCAAAGUUCAAGCAGAACUUGAGUUCAGUUAAAAUCAUGCAAAGUUCAAGAUAGUCACGUAGUAGGCUUUGGCAAAGGAAGCACGAUAAAUACGAGUGAAGGUUGGGAUUUGUGGGAUGUGUCUUGCAUUUACCUGAUACGUUGUAGGCACUUAAAAUGAGAAUCAACGAGAAACUGAAAAUGAUCAGAAAGCCACACGAUGUAAGGACAAUGCGAUGUCAUUGGAAGCCAAGCAAAGAUGCAACGUUGUGACGAGUAGGUAGGCCACAUCAUGAUGAGCCAAUGCUUUUUGCUCAAAUACAGUCACUUUUUUUACUCUCAACAAGACUUCUUCUCCUAGUUAAACUUUAUUUCCUAUGGGGUUGUUUUAGUCAUAUUGGACCCACAUCCCAAGCUUAUUUAAAUGGCCUUUAGAACCUUGUUUAAAAAUAAAUAAAUAAAAAGAUUCAGAGAAUCAUAUUUGCGUUAAAUAUCUCUUGUUUGAGAUUUGUUAAAGAGUUUUUGGUGAGAGUUUUUUUAUAAAGCUUUUAUAUUUGGGAUAUUUGAGUUGCUUUCGAGAUUUGCUCUUGUAUUUGAUUUUUGGAUACUCCCUAUCAUUAUACUCUUUGUUUGUUGUUUAGUGAAAAGUUGAAGACUCCUUUGCCCAUAAUUUUUUAUCCUUCAGUAAGGGUUUUCCACGUAAAUACUCGUGUUUAUUAUUCUCUAUUUUUACUAUCUCAUUGUUCAUACGAGUCAAUCACCAACAAAAGUAAUCUCACGUUUCACUCUUGACAUUACAUUCUCAUAAUUUUAUUACAAAACGUAAUCUAAAGUUUGGCAAACCAACCGAACCAUUAGUACUUCAACCCUAAUUUAGAUAGCUAAACAUAUUAGUACUUGGAUCUUAAUGUUAGAUGGUCAAACAUAUAAAAAAUAAUAGCAAAUUUUAGUUUUUUUUCUUAUGUAUUCAACAAUAUAAACAAUAUAAUAUUGGAAUGAUUCACAAUUGAGGUACAUCUAAAUCCAUUUUAGUUUUUGACGAGCUAAAACAUUAAAACACACAAGCAUAUCUCCAACAUCAUUGGGAUCUUUCUUAAAGCAACCAUAAUUUUAUUUUCGAUUAGCCCUUCAAAUUUGGACAACUUUUUAAACAAGGUUUCAUAUUUUUUUUAAACAACCAUUGUUUUAGUUCCAAAGUUCUUACCUAAACUAUUCAGUGAAGACUCAAACCUAUCACCAAGCUCUUUUACCAUAUCAGCAAGAUCACAUGUUUCAUAGAUUUCCCUUUUCUUGUUAGCCUUAGUAAAACUAGUAGCUUUGUUCCCUUUUACAUAUGUUGACGUAGUUGAGGUCAAGGGCGAAGCUAAAAAUUAUGUGAUGGUGGUAGAAAUAAAACUAAAAAAUUUUGGGAGGCCAAAUUUAAAAAUUUUGUAUUAAAAUGACUUUAAUUGAACUUUUUAACUUGUUGAAAAGGGCCAAAAUUAUAAUUUUUCUAUUUAAAACAAGCUAAAAAAUAUUAAAUAGAACUAUUUGCUUUUAGAAGGCACUUAAAUAAUAAUUAAACCAUUAAUAAUAAUUAAACCAUUCAACUAGGGGGCCAAGGCCUUUGCCUAUCCUAUUAGCUACACCUCUGGCCAAGAUCUUAUUGUCAACAAAUUUUUUGGAGAAUCCAAGUCCUUAUACAUGCAUUUAUUAUUAUCUUCUUUUUUGUUAAUCUUGUCCAAGAUAUUUGUUGAUUAGAUUUGAUUCCUUCAAAAGAAGUUUUUGAAGUGUUAUCCAUUGGACAGUCGAUUAAUCCCUCAACAAUUGAAUAUAUUGUCCCCUGAUAGAGGUUUUGUCUUCUGUUCUCUACCAUAAGUAACUACCCGAUGGACCUGAUUCACAAAGCCAAGAGGGCCUCGAUUGGUGGACCUGCAAGUAUCAGGAGAGGUAUUAGUAUUGCUCAUGAGAAUAAUUAUGAAGUUAGCUAAGCGUGGAGAGACUUGAGCCACCAACUUGAAGCAUAUAGACCAUCUACCUACAACCAUAGUACCACUUAGACAAACAAAUUAACAUAUCAUUUUACAUUUUAUUAGAGCUUGAACCAAACUCGACCCAACCUGAUCCAUGAACAACUCUAAUAUAUAUACAACAAACUUGUGUAUAUAAAAUAAAGGUAUAUACUGCUAAACAUCCAUUUUAAACCCAUGCAUAUGAUAUAUUCAACAAGAUGGUGCCUAAUAAUGUUAUUGAAUUUUGGAAAUCAAGCAUAUAGUAUAAAUUGGAGAGAUUUUGUUAUGCUUUUUAUUUGUACAAAUCAUUACACCAUGUUUCGAUUGAGAUUGAGUAAUGUAUUGCCAUGAUAUUAUUUUAUCAUAAUUUCUAUAAGGUUUAAAGGGCGUUACAAGCACUCAAAUUUUUUUCACAUUUAAUACUUGAACUUGCAAAGUGUAUCAAAAAGGCCCUCAAACUUUUUCAAAAAAAGCAAUUAACUCAUUGUUUUUUUUUGCACUCAAUUGGGUACUUGAAUUGCCAAAAUACAUCAAAAAGACCCUCAAACUUUUUCAAAAAAGCAAUUAAGUCCCUGCUUAUUUUUUGCACUCAAUUAUCAAAAUGCAUAAAAAAGCCAUUUUACCGUUAACUUUAAGGAUUGACAGUUAACUUUAACGGUUGAUCGAUGGUUGACCGUUAAAGCUAACAGGCACUAUUUUUUUUCAAUUAAAGUCACCACGUGUCACAACCACGGCAUGCAUGUGGUAAAAAAACUGGUGAUCGUUAACUUUAAUAGUCAACUGUUGAAGUUAAUGGUUAAAGUACCUUUUUAAUGCAUUUUAUAUAUUUUUAUUAUAAAAAUUUCCAAUUUUUAAUACUUUUUUACGAUUUUUUUCUAUUUUUAGUAAUUUUUUAAUAUUUUUAUUAAAGUUUAAUAAAUUUUAUAACUUUUAUUUAUUUUUAUUUUUUUAUAAUUUUUUUGUCACAUGUGACACCGUGGUUGUGACAUGAGGUGACUUCAAUUGAAAAAAUUAGGGACAGUUAACUUUAAUGGUUAACUGUUAAAGUUUACGGUGCAUUUUGGCAAUUGAGUGCAAAAAAAAGAAAAGAGCAGGGGCUUAAUUGCUUUUUUUGAUAAAUUUUGAAAGUCUUUUUUUAUGCAUUUUGAUAGUUCAAGUAUUCAAUUAAGUGCAAAUUAAGUGCAAAAAAAGGGGGCUUAAUUGUUUCUUUUGAAAAAGUUUGAGGGCCUUUUUUAUUCAUUUUAAAAGUUCAAGUAUCCAAUUUAAUAUAAAAAAACAGAGGCUUAAUUGCUUCUUCUUCUUUUUUUUUUAAGUUUAAGGGCUUUUUACCCCCUUAAGCCUUUCUAUAAAUAUACACCAAAACAUGACAAUUUCAAAAGAAGAAGAAAAAAAACAUGAUAGAAAAUCAAAGGUUUAAUCAUCGAGGCUUAAAUUUUUGAAAAUUUUAAUUAUAUCCUUAAUAUUUUAAUAAAUCUUAAUUAGGUCUUCAAAUUUUUUGAAAAUUCCUAUUAAAUAUUUGGAAAUUUUUAAAAAUUUUAUUUAGACUCUUCAAAAAAUUUCGUAAAUUUCUAUUAAACCUCUAAAAUAUUUGAAAGUUUUAAUUAGAUCUACCAAGAUUUUUUUAAAUUUUUAUUAAAACUCAAUUUUUUUAAAAAUUUUAAUUAGACCAACAAAAACUUAAUAUUAAAAUCUAUCACUGCAAAAGAAUUAUUUUAAUAACAUUUAUUAUAUUUGGCAAUUUCUUUGACAAUUUUGUGUUACGGUUCCACAUUUUCUUUUUUCGAAGAAAAGAGGUUUGGAAUGGUGUAUACUCAUAAACCCAGGCAACCUUACAGCAUGCCUAGCAUUUCUGGGGUUGAGUACAAAAAAACUCACCUCACCAGCUUAUUCUCAACAGCUUCGUUUUGCCCAGACGCCAAGGUCUCCCCUGUCCUAAUGACCUAACAUAACAACAAUCUACCGGUUAUCUUGAGGAAAAUCAGACCUCAAAAACCCAGAAUCCAUCGUUGUAGGAAGCAUUUAAGAGUGCUUACCUUAACUUUUCAAUCCAUAAGUACGAAGGGGUAAGGAAACUUACUAGUUACUAAAUUUCUCCACUAUCAAAUUUCCAUUCACACAACAACCGCAGCAUGCAAAGCUUCCUUCAAUUGAAUUAUCCUCGUUUCAGGGUAGCUAGAGUAGAUGAUGCUACUUGAAGAAGAACGUAUAAAACAAAAUUGAGGAAUCCAGUCUUGACACGUGCCUAUCUAUAUAUAUACUUCUUUGGCAUGAUUUUCAUCGAUUUUUACCACCGUACGUUCUUAAUCAUUUUGUCUCCCACUAUGGAACUAGUCAUUUCCAUCCUAACUGGACCGAAAUUGAGAUCCAACUAUUCACAUUUCAGCCACUAAAUUUUCUAAUAUAGUACUGGAACCCGUAAAUUUCCUAGUUCAUCCAAUUAAAUCCUAGAAAUUCUGAUUAUGAUUACAAUCUAUUCAUGAUACAUGUGAUUCAUGUAAACACGAAGGUAAUUAUAUGAUUAAAUUAUAGAAAUAAAUAAUGAAUUGUGUUUAGUGAUUUGUAUAUUAUUUAGUGAAAAUGCAUGAGUUAAUUAAUAUAUAAAUUGUAUAAAUAACUUGUCAAUUUUUUUUAAUUUAAAUAUUUUAAUUAUGUUUGAAUAAAUGGAUAGUAAGUUUCUGAAUUCAAUUAGGUGUUUAUUCAAAUAACAUAACUUUUCACAAUCAACAACACAAUACCAAGUAAAACUUGCUUAAUAAACUUAAUAUGGAAACAAUAUAGCUAGCACAAAUCGAAAGUUGUUACUCAUCGAUGAUUAUCUCUUUUCUUUGGAAGAUUUGACUACCUCAUUGGUUAAAAGCAUCCUCCAUGCACCUCGCAUAUAAUGCUCAUCGCAUUCACUCGACUCCUUAAGGCUUUACCAACUGACUUUUCCAUAGCUCAAAAUCUACUCGUUUGAAUUCAAUUUUCUCAAUAGAUAUACACUAUAGGGACCUUAAACUAUUCAAAACUCACAUAAAAUUCAAAACCUAACCUUAUCUUCCUCCUUGAUUACCCAAUCACUCAACAAUUGGAAUUCACCCAAUCCUUAACAAAACUUUGUUCUAACUUGAUAUUUGAUUAAUCCAACCUAUUUUAAACUUAUUCUCAUAAAAAAUUAAACCCAAAACAACAAGAAACAUAUGAAUCAAAGCCCUUUUCUUUCAAAAUGAAAAUCUCAUAAAAAUAGAGGAAAAUGUCAAAUAAAUUGAAAUUCAUACUAAAUGAUCAAAAAUUAUAAUUCGAGAGAAACAUUUAUCACUGCAAAAAUUUUGAUAGGAGAAUAAAAGAGUGUUGAAAAAGAACAAAACCCUUCCCUCUCUUUUAUUCUUAAAAAUGGGUAUUUUUCUUAAAUACCCUUGGUAGAAUUAUCACAUAAAGACCUCUUUUGUUUAAAAUCAUAUUUUUCUUUGCAAAUUUUACAUUGACUCCACUAAUUUUACUAACUUCACAAUAUAGUCCUUAAGCUUCAAUUACUAACUCUACUAAUUUAAUCUCUCCCUAAUUCUAAUUAAGCCAAAUUUCCCACUAAUAAUUUCUAACUAUAUUGCCAUAACCAUUCCAAGAAUAACUUGAUUUAAGAAGUCGACCCAAAACCAAAUUUUUCGAGCCAACGAAAAAUGGGUCGUUACAUUUAUUUAGCUAAAAAAUAAAUUUUAAAUUCGUGAGUACUUGAGUUAGUGUUUUUUAGUUUUGGUUACCUUAGAGAAAUUAAACUUUCCCAACUGAAAAGUUACAGUUUUUAUUCUAUGUUCAGUUCAAAUUAAGAGCCCAUUCUCUUAGAAAUUGAGGGUUCGAUGAUAGCAGAGAAAAUCAUUUGAUUGAAAGUUAAGAACCAGCAAGUCUCGCUAGUUCAAAAACUCAUAUGCUAUGUUUGGUAAAAUUUACUGUUACAGACAAUACAACAAAGGUUCGAUUUUAUGAGAAUUUUUAAAUUUUUGUUGUGCAACAAAACUAUUUUCAUAAAUAAAAUUUCCAACAAUAAAUUGCUUUAAUACAUUCUCAUUUGUUCUCAAUGAACCAAAUUCACCGCAUAUAUAUAAUUGGCCCCUUAGAACUUAAUGCCAAGAUUCACCACUGAAACUAAUACCUAUUAUAUACUUUCAUUGAAUGGAAUGCAUGUAUCUUUUUUUCUCAAUUAACGUUUGGUAUUAGUAUUUUUAUUUUAAAAACGUCAUGGGUUUAGUCCCUAUACUUUUAAUUGGUUUCGUCCUUGUACUAUUCAAAUUUUAAAAUUUCACUCAUUGCACGAUAAUUAUUAAAUUCAUUAAGUUUUAUUUUUCAAAAUUUGAUGCAACAAACAUAUUAUCAUAUAUGUAAUGUCAUUUCAACUUGUUAUUCACUAAAAAUCCAGUUAAUGGAUUAAUGAUUGUUAUUUACGCCAGACUGAAAUUUCAAAAAUAAAAAGUUACAACGACUUAAAAUGAUUCAAUUAGACAAUAUGGACUAAGUUUACAACCAUACACAAAGUAUAAGACUAGUAAUAGAAUUUAACCAAGGAGAUUUAACUGUUAUCGUUUGGGUCAAGAUUAAAAUUUUAAAUUUUGAAAAGCGAAGGGACUAAGAUUAAACAAAUUAAAGCAUAGGUCUAAAUCAACAAUUUUGUAAAGUACAGGGACAAAUAACAAAAUUUAACCUUUUUCACGAAUAGUCAAAUGUUGUUUCCUUUUCUUAACAAAUGCCUUAAGCCGUUGGUCAGUGGAAUAAACUAUUUGUUUGUGUCAAAUUAUGAAGUAAAAAUUUGAAGUUUAAAAUAUUCUCUAAAUCUCUAGAUAGCUUGUACAUUAGAAUUCAGUCUCCUACUUCUAUUUUCAGAAUUUUAGCCCUCUACUUUUGAAACUUAAAAAUUCAAGUUCAAUUGUUGUCAUUGUUAAAAUUUUUUUAUUAAAUUUACUAGAGUGAUAUUUUGAUUUGACAUUUUUAACUUUUUGAAAUAAUUAAUAACAUUAUAAAAAUAUAGAAAUCAAAUUUUGUUAGAAAUUAAAGUAUAGCGAUUAAAUUAUAACUUUAGGAAUAAUAAAAGAACCAAAUUUGAAGUUUAACCAUUAAUCUAUAAUAAGAAAGAAAAAAAAACAUCGUAGCAUGAGAUGCCACGUGUCGAUAGACUUUCGUUUGAUAUAUAGUUUAUAGAUGGCCAAGUGCUCCUAUUAAAAUCUUUAUUAACGUUAUCAUUUUUUCCAUUGUUAGUAAUUUUUUUUAACUCUACAAAAAGAAUUAAAUAAAUAACAUGUAGAGGUGAGCAUGGGUCAGGCCACCGGCCCGGUUCGAAGGCUCGUCCGAAAUGUGGGAGGGUUUGGACAAAAAUAUAAGCUCGAAAAAUAGGCUUGGAUAAAAAAAUAAGGCCCAUAUAAAAAAUGGGUCAGGCCUCAGAUAAGGUAUUUUUUGCUCGGGCCCGGCCCGAAUUUAUUAAAGGACAAAAAAAUCUAAUUUUUUUAAUAUUAUUUUCUUGUUAUUUUCUCUCUAUUUUGCUACCAUUAAACUAUUAUGUUGUUACUAUUUUGUUGUUACUGUUCUGAUAUUGUAUAAAACUUAUAUUAUUGUUAAUUUUGUUAUUAUUUUAAAGACAUUUGCUUGUUAAGUUGCAUCUAUCUUAAUGUUAUUUAAGUAUACAUAUUUUUUAAAAUUUAUUUUUAAUUUAUUGGAAAAUAUUUAUUUUGAUGUUUUUAGUAUUUUUGAUUUAUUAUAUAUAUUUUAAAAUUAUAUAAAAAAUAAUAUGGGCGGGUCGGGUCGAGCCCGGGUUUUAGCAUUUUUAUUUGGGUCAGGCUUGGGCAAAAUUUUAGGCCCACCUAAAUUUUUAAUUGGGCCCGACUCGAACCCGGCCCAUGCUCACCUCUAAUAACAUGUAUCUAUUUUGAUUUUUUAAAAUUUUUUAAAUAUUAUUUAAAAACACAUGGUAGUAAUUUAUAAUUGCUUGGGGCGUUUUUUUAAACUUUACUAAUGGAUCAAAUGAUUUCUUUUUUUUUUAGUCCUUAACAGAUUGUAAAAUGAAAGCAAGUCUUUCUGUUUUUAGUUUAAUAGUGUCAUUUACCACAAAAACUUAUGAAGAUAAUGUUAAGGUGUUGAGGCUAAGGCUAUAGAGAAGGAAAAGGUUAGUGGUUCACACAAAGCUAUACAAAGAAAGAGCCACUUGUGGAAGAGUUUAAGCUAAAUCCUUGGCGUUAGGGUUAGAAGUUUGUCCUAAUGGUGAAGGAAAAGGGUUUAUAUAGGUAAGGUUGGUCACCCAUUUCCAUCUAGCCUUGACAUGUUUUCAUACAAGUCUUAUCUUGGUUUGCUCUAUAAAGGACGUGACAGCCUUCUAGCUCUGCGACAAUAAGAUUAUUGUAUCUGGUGAUCAAAUUGUGAUUUGACUUCCAUUGCCUCAAUGAAUCUUCAUGUUCCAUUCAUUUUGCAGGGAGGCUCAAUACUUGUCUAAGCGAGGUAGACUGAAGGUACUUUAUGUGUAAUACCUGUUACCCGGUCUAGUCGUUGAACUCGAGUAAUAGGAUGCUACAAACAAAUAUAGAAUAAUUACAUACCAUUCAUAUUUCAAAAUCUCAAUAAAAUGUCAUUUCACCAUAUAUGAUCAUGAAUACAUGCAAUUCAGUCGAUUUCGGGUUUAAAUCGAGCUUGUGAAAGCUUUAAGGUAACCCAGAAUCAAUCAGGAAUCAAUUUGAAACAAAUACAAAAAGUUGAGAAAAUUUGUAAACAGGGAUCACACAGUCGUGUCCCUAACCAUGUGAAAGGUUGAGGCUGUGUGGGGAUGGGACACACAGCCAUGUGGGCAAGCCAUGUAACAGCCUGAUGCCGUAUGAAGUUGGAGUCACACAAUCAUGCGAACAAACCAUGUAACUCACUGAUGUCGUGUAGGUUAAAAAUGCAAUUUUUCAAAAGAUGUCACACAACCGUAUCGUCGAGCCGUGUACCAAAUUAUGGCCAUGUGCACCAAUUCUUACCCAAAACAUACAGACCGCAUGACCAUGCCAUAUGCCCGUGUAUGGCACACGAUCGUGUAUCAAACCGUGUAUACCUGGAGAAACCUUUCAAAACAAGCUUCUAGUCCUAAUCCACUUAAGCCCUAAGGAAACACUAUACCAUUUCUCAACCAAUUCAAAAGCAUCAAAAUCAUGUCAAAAACAUCACUUAUAACAAUAAUCCUAAGUGUCUAACCAAUAUGCCACAAUUGACAUUUCAAAAAAACAAUUCAAAAUCAACCAAAUUAUUAUAUUCAACCCAUUCCAAUAUGCCUUCAAAGACACUUCAAUACAAUCGAAAAAUUUUAUUCUAUUUAGCCAUUCAAGCAACCUUAAUUCAACCUUAUAAGCAUGCACUCUUCUAUACCUAUUGCACAGCACAUUAUUUAAUCAAUUUUUAAUUAUAAGUACCAAACCAUUCAAUAAGAUGACAUUGCCAUCACACACGUAUAUACAUAAACAUGAUUCUCAAAAUGCCAACAAAACUCAAGAUAGAACAUUGUAUAACAAAUGACACCUUAGGUACAUGCCAUGACCAAAAUAAAAACAUCACCAACACUUAAGUCCAGGAUUGCCACUGAUUGUUGAAGUUGACGAUUGGAUCGAAAAGUACCUAGCCUGCGCACGUAAAACAAAAUUGUACGCUGAGCAUAACUCAGUGGUAUUCCUAUAAUCCAAACAUUAAUAUAACAUAAGUCAUCUAAAAUGCCUAAGUUAAAAAUAAAAAAUUAUAUGCAAUUAUCAUGUCAAUUAUGCCAAUUCACACAUUCUUUGUUCAAAUUUAACACAUUUUACGAAUAUUAAGACAUGACAAAUCCACUUCAUAUAUCAUUUGAUAUCUCAAUUCAUAUGGUGGCACAUUCCAUCUCAAUUUUCAAAUUCAUGAGUUCAAUGAACAUAACUAUCAAUGUUCCAAAUCAUUUCACAAUUGAAUAUUUCAUUUCACAUUUCACAUUUCACAUUUCACUGUUAUCUUUUAUUCAUUUGUCAAUUCAAUAUAAAAUAUUACAUCUCAUAUAGAUUUUUUGAUCUAAUGUAUUGGAAGACUUGUUCAUCAACAUUAAUUCAAUUAUGAAUAUUUCGUUUUUACCUAUCCCCCUAUUAACACGACUUGGACUCAGACAGAUACACAGAUCCAACCAACACAAUAGUUUGGAACCCAAUGCCUCAUCGGAUAAAUUCGAAGCAAAUAGUUGCGCCUAACGUUUAUCAUUAAAUUUGACACCCAAUGCUUUAUCGACUCGUAGUCGAAGUAACUCUGAACUUUUCAUAGCCUAUGACAUACCAACUAUAUCCGACUCUACUCGAACAGUUAAUAAAAUAUUUAUACCACCAAUCUUUAUUAACCAAUGCCUCAAAUCAUACUGUAAUAUCAUAAUCAAAUCACUAGUUUAAGCAUAUGAUAGCAUAAUUCAUCUCAAUAUGAAUACAAUUCCACAUUUAUAAUAAUAUACAAUAUUGUCACCUUUGAAUUUAGUCCUUGUAAUUAUCAAUCAAUUCAAACAAUUCAUAUUAUCAAUACAACUCACCCCAUGAUCGUACCAUGCAAAACAAUCCAGUAUACAACAUUUCAAAUGUAGUUCGGACUAUAGAAACACAAACCGUAAACUCCGAGCUAUUCGUCGACGACUUUGUCUUUUCCUCUCUCUUUCAAGAAAUUCGGGUUGAUGUUAGCUAUGGAUUAAUACAAACUUAUAAAAUUAUCAAUACACAAAUAAUUUCACAUUCAGUUGCUAAUUUAUGUAACUUUUGUAUUUUAUUCAAUUUAGCCCUUAAAAUCGAGAUUAACAUAACUUUCAAAUUUAGCCUCCAAUUUUUAUGCACUCUAGUCCUAAUUAAACCCUAUUUUCUCAUUUCUACCACAAAUUUCAAAAUUUAUGCAAUUUAGUCCCUAUUGAACAAAAUCAUUAAUUGAAUUUAUAAUUUAAUCCUUUUUCAAUUUCAAUAUUAAAAUUUAUCAAAUUGACACCUAAAACUUCAACUAUUCAAUAGUGGUAACAUCCUCAAUCUUUAAUAGUACCGAAAAAUAUAACAUGAGUCAGCUAGCUUAAUCUCCUAAGAUUCUGAAAUCAUAAAAAUUACAAGGACUAAAUUUCACUAACCAAUUUUUGAAUUGAAAUUGAAAACCCCUAAGCCAAACGUCCUCCUCCCUUUUAGGUUUUGGUUUCUUUUGCAUGCAAAUAUGGAAGAAAAUGUUUUGUGUUUCUUUCCACCAAUUAAGUUUAUUCUUAUUCUUAUUUAUUUAUUUAAUAAUUUUAUAACAUUUUCAACAUUUAAAACCCAUGUUAUCGUCCACUCUUAUUAAUACAUUGGUUUAAUUACUUCAUAAGUUCCUUUGGGUGAGUUUGGAUGGGCAGUGCGUUUACCUUCGGUUAGUGUAAAAACAACGGUGGCAGUGAGAUUAGAUACUGUAGCGACACUGUAGCGUGAGACAAUAAGUAAGCUAAACGCACCGCACCGUACCCAAUCGCCCAUCCAAACUAAGCCUUAGUCUUAUUCUAAUUAAAGAUACCUUAAGAAUUGAAUUUUUAACACUUUUACGAUUUAGUUCUUAUACCCUAAUUAAGCACUAAUUUAACAAAAUUACCUCUUCGAAAUUCAAAUCAUUCUAAUAUAACUCUGCAAAUUUUUAAUAAUAAUAUUUACGAGUCCGAUUUACGAAAACGGGGUCUUAAAUCACAUUUUCUAAUACCACGACUUUCAGAUCGUUACACCAUGUCUCAUGCACACCAUACACUAACAAGGUUCGUAAUCGAGGUAAUCGAGGUACAAAUGGUGGAUGGUAUGUACCACGAAAGGAAAGUAAAAGUGAAAGAUUGAAUAAUAAGUUAACCGUUAAAUUGAAUAGUAAGGAAUUCGAUGCGUGUUAAACAAAUAUAUCUUAUUUGAGUCUUGUAGAUAAAGAAAAUAUCAGUAAGAGAACUUUACUUUUCAUUUCAUUUCAUAAUGGCCCAAUAUGGAUCAAUUCUAAAUUUAAUCCAAACUUCGAUAUCCAAAGAUCAAAAACAAAAAACAAGAUGGGGUUUUACAACAAAAAGGAGAGUUGAUCAUAGAAAUCAGAUAUUGAGUAUUUCAGUUUGACCAGCCAAGAACAUGUGUCCAAAUGCGACCAAAUCUGCAUAAUGAUUAUAGCCCACGCACCACUAUUUCCCGUUCAAAGCUUUCUUCAUUGUGAAAAAGAAAGGAUAUAAGGAGUUUCAUACGUGGAAUCAUAUCCACCAUAGAUCUUCAACUAUUGCAAACAAAUAUAUCUCCCAAAUGCUACCAAAUUCAUAAUAAUUAUCACCAAGCAACUCCUGCACCGUUGAUUAGACUUGUCCAUGCAACAAAAUCCCAGUUUCAAUUUUAAGAUAAAUUGCACUACUAGUAACUCAAUUAUUAAUACAUUUUCUUUUUAAUUAUCUAAUUGUAAAAAGUUACAAAAUGAUCACUCAAUUAGUAGUAUUUCUUUGACCACUCAACUAUUCAAUUUUGUAUUUUUUAUCAGUCAACUAUCUUAAAUUUUUAGUUGUUUUCAUUUUUACGUUAGUUAGCUGAUAAAAAAAAAGAUAAAAUUGAAUAAUUAUGUGACAAUUUUAUAAUUUUUAUAGUUGAAUGAAAAAAAAAUACUAAUAAUUGAUGAUCAUUUUAUAACUUAUCAUAAUUAAAUGAAUAAAAAUAAAUUUACAAAUAAUCAAAUGAUUACUAGACGAAUUUACCUUUUACUUUAAAUAAAAGUCCAAAAAUUUUAAAUUAAAGAAAUAUUUUAACUUAUUAGAUUGGAUUAAAUUCGAAUUCAUAUAUCAUAAUAUAUUUUAUAAGAAAUAUUGAGAACAAUGUUUUAUUCGCAUGUAUUGUAAUAAAUGUAUUAUAUUGUUACAUCAUUAUUUAAUAAUUUCGUCCAUUAAAUGGUCCAUGUAAAUAUGUUAAUAAUUUUAAAUUUGAAAAAUAUAAAAAAUUAGAGGAUUAAUUCUAUAUUUUUUAAAGGAAUAAUUUCUACAAAGUAUAAAUAUAAUUUAAGUAUUAAGUACAUCUUCUAACAACUAUAAAAUAGAAUUAAAUCAAUGCAACAUAAAGGUGGAUAGAAAAUUAAAAAUGAUAUGAACUGAAAUCGACGCAGCACAAUCAUGUAUGAUGGGAUUGAAGACUUACGUACAUAUGUAUAAUUGUGCACGAUGAGAUUCAAAUCUGGACACUCUGAACUGAAGGUCUUAGCUUUUGCCUAUGAUAUCGAGGCUUUAUUGGUAGGACGCCCUCAAACUAUGACAUAAAUUUUAAUUUGGUCAUCAAAUUUUAAUUUUUAAAACAUUCUAACUAAUCUUAAAGUAUCCCGAUCAUAUAGAUGAGAUCCUUUCAUUAAAUUUGAGUAUUAAGUAUCAUCUAAAAUAUGAUGUGAAGCGUAACUAAAAUAAUUAAAUUAAUGAUGAUUGAGUCUUGGCUCAGUUGGUAUCGGUAUUCUUGUUAAUGCAAGGGGGAUGUGGGCGAGUGUGUUAAAAUGUAUUAUUAUCUAAUUUUAGAGUUAAGAAGGGAGAUGUUAUGGGUAAUUCUAGGCAUUGUAUCGAAAAAUAAAUACUAAAAAAUAAAUAAAAAGUGCAAAUAAUUUAAAAUUAAAUUAAUAAUUUUGUUUACUAUGGGAAUUAUAUUAUCUCAUAUAAAAGUUGUAAUUCGGAAACUCUUUACAUUGUUUUAAGGAUCAAAAUCCAUUGAGAUAUCGAUUUAAAAUAAAAGUUUAAACUUAUUGAUUGACAAAUUAGUUAAAUUAUUUUUUUAAAAUUUUUAUAUUUUAAUUAAAUUAAAUUAAUCGGACUAAAAAUUGAUGAUUUAAUUAACUCAAAAUCAGUUUCUGAAAAUCUUGACUUUUUUUUGUUAAUAAUUUGACCAUUGAAAAAGUAAGUAGGUGGGUGGGUAAACACAAGAAGAGAGACACAUGCACAACCUGAAAGACUAAUAAAAACCAUAAAAACAAAUAAGAAAAGAAGAGAUGGUACAAACAAAAAGCAGUAUACAGAGAAAGAAAAGAGAGGAAGGGUCAUGUCACAGCAACCCAACAUGCCCCAAAAAUCUCUGAUAUGUCUCAGUAAUUAUAAGAAAAAGCAAACAGCUACCCAUUGCUAUUUAAUAGAAAGAGAAAAUCUAGAAAGAAUGCAGUCAAAUUCCAUAAAAGGUCCUUCUACUAUACCUUUUUAUUUUUUUAGACCUCCGUUUAUAUUUUGAUGUUUUUGAAAAGGUAUAUUUUUCAGUCUAGAAAUUUAUUUUUUUAAUUAAUUUUACAUUGUUUCUUUAGAGUUUAUAAAUGUAAAUACAAUUAUAAAUACAUGUAUGAGCACCUACAAAAUAAAAUUAAACUAAUGUAAAACAUAAACAGAUUAAGAAAUCAAAAUAUAAUCGAACAAAAUUCAUACGUGACAAUUGCGUAAAAUGAGACUAAAGACCCCACACGUAGUAGUUUUGGAUAUUCAAAAACUCAAGGUUUCUACCUUUAUUGAUAAUGCUAACGCCUCGUUGGCUUAAUGUUUUCUCUUUUUUAUCUUAUAUACAUAUAACAAUUAAUUCAAUUUUUAGAUCAUGAUACACCUACGAUGUGAGUUAAAAAUUUAUAUAAUAAAUUUAUAAAAAAGACUAUAAAAAACGGAAUGUGACUUUUAUUGAAGUGAUGAAAUUGAGAUAGUAAAAAAAUACAAUGCAUUGUGUUCAAAUCUCAUGAUUUUUAUUAUUUGUUUAUAUUUUUUUAGAUUUAACAAAACAUAAAAAAGAUAUAAAUAUACUCGAUAAUUUUACAAUUGAAUUGAAGACCCGAUUAAUGGGUGGGAGCCAAUUGAUAGAUAAGAUUAACUUCAUUAAGCUCUUAAUAAUAGUAAGUAUAGAUACAAAAAUAUCUCAAAAUAAAAUAAAAAAUACUCAUUUCCAUCCGGGUUUGAGCCUCUAGGGGAGCAAGUAGUAGACCUUUAUUUGGUCAACUCUCUUUGGACUUAGUAUAUGCAUGUAUGGCAUGGGUAUGUCCCUAGCUUGUGUGUAUGAGUAUUAACCUUCUAAUUUUACAAUACCAAAAAUUAAAGAGACUAAACGCUACAAACUACAAAUACAAAGGACCUUUUUGUAGAACUAGAACCUACUCGAGUUCAAUCCUCUAAGGAAGCAAGUGGUAGACCUUUAUUUAACCAGCAUUUUCUAGACGUAACGUGUGAAUAUGUGGUGUGAGUAUAUUUUUACCGUGUGUAUAUAAGUACUAAUCUUCUAAUAAGGGACUAAAUUCUCCAAAUCAAGAAAUACAAAGGACCCCAUCGUAGAAUUUAACCAAAGAAACCCCCUUCUUCACCACCCUAAAAAAACUCACUCAUUGCAAAAUUGCCUGCUUGCUUUCUCCCCGUCCCCUUAGCCUUUGCUCAUGGGGGACUUUCCCUCAUAAACCCCUUUGUUUCUUUCUUUCUUUCUCUCUCAUCCCUAUUUUACCUUAUAGCUUCCCUAGUUCUUUUUUUUCUUUUUUUACUCUACAUUCAUCAUCCAUCAUCAUCAUCAUCCUCUUUAUAUGCACCUUUUCAUUCCCCACCCCCCCUGGUUUUUUUCCGGCCAAACUUAUAGCCCCCAUCAAACACACAACACCCACACACUCUUUCAAUAUUUACAUAUUUAUAUUAUAUAUAUUCCCAACGCCAUAAAAAGGAGUUGCAGUAAAAAGGGUUUGCGGGAAAGUAAUCAAAAAAAAAAUAAAGAAAAAUAAAUAAAUAUAAGGGUUUGACUGAAGAAACCGAGGCCACCCACGCUCGUCUAGUACUAGUAUCACACACCCUAUACCCAAUCUUCUUUUUUUAAGUUUUAAUUUAUUAUUUAUUUAUUUUAUUAAACUCCCAAGACAAAAAGAAUAAGAAUAAUAGGCAAAAUUCUUCAUCCCAAGAUCUUCUUCCUCAUAGUCAGAGUCAGACACCCUUUCUUUCUCCAUCUUUUCCCAUCUCUCCUUUUCACUAUAUUUUUAAUUAUUAUAUUUUUUCAUUAUUUAAAAAUAAAAAUUAUUCAACUUCUAUUAAAUUCGAAAUCGAAUUAAAUUAAAUCUUUUUAAACGCCCAAAAUUAAAUUAUUUUUAAAAAAUAAAAUAUACGUAAACUUUAAAAUAUUAAAUAUAUAUUAUCACUGCAUCUAAUACACAAUAAUAAUAAGACCUUAUUUAAUAUGGCAUCAUUCGAAAAAUCAGUGAAUGAAAUAUAAACCCAAUUUAAUUAUUUUUCGUUAUAAUAAAGUUUCAUUACUUCUACACCUUUUAACAAAGGCUGAAUGAAGCUGCAGCUAGUAACACAAUAUAGUAUUUUUCUAUGAAAUUCAAGCAAGAUCUGUUCCCCAAAAGCUUCUCUCCCUCACCAUCGAAAGUUGUGAAGUAAAAAAGGUCUUCCUUUUGCGAGAUCCAAUCCCACCAUUAACAUACUGGUAAAAAGAUGUCAACUACCCCCCAUUUUCAUCAUCUUCUUCCUCAAAAACCCUAAAAUAUUUUUACAGUUCUAUUUAAAUCCUUCAUAUAGUCCACAAAAAUGGAUUCGUUUGGUUCUAUGCAAGUAAAUAUUUGAUAUAAAUUCUGGGUUUUUUGCCGAGAAAAUAUUUUCUCAAGAUUUCCAUAAAUAAGCUUCGUUUUAUACACGUAAAGUUGUAAAAAAAUAUCCGUCAACUUUCCUUUUUUUGUUUGAUAUAUUGUGUUUUUUUUCUUAAAGAUUGUGAAGAAAAAGUUAAUGUUUUGUUUUUGUGGAUGAUUUUAUUAUGGUUUUGCAGAGAAAAAAGUGGAAUAUGGCUUCAUCGUCUUCAUCGUCGUCGAAUUCUCCGUGUGCGGCUUGUAAGUUUUUAAGGCGGAAAUGUCAGCCGGAGUGUGUUUUCGCGCCGUAUUUUCCUCCAGACCAGCCACAAAAGUUCGUGAAUGUUCACAAGGUGUUCGGUGCUAGCAACGUUACGAAGCUACUCAACGAGCUGCACCCGUCGCAACGGGAGGACGCGGUUAAUUCGCUGGCGUAUGAGGCGGAUAUGCGGUUGAGGGACCCCGUUUACGGUUGCGUUGGGGUUAUAUCCCUCCUCCAGCACCAACUCCGGCAACUGCAAAUGGAUCUCAGCUGUGCUAAGUCGGAACUCUCAAAGUACCAGAGCUUGGGUAUAACGGGACACGCUGGUCUCAUAGCGGCAGCAGCGGCUGCUACGGCUACGACCCAUCAGAACUUAGGGAUCAAUCUGAUCGGUAACGGCGGCGGUGGUGGAGGAGGAGGACGGGAACAUCAUUUCCACCACCAUCAAUUCUUCCCCAGGGAUCAUCACCAUCACCAUCAACAACAGAUGUUAAUGAGCUUCGAUGCUAGCAGUAACUGCGACGCAAAUCUCCUCGCCAUGAACGUCUCUUCAGGGAUCGGUCAACUCAGUCAGUUCCAAUCACCUCGUGCUGCUGCCGGUGAUGACCGCCGUACCAUUCACCCCUCUUAGGGUUAGGGUUUCAUUACUCCUAAAUCAUCAUAGCCACCCACAGGUACACUUGGUCCUUCUCUUCUAUUAUUAUUAUUAUUUGGUCCGUUAUUUACGAUAAUCACUUUGUACUUCCAUUUUCGAUUAUAUUUACAUAUUAUUAUUAUUAUUAUUAUUAUAAAAGGGUAUUGAAAACCAUGGCUAUUUAUUCACUGUCACAAUCACAAACUAGGGUUUAUAUCCAAUUUUGCUUUCUGGGGAAAUACUAAAUGUUAAAAAUUAGGGUUUUUAAUGGAAAACUUUAAAUUUAGCAAUAAUUUCUCUCUCUCUCUCUCUAUUUUUUAUUUCCAUAAAUUUUCUUUUUUUAUUAUCAUCUAAACACCAAUUAUUUUCAAAACUUUGAAAAUCACAUAUGAUCUUAAAUUUUCAGAAUUAUUUCCAAACUAUGAUUUAAUUUCUUUAGAUUAUUUGAAUAGGAGCAUUAAAUAGCAUAAGACUUGCAUUCUAAUUUACAUCUAAUUUUUCUUUUCUUUUUUCUCAUAGGGAAAUCAAGCAAAAUUACAAUUUUUAGGGGUUUUUUUUUAUCCAUAAUGAAUAGACAAAGUAAUAUCAUUCUAAACCCUAAUGCAUAAAAUAAUAAGUAAUUACCUAUAAGUUGAUGAAAAUAAUGUAUUAAAUAAAAUCUAUUACUUUGGACCAACAAUUUAAGUUUAUUUUUAAAGAAAUAAUAAUUUAAUUAACUUAACAACUUUGUUAACGAAGGCACACACUCUUUAAGUUGCUAUAUAAAAUAAUAUUUUUUACCCUAUUUAUUAGAAUAUAAAUAAAUAACCUUAAAUGGAACACUUAAAACAUGGGGUUACCUAAAAAUCCCUUCUUCUUUUUUGAACUUCUUUCAAGGGAAACUCAAAAACAUUCCUGACCAGGUCACUGUGAAACCCUAGUUUUAAAUUUUACCAUAAAUAAAAACAAAGGUUGAUUAUAACUGGAAAUUAUUUUGCCAAUUUUCAAAGUCUUGAUUGGUUAAUCGAAUGAAGUGUAGGGAGGGUUAUCGUGGUGGUACCCUUACCAUAAGAAAAUUUAAAAUAAAAUAGUCACAAAGGAGGGUGAGACACAGUUCCCAUUGUUGUUGACCAAACAGCCUACUUAAAAUUAUAUAUGGAAAAGGCAAAUGGGCAUAAAAGAUGAAGUAUAAUUGAAGCAGAAGCUGCUGCACAGUGAUGACUUGAUCAUGCAUGCAGAAUUAUUGAUUUUUAUAUUUAUGUUAUGUAUUUGUUUACUCAUUUAUCAUACUUAAUAUUUUCAAACAUAUUUAUAUAUUUCGUAUCGUGUUUUAUUAAUCAAGCAAUCGACUUAUUUCAGUUUAAAUUAAUUAGAGUUCCAAAUCUUUUAUAUCUUGUAUCAUUUUAAGUUCAUUCCAGUUAUUUCGACUAUAUCGUAUUGUCUCACCCAAUAAUCUCGUCUUAAUCAGAGAAUAUUUCUUUAAUUAAUAAACUUGUUGCUUGUAAUGCAGGUUAGGGUGUUGAAUUUCUACCAAAGAUUCAGCGUUGAGAGACUGCCGUUUUAUUUUAAUUAUUAUUAAAAUUAAUAAUAAUUAAAAUAGGGUUUCCUCUCUCUCUUCUGUUUUGCUUUUGGUAGACAUAAAUAUAUAUUAUUGAAUAGACUCUUUUUUUUCUUAAUUUAGCUUUAAAUUUUAAUUUAUCAUCAUCAUCAUCAUAAUGUUAUAUAUAUAUAUUUGAGCUGCUAAAAAUUGUACCCCAAGACUUACAGUAUAACACCAUUGGGGCUUUUGCCUCUUAAAAUGUGCCAAUUGCCUUCUAUUCCUUUUAUUUUGUUUUCUUUCUUUUGAUUUUUUUCUCUUUAAAUUGUUCAUUCUCUUGUUUUUUUCUCUCUUGUAUUGUUGGUGUGUAUAUAUAUAUAUAUAUUAUUAAGUAUAUAUGUAUUAUUUUAGCUUUGUUAUUUAGGUUCAUAGAGUUUAAAAAGCACUAAAAAUUAAUUAAAUUCAAAUAAAAAAAAGAAUUAAAUUAUGAGAUAUUUCGUGAAUAAUUAUGUAAUAAAUUUAUAUAAAUUUGAUAUAAAAAUUAAAUAUAAUUUUGAUUGAAAUGAGAAAAUUGAGGAACGAAUGUUAUGGUAUUUUUGAUUUUAUAUAAAUAUAUAAAAAGAUAAAAAAAUACCAUACGAAAAUAAUAGAUUUUUGGUAAUUUAAGAAUUGAGUUGGAUGUAACUCCCUUUCAAAAAUGGUUAAAUUGUUGCAUGGCCCCUCUAGAAAUUGUAAGAUUAAAAAUUAAUAUUGUAAUAAAAUUACAUUUUAAUUUUGAUUUUUUUUACUUAUAUUGAAUUGAUGAAUUUGAUAUAUUUAUACCACUUAUAAAAUUGCUAAUUGCAUUAACGCCAUAAAUUAAUUAAACACCAAUUCAAUUUUAAAAGAAAUUAAAAUUAUUUAAAAAAUAUUAUAAUAAUAUUUAUAUUUUUCUAUAAUUUUUAAUAAAAAAUAACUUAAAAUAAUUCUCAAAUAGAUAAUGAUUAAAUUAAAAGAUUCUAGGCUAAAUUAGGGUUAUAUGCUGAAAAUUAAAAAUAUUUGGUCAAAUAGGCCAAUUUUAGAGAGAGAAUGUGAAAGCAUGUCUAGUUGAAUGCGCUUUCUACACAGUUAGCAGGAAAACACAUCUACACUUCUUUAGCCAAGGAGAGAGAAAAAAAAUUGGACGCGCUUUCACAGAUUUUCUUCAAAAUUGAUUUAAUUCCUUAAAUUUAAAAUAAAUCGACGUAUAUGUCUAAUUCAGUGAAAAUUCUAUAGACAGGGGCGAAGCCAGGGGGCUAGCAUGGGCCCCGGCCCCCUUAAAAUGUAAAAUUGUAUUUUAGGCUCUUAAAAUUUUAAAUUAGUAAAGGUAAAAUUGUACUUUAGCCCCCCUAAAUUUAUAAAAAUUUAAUUUAAUCAUUUACGAAUUAUAAAGAUAUAAAUUAUAAAAAAUUAAAAUUUCAUCCGGCUCCCUUUAAAAAAAUUUUCUAGCUUCGCCCUUAUCUAUAGAUAUAUAUAUUUUCUUUUACAUGAUCUAUAACAACCUAAAUAUAAAACAUGAUUGAAUCUUCACCAAUACUUAUGUAUCAAACUAGGUUAUAUAUAAUAUAAUCCUUUACAAAAACUACAACAUAUUGUAACUACAUUCUAAUUUAGUCCAAACAUAGUUUAGUUUUGGGUUAAAUUGAAAACAUGAUAAUAAUGAAUUAAAAAAUAUAUAUACAUAUAUAUAUAUAUAUGCUAAACAGAAGCCAACAGUUUAGAACAUGAACUAGAGAGAGAAAGGGAAAAAGAAAACCCUUAAUAAACACUUACUGUCAAUGCAUUGAAUGAAAAGGCCAUCAUUGCAAAAGUACGUCAUCAUUAUAAUGCAUGCAAAUGCAAAGAGCAGUGUGCUUGUUUUUUAUUUUUAUUUUUUAUUUUAUUUUUAUUACAUUAAUGAAUAUGGCAUUGGCCUGCCAUUUGCAUUGGCAUAAUAGAUAUUUCAAAAUUAUUAUUAUUAUUAUUUUUGCUUUGGAUUUAGGGAUUGGAGUCUUAAAUGCUUCAAUUUUAUUUUUAUUUUUAUUUUUAUUGUUACAUAUUUCUUUGUGUCAAUGACAAUUGACAAUUGACAUUUCCUCUGCAACAGCAUUUUUGUGAGCUUAAAUUCCCACCCACCCUCCCGGUUUUGUCUUCUUUGUCUUAUUCUCUUGUCUUUCUGUUUUCUUAUUCAAAAUUACCUAACCUAUCUAUGCAAUUUAAUGCUAAUAUGUGAAUUUGAAUCUUAAAAUUAUUAGUGUUGGGAAAAUUUUCAUCUCAAUAUACCUUUAAUUUGAGUAAGAUUAAUCGGUAAAACGGGCAAGAACACUUGUGAUUAUGUUAAAAUACACUCAUGUUUUGGAAACGUCUGAUUUGAGUAUAGAAGGUUAACUAUUUGAAUUCUAAACGAUUUAAAUUCAAAUGAACUUAACCUAAAACAACUAAACACCGUAUUAUUCAAAUAAUAAUACAAAAGUGGAUUUUCAUUAAAUUAGUUGAGAUUGAAAUUUAUUAAUUUGCCUUUGGACUAAUAACUGAGUCGAUAUAGAAAUGGAGGGUUUUAUAAAACAAUUGUACCAAGGAUCCCUUUUGCUAAUAACCCUGUCGAAACCCUUUUUUUUCCCUUACUGAGAUCGACUUUUAAAUUGACUUUUUAUUUUAAAAUGAAAAUGGGAGUCGUCACCAAUUUUUUUAUGAGUUGUGAUCAGAUCACCUCGUAAUUUGAUUGUUUUAAUAAAAGGCUUGAUUUACUAAAACAAUGAUUUUUGGUCUACAAAUUUCGGAAAAUGAGUUCGGGAUUCGGUUACACAUGAGAAAGAAUUAGCACCCUCAUUACGCCCAAAAUUGGUACCUAAUUUAUUACUCGAUAUCUUAUUAUUGAAAAUAAAAAAUUUGAAAAGAAUUUAAAACGCGAUCCCACUUUAAAUAAUGUUAUUUUAAAUUAAAAUCACUUGAAUAAAUCAAAAUGCAUGUAAAUGGCUCUUUUAUCUCGAGGUAACAAAAUGUCAUAUCCCACACAACAUCUCGAAUCCUCGAAAAUAAGCUUGCUCUUUAUUUUAAUUACUAUUUAAAUCUCAUGUGUUUUAAUUUUGAAAUGAUGUUUUGUUAUUUAGGUUCAAAGAGAAAAUCAAACCCCAUAAGUUAGGGCUGAUUUCUCGAAUCUCUAAAUAAGAACGUUGCCUUGCUUUUGAAACUCUCCUUUUUACACACCGAGUAAAAAAUUAAUAUGACACUUAAAGUAACGUGUUUAGUUUAUUCGGGUACAAUAUAAAACGGGCAAAUAUGUCUAAAGAUAAUGUAUGACAUGGUAAUAAAUAAAACAAUGCAAAGAGGCUAUGUGGGUAGAAUACUAAAAUAACAAAUAAUAAAUAAAUGAAUGCAAUAAUAAUAACAAUAUAAUUUCAUUAAUGAUAAGAAAAAAAAUAAUAGCUAUGGCAAUAAUCAUAUUAGUUAUUGUUCUAAUACUAACUAAAUAAUAAAGUGACAUUACAACAAAACAGGUUUUUAACGACGUUUUUCAAAAAGCGCCGCUAUAGAUUGAGAAUUAGCGGCGCUUUUUGAAAAAUGCCACUAUAGAUCAAGCAUUAGCGGCACUUUUUUAAAAAACGCCGCUAUAGGUCCACCAUUAGCGGCGCUUUCUGCAAAAAGCAGUAAAAAAAUUAAGUACAACGCCGUCGUUUUAUGUUGAGCUUUAGUGGCAUUAGCGGUGCUUUUUGAAAAACGCAGUUAUAGAUCGAGCAUUAGCGGCGCUUUUUAAAAAACGCCGCUAUAGGUCGACUAUUAGUGGGUCUUUUUGAAAAAUGCCGCUAUAGAUCGAGCUUUAGCAGCACUUUAUCAAAAACGCCGCAAAAACAUUUUAUCUUUCUAUUUAUUAUUUAACUGGCUUAUUUAUAUUAAUUAAAAUAUAAUUUAUUUUUAAUUGAAUAUUUAAAUUCUUCAAAAAAAUAAUGACACGUAGAAAAAAUUUAAAAGUAAAAACAUAGAAAAAUAUUUGUUAAAAAUGAAAAAAGUUAAAAUGCUAUUAUUUAAAAUAAAUUUAAAGUUUUUUGGGUAUAUGACUAAUUGUUUUUUAAUUUAUAUAUUAAAUAAUUUCUUAUUUAAUUGUAAAAGUGAUAUUAUUAAUUUUAAAAUAUUGAAUUAAUUAUCAUUUUAAUUUAGGGUUUAUGGUUUAGGGUAUAUGGUUUUGGUUUUAAGCUUUAAGAGUUACUAUUUUAAGGUUUAUGUAUUAUGAGUUUAGGGAUUAUGGUUUAUGGUUUAAGGACUAGGGGUUUGGGGUUUAUGAUUUAUGUUUUAUGAUUUAAGGUUUAGGGGAUAAGAGUUAGGGGUUUAGGGUUUAAAUUAAUUAGUAUUUUUUAAUUUAUAUAUUAAAUAAUUUCUUAUAUAAUUGUAAAAGAGAUGAUAUUAAUUUUAAUAUAUUAAAAUUAUGAUUAUCGUUAAAUUUAUUUAAGAGAUAAUAGAUAAACUUUAUAUAUAUUAAAUGGUUUAGGAUUUAAGGUUUACUUGAGAUUGUUAAUGAUGAAAUUUUAUACAAUCAAUUAAUGCUUUUUUAUUUAAAAGUUUUAAUCUAAACCAUUUCAUAUAUAUUUUAAAAGUGAAAAAAAUUAAAAUACUAUUAUUUAAAAUAAUUUUAAAGUUUUUUUGGGUAUAUGACUGAUUGUUUUGAAUUUUACAUAUUAAAUAAUUUCACUUUAGCGGCUUUCAUGGGAAAAGCACCGCUAAAGGUCAUGUUCUAUAGCAGCGUUUGUGGUAAAAGUGACGCUAAAUGUCAUGUUCUUUAGUGGCGUUUGUGAGAACAACGCCGCUAAAGGUCAUGUUUUUUAGCGGCGUUUAUGAGAAAAGCGCCACUAAAGGUCAUGUUCUUUAGCGACGUUUGUGGAAAAAGCACCGCUAAAGGUCAUGUUCUAUAGCGGCGUUGUAACAACCCAAUUUUUAGUGGUGUCGAAAACAGUAAUUUGAGGAUCACUAAAUCCAACAAGUAAGUUUGAUAUUUUUUAUAAAUUAAUAAUUAUGGGUCAAGUGUGAAUUUAGAAAAAUUUUUGAAUUAGUGAAUUUUUAUGAUUUAAAAAAAGAAGAAGAAGAAGAAUUUAAUAAGUAAAUUGGAUCUAAAACGAGGUAUCGAGACCUCAAUUUCAUAAUCCGAGUCAUAAACAUUUUUAUAAAUAUUUAUGGAAUGUCAUUGAGUUAGUAUUAAAGUUUUGUUAGAAAAUUUUAACAUUUGGAUAGUCAAUUAAUUAAAAAGGACUAAAUUAAAAGAGGUGCAAAACUUGCUAAAAUGAUUAAAUAGCUCAAGUGUUAAAUGAAGGAGGAAUUAAAAGGCAAAUUAGCCUAAACGGAAUGGAUGAGGCGGCAUAAGCAAGAAAAAAAUCUGAAAUUAGGUGAACUAAAGGUAAAAUGUUAAAUUUUACAAAAUUAAACAAAUAAAUAGAAAUUGAAAAAGAUUUCUAGGCCAUUCUUCUCAUAAUAUCGGCUAGACAGCCAUGGGAGAGAGCUUUUAAGCUGGUUUUUCACAAUUUUACUGCAUGUGAGUUUAUUUCUUGCCCUUUUCUUAUAACUUUUGUAUUUUUAAGACUUUUGCAAUUAGCUCCAACUAUCUAAUUCAUUAGUUUUUUAUUUUAUGGGUGACUUUAAAAGUUACCAUGAAUAAUUGUUGUAUGAUUAUAGUGAAUUAUUAUGGAAUUGAAGUUCUUAUUUUAUUAUAUGAUGAUUUUAUUAAGUGAUUUUGAUAGAAAUUGAUUUUAGGACCUAAUUGUGAAAAAGUUGAGAAUUAAGGUUUGGUACUGAAAUUAUGAUUUUCAAAGGUUGUGUAGUAGCUUGGAAUGAAUAAAUAAAGUGUUAAUUGAGAAAAAAAUUAGCUCAAUUGAUGGGUUAAUUGAGCAGAGACUAAAUUGUAAAAACUGUAAAAUUUGGGGAAAAAGUGAAAUUUCAAGAAUUAAAGGGUAUAAACUGUAAAUUAGAGUAAAAUUGAAAUUAAUGCUAAUAAAUUAAUGAUUUUACAAUUAUAGAUCAAGAACCCGAAGUGAAUCGUGGAAAAGAGAAAAUAGCCGAUUAGUCCCUGAACUUGUAUGACUUUUGCGAAUUUGCCCAGGUAAGUUCAUAUGGCUAAAUUCAAUGUUUUGUUAUGAAAAUUUCAUGAAUAUUAUGGUAUAUUAUUGUAUAUGAACGUUAUAAAAUUUUGAUAAUUGUAAAAUAAUGAUUGAGUAAAAGUACAAAUUAGAUAGAACAAUGGAUUUGAGUACUUUCGUUCAGUGGCUAAGACGAAUUGACAGAAAAGACCAUGGUUGAACCAUGGCAACAUGUGAUAUGUGAUUUUCGUAUAAGACCAUAGCUGGGCUAUAGCAUCAGUGUGAUAUGAGCUUCUGUAUAAGACCAUAUCUGAGAUAUGUCAUCGGUGUGAUAUGUGCUUCUGUGUAAGACCAUAUCUGGGAUAUGGCAUCAGUGUGAUAUGUGAUCUGUGUAAGACCAUGGCUGGGCUAUGGCUUCAGUGUGUGAUAUGUGACUAUGUGCAAGACCAUAGUUUUAUUAUGGCAUUGUAAUAACGAAGUACUCAAUUCUGUAAUCGUUCCCUAAUUUGAUUAAGAAAGGUAAAUGAUAAGGGGGCCCAAGAGAUUAAAAGUUGGUUAAUAAGUGGCAUUGAAUUCAAGCAAGUGAACUUAUCACUAAUUUUGUGAUUGACAGAAGGAGUUAGUGAAUUUAGAUAUUGUAUAAUUGUUAUAAGAUUUUCGAUAAGAAUUAUUUUCUAUGCCCAUGAACUUACUAAGCUUUUAUAAGCUUACUCCUGUGUGUCAAAUGUUCUUUGUAGAUUGACGUGAAAUUGGUGGAUUGGAUCAACACAUCAGGGCACAUUAUCCAUAUUACUUCGGUAAAUUUUAUUGUACAUUUUAAGGUUUAUAUGGCAUGUAUAGGGCUUAAUUGAAAGUAAGUGAAGGUGUUAUAAACUUAGUUAUCAACAUUUUUCACUAAAAUAGUUUUAGAUAGCAGCAGUAGUCCAACUUUGAAAAAUCACCAAAAAUUUUGGAAAUCAACGUAGAGGUUGAAUAAAAUAUGAAAUUAAAUCCUAUUGAGUCUAGUUUUACAUAGAAGAAACAGUGUAAGCAAAAGAAUCUUAUUUUAUGAGAUAUUUGAAUUUUUGUGAGAUAAAGUCAGAAUGAUUUUAGAAUCCCCUGUAAUGAUUUGGGGAAAUCAUUAAAAAUUGUAAAAAAAUAAUUAUGGGUUAUAAUUUAUAUGGUUAAAUUUAUUAAUGAGUCUAUUUUCAAAAUAAAUAAACGGGAACAUUAUCCAAAUUUCUUAUGAGGAGAUAAUUAAUUUUUAGUAAAGAAAGGUCGAAGCUGUCAAAACAGCAGAAUAGGGGUAACUUUGAAGAAUAAACUGUACUUAUUGGCCAAUCCACAAAAUUUUGAAAAUCUUAUGGUAAAAAGAUAUGUGAGUCUAGUUUCAGGUAAAAUUAGCAGAUCUUAAUUUUGAGUUCCGUAGCUCUAGAUAUAAAUAAUUUAGUAACUAUGACUCGAGAAGACAGCUUGACUGGAAUAUGAGCAAAUAGUGGAAUUAUAUGUAAUUAUUCUGUAAACCCCGGUAACAUCCUGUAACCCCUUUCUAGGGACGAUUGUGGGUUAGGGGCGUUACAGGCGUUUAUUGCGGCACUUAUAAAAACGCAGCAAGUUGUUUUAGCGACGCUUAUAGGCUUAAAGAAACGCCGCUAAAAGUCUGUUUUGCUGUAGUGGGAAAAAAUAAUAAUAACAAUAAUAAAUAAAUAAAUAAAUAGAUAGAUAGUGUAAAGAAUCUAUUUUUAAAGGUAUAAAGAGUAAAAAAUAAAAGAAUAAACAAAUAAAUAAAUAAAAGGCUUGUGAAAGGUUAAUGUUAAAUAGACGAUGGACUAAAUUGGAAUUUAAAUGAAAUUAUAAGUAUAAAUCAUAAUAAAAUGAAUAAAUUAAAUAAGGAAACAUAUGAGGACCCAAAUAAAUUGCGCAUAAAAGGGGGGACCAAUUGGGAAAUUAUUCCCUGGCCCUCUGAACGCAUCGUUCCAUCGGGGAUGAAAAUGAAAUAAAAUAAAAGUUUCGUGGUAAAAUUAAAAAGAAAAAAGAAGUGGGACUGGAUUGAAAUGCCAUUAAAAAGCAGAAGGGCCGAAAACAUAAAUAGACCACUUCUUAAGAAAACACGCGGAUCCUGUUACUAUCCGGGUCGGGUUUCGGGUCAUGUUUCAAAACAAUGCCGUUUUGGCGUUUAGAAAUGAAGCCCAAAAUGACGCCGUUUUAUGAGACUAUAAAAGUAAAAAUUUUAAGAAAAAAAUCAUUUGCUUCAUUUUUAAAUUUUUUUUGAAAGCCUGUUUUUUCCCUCAACCAGCCCUUAGGCCAGUCUUCAAAUCCAGUGACCCACCCCACGACGGCCACCGGUCGCCGGUGACGGGCUCCACCAUACCCGAUGGUCGAAAAAUACUAAUAGACUCGAUUUUGAAUGCUUUGACCUCUCGAGUCCAAAUCUAGGGGAAUAUUUCCCAAAAAUCUCUCAAAAAUCACGAAAAACUCCAAAAACUUUCAAUUGUUUUCUUUUUGGGGGGUUUCGAAAACCCUAAAUAUCACAAAAUCCUCCACCUAAGGCGGCGGAGUACAAGCAUUCUGUAAGUUUUCUUUUAAAACCCCUCUUUUUCAUUUUUGUAUUUUUGUAAAAAUAACAACAAUAAAAAAUCACUUUUCUUGAAGCUUUUGUAUUCUUUUUUAUUGUUCUCUCCUUGUAAAAAUUACACUGAUUUAUUGUGGCAUUUAUAGCCAAUAUUAAUUGUUUAUUAUUUCUGUUUUGCUGCUAUUUUGUGUCUAUUCUUGCACGUUGUCUCUGUCCCUUUUUUGCUCUUUUCUUCCAGGUAGAGGAGUCAACGGAAGCGACGGGAGUCGCGCCUUGCUAUUUUGGUGCAAAAGAGGCAGACCUCGGGCGGUGAGCAUGCUGACGCAGCACGUGGAGCGGCGGCGCGGCUGAAAGGGGCUAGGGUUUUGUUUUAGUUUGCUAAAAAGUUUAGGUUGUGGGCUUAGGGUUUUUUCAUUUGGGCCAAAUUGGGCCAUAUUGGAUUAUUUGUUGUAAUGGACUUGGACUUUAAUUAUUAUUAUUAUUAUUUUUGGUUUGUUUUUUGUUUUGUUUUGUUUUUUUGGUUUUGUCUGGCCCGGUCAAAUUUGGGCAUUUACAAACCCAAAAGAGAAAUGACAAUAUUGUUUUUUACUCUCUUCUCUUCAACCACCGCUAGAAAAAGUUUUUUUCUCUCUUAAUAAUCUUUUCACUCAAAGUGUCUAAAUUUAUUUAGCAAUUAGAUCUAUUUUGAUACUUUAAUAAUCUUAAAAUGUCACAUCAUCGUCUAAAAAUUAAAAAUUAAGUGAUGAUGUAGAAUAAUGCCAGAGUACCAUGUAUUCACUCUUUUACAAUAUCCAUGUUUAAAGACUAAAAUGGGAAAACAUAUCAAAUUUAGGUACCAAAGUAGACUAGAAACGUACCAAAGUGAACUUAAUUUCUAAGUUUAGAGGGUAAAAAUUACAUUAAUCCCUAAAUAUAAAAUACGGAAAGCAUUAUAUCAAAUCAAAAAAAGAAAUGUAAGAGAGAAAAUGUGUUACAUAAAUCAUUGAACAAUGACUCUGCAAAUAUAUUCAUAAUAUGAUUGUUUGAAAGCUUCAAAAUUCAAGUUACUUAUAAGUUUUGAAAGAUAAAAAAGGAAAAAAAGAAAAGAAAAGACUACAAAAUAGAAAAUCCUAAAUUAUUUACAAGAAGAGGAGAAUAAAGAAACAUAAUUAUUUUUUGAGUUAAAUGAUCAUUUUGCCCCUUGAAGGUUUUAGAAUUUGAUGACUCGAAGCUUUUUGCUAUGAUGCACAUAUGCUUGUGUCACGACACGAUGCAUCAAGGUUAACAACAAAUAUCCUUAACCAUAUUUGAGUGCUUAUAUCGCGACACACCAUGUCAUUGGCAUGUAGCAUGGCCUCGUUUGUGUCUAUUUCCUCUUCGGCUUCAAUCCAAUAUACAAGAAAAGCAUUGAAUAAGUCCACAAAAUUAUGGUUAUUCCAAAAACAUAAAAUGCAUGAAAGCACUAAAAACAAGGAAAAGACUGUUUUCAAGAUAAAUUACUAAAAUCAAGGUAAAAGACUCUGAAAACAUUUUACUUAAGAGGAUGUCAAAUUAAGCUUGAAAUGAAGGUAAAAUUGAUGUAUUCCUAGAGAGUGAUUAGAAAACCCUAAAGCUCUCCAAAAUCUAGUUGCAUUAACAUAAAGGAGAUAAAAUUCAUUUUUCAAGAUCAAGUCUCGAUGAUCCCUGAAACAAAUCUCAUUAACCUAAAAUUAAGGCUCAAAGACCAAUGGAUCAAAAUGUAAUAUCAUUAACACCCCUUGAGAUGAAAAUAAUCUUAUUUCGGGAUUUGCACGUGUUAUAAUCUUUGAAGUAAAUAAAAUAGGAAUUAUUAGUGUUUGUAGUGAAGGUAGUUGGAUACCAUAAGAAAUUAAAAGGACUUUUGAAUUAAGAGAAAUUAAUUUGAGAUAUUGACUAAAUCGCAACAGUGUGAAAAGUGUUGGGGUGAAAGUGUGAAAAUUAAAAGUAAGAAUGAUUAAACUGAAGUAAAGGGGAAAAGAGGAAGGAUUAAAAGUUCAAUUUAACCAAGAAAGUGUUAUGAAUUGUGGAUGAAAUUGAAAUUAAUUGUGGGCCAUGUAUAUGAUGAUGUUUAGAUUUUUUUAGUUAAAUAUUAUUAUUAAUAAUUUAAAUGUUUAAAUUCAAUAGAUUUUUGUUAUAGAAGACUUUAAAAAUCUCCUUUAUCAUCAUUCAUCUUUAUAUCACCCUCCAUCUCCUUUUUUAGACAUUUUUUAUUAUGUUUCAUUUUAGUCCUUUUCAUUAGUUACAACCACCUCAAGUUUAAAAACUUCAAAUUCUUCCAUGGAUUCUUAGUGAAAUUAAUAGAGAAACCUCAUAGCGAACUUAAUUUCUUAUAAAGUUAAUUGGUGUUCACAUUGGAAGAGAGAGAAAAAUGAAGUUAAGGAUUUGGGUAAAUGUUCAAGGUAAGGAUGGUUAGAUUUCUUUAAGAAAUUCAUGUUUAUUUCAUUAAAAGUACAUGGAAAUGAUGUGUGAUUAUUGUUUUGAUAUUAAAUCUCCUAUACGUGUGAUAUGUUAAUAAAAAGAAAGAGAAGAGAAGUGAUUAACAAUGACUUGAUAAUGGAAAGAAGUAACAAAAGAGGGAAGGAGGAAGCAAGCAAGUCAUCCAAGCAUUUGAUUGUAAGUACUUCAAGAAUUUUACUUUACCUAAUAAAACCUAAGUGAAAACUUGUUAAAUUGGUUAUGAUAAUACUUAUGGGAUUAACCCAUAUAAGAAAAUGUUGAUUUUUAUUAUGGAAUUUAUUUAAAAUUAAAGGGGAUAAAAGGUGAAUUUACAUAACAGAGUGAAUAGCUUAUGUGUAGUGUAUUUGAAGUAAAAAUGAUUAAAUUGCAAAGUGCAUAAAAUUAGAUAAGUGAAAUAAAAUAAUUAGAUAUAGAGCUUAAAUGAAGUGAUAAAUAAUAGUAAAUUAAAUGUCAAGUGAUAUUUUGAUGAUUGUUGAGUUUUAAAUAAUAAAGGACUAAAUUGUAAAAAGUGUCAAGUUUGAAUUGCCUUUAAUUGUUGAGUGAAUAUAAAGAAAUUAAUGUAUAAAAUGCUCAUGUAAACAAGAUGUGAACUAGUAUGAUAUAGAUGACAUGCCAUUAGAAAAUUUGAAUGCGCGUUAGUGAUAGUAGCAUUACGGUACAAUUUAGUGAUUUUGCACUUUGGUGCUAGUGAUAGUGGCACUUCGGUGUAUUUCUUUAACUCUACACAUCAGUGUAAGAUAGUGUAUACAGACUUGUGCUAAUGAUUCAGUAUUCAUUCCUCAUAUCCUAGGUAUUCUAUUGAGUCUAAAAUUUGGCUAAUAAUUUAAAUGGUAAGUGGUCAUAUUAAUGAAAUUGGUAAAUAAUUUAUAGGAUGCUAGUUUAAGAAUUCACUAUGAUUACUUUCUAUUAAAUUUCAUUGUAUAUUAUUAUUAAUCAUGUAUUUAAAUGUUAACAUUGGUUGUUUUAAAUUGAUAAGUUUAAUUCUUGAUGUACUUACUAAGCUUUUAUGUAACACCCCAUACCCUAAUUUUAUACUAGUCUUCCGAAAUGAAGAAUUUACUAUUGACACUCAUUGAUACGAUCGACACCCAGUGCCUCAUCAGAAAAUUAAAAGUAAUCCAAUUGCGCUUAAUGCUCAUUAAUUUAAUUGGCACCUAGUGCCUCAUUCGGGUAAAUUGAAACAUUAAUUGUACAUUCACUAAGUAACGAAUUUUUCAAUAGAAUUUUCAAUUAUUGCAUCAAAUACACUAUUUUCCAUCCUAUACAGUUUAUUCCUUCAUCGCGAGAAUCAACAUUUCACAACAACUUGAUUCCAUCAAUUAUUUUCAAAUUACUUUUACCUUUGAUCAUACUAAGAAAUGAAAGAACAUAUAAAAUUGAAUGAAUUAAUUUAUGAAGUUACAAACCUUAAGCUUCAAACUAUGCAUAUACAUUUAACUAUGUAAUAUCAUUAUAUACGUAUCUAUUUCAUAAUCAAGUUCAACAUCCACUAAUUUCCAUUCAAUUCCAUCCUAAUUACUUUAUACUAUUAAUCAAUUGCUACUUAACCAAUACCUAUUUCACAUAUAGAUAUUUCAUAUUUUUCGAUUUAAUCCUUUUGAUGCAAAAAAUAUUAUAUAAUAACAAUUCAACUAUAAAACAAAACAAUAUAAUACAAAUAUAUCAUCAAUUAAUAAAUUAAGUCCCAUAUGAACUUACUACGAACAAAUAGAAAGGCUAGAAGUGUUAGGGACUACUCUGAAAUUUUUUUCAUUUCCCCGAUUUUCUUCAGUUUGGUCCAAUUUUUGAUCAAUCGAAGCUCAAAGCUUGAAUGUUGGAACCUUCAUAUUCUUCCUUGGAUUUUUUUUUGGGAAAGAAAAGAUGGAGAAAAAGGAUGUGUUUUCUUUCGUUUACUUUUAACUUUUAUGUUAUAACAUAUUUUUAAUACUUUUAAUUAUAAUAUAAUAUAAUUUUAACAUAUAAUUCAUCCAAAUCUAUGCACUUACCGUCCAAUAACUUUAAAAGUGGGAUUAUUACCAUUUAAAUCCUUAAUUUUUACUAUUUGUCCUUUUUAGCUAAUAAAAUCAAUAAUAGUUAACUUUCACCACUUUUACGAUUUAGUCCUUAUUCUUUAAUUAACCACUAAUUUGACUACAUUACUUAUCCAAAAUUCAAUUAACUUAUAAAUUACUUUGUAAAUAUUUAAUAAUAAUACUUAAGGGCUCAAUUUGUGAAAAUGAGGUCCCGAUACCUCAUUUCCCAAUACUACUGACUUUCAGUACGCACCACUUGUACCUUGAAAAACUAACCAAUUAAUAAAAUAUAUCUAAUCAAAAUUCACAAUAACACUACAUUUAUCUCGUAAAUAUUAUUUAAUAAUAUUUACAGACUUGAUCAUUGAAGAACGAGAUUUUAAAACCACCGUUUUCGGCACAAUUGAAAAACGAGUGGUACAAUUUUUAAGCUUAACGCGUUAUUUUUCAACGCGUAAGUAGAAACACGAGUUGAAGCUCUAAAGUGAAUAUAACAUCUCAACUCAUCACAUCUCAAAGAUUGAAAGAAAGUAUAGUUUUGAUAUUUUGGAAAUAGGUUAUGACAUGUACAUAGCUUAGAACAAAACAUGUGCACAAGAUUUCUAGUGUUGAAAUAUAUGAUGUUUUGAUGGAGAUUUAUGUUUUAUAAUGUUUAGAAGUGUUAUGGAAUGACUUAUGAUAGUUUAAACUUGGUUUUAGAUGUUUCAGACAUGGUUUGGGUAAUCAAUCCUCAGUGUUGCGACAUCAAAAAUCAAUGUUCCUUAAAUGUCAUGACAUCAAAAGCCAACAUCUUGACAUUGCAGUGUUUUGCCCUCAGUGUCAUGACACCCAUUUCUCAGUCUUGCGAUGUUGACAUUUUUUUAACCCAAAUAAGCCCCAAAUGGUCCUCGUUUAUAACUAAACUUUAAAGGAAGCCUAGAAAUGACUUGAAUAGUUUCAAAUGAUUCUAUUUAUGUUAAAAAAAAGUUUUGAAAUUGAUGUUCAAGUUAAGUAGUCUUAGUGUCCAAAUGUGAGAUCCCUUCCUUGUGAUGUGUCGAUUCAUUCCAGGUGAGGGGUAUUACAAAUUCUCAAGCAAUCUCAAGCAAACAAUUCUUCAAACAUGUUUUUAAGGUCAAGUCCCAGCGACUCUUGAAAAAGGUAACAUCCAUUCAAGAUGAAGUUUUUACAACUAUCUUGACUUUUAUGGAGUGGGUUAAAGCUCUUGUUUUACACUUGUCACACACAAUUUCUCUUUAAGUACUAAAAUUAGGAAUAAUUUGAGGUUAAAUUAAAAGAGAUAGUAAGUUGUCGACUUCUACUGAAAAAUCAAGAAAAAAUUAGUGGCUGAUUUGGACAUAGUUAAGUUCUAAUUCUGGUUCAGUUGGAUGAGAACUAACUGGUUCUUUACUGAGAAACAAAAUAAUUACCAAUGGAUGAUUUUUAUAAGGUUGAUAAUCGUGCAUGAAGGGCUAUAAAUAGUUGAGAAGUGAAUUCCCAGGGUGAAUUAUUCUAAAUUUUGUUUAACUUUAUUGAUGUGAUAAAUGGAGUAGGAUUUGGCGUAUGGUGGAAUGAGAGAAUGGAUAGGGAAAUAGAAUUUUCAUUAGAUUCCGCAACCCGAUAUUACUGGGUGCAAACCGUGAUGUGCGAAGUUCUAGGCCUUGUAAAGGGGACACUAUGGUGUUCGAGCAUCAAGGUUAGAAGUAAGACAAAAUGAAUAAGCUGUAAUGGGGAAUAAUGUGUAAAACCAUAGCUCAACUAUGGCAAUAUAGAGAGAGUUUGUCAUGACAUUAAACAUGAGGAAUAAUGUGUAAGACCAUAGCUCGGCUAUGGCAACAUAGAGAGAGUCCCCCAGGUCAUUAACAUGGGGAAUAAUGUCUAAGACCAAAACUCAACUAUGGCAACAUAAAGAGACUCUGUCAGGACAUUAAACAUGAAACAUGAUGUGUAAAACCAUAGCUUGGCUAUGGCAAUAUAUGGAGUUCACCGGGACAAUAAACAUGGGGUAGUCCGCCAACACUGUAAACAUGGGAUAGUUUGGGUUUUAUAAUAUUGAAUCGAAAAACAUGAGGUAGUCUUUAUUACUGAAAUCAAAGACUCCAAAAUUUCUCUAUAAUUAUUUUUAUAUUUUUAUAAAUUAUUAGUAAUUUUUAACAAUAUUCUAUAAUAUCUAAUACUCUUUUAGAUUUAUAUAUAUAUUUAUAAAUUUUCUAAAGUUUUAUAAUAUUGAAUAAUAUUUUAAUAAUUUUUAAGCUUAAAUAAUUAAAAGUUGAUUAAGUUAUCGUAAAAUAAUUAAAAACUCAGUUUAUGCUAUGUACUUCAACUACCACGCCAUUUGCCACGUCAUCAUAGACUUAAUGAUUGUCGGGGCUUACAUGAAAGUUGUUUUUCAAGGGCUUGAUGAAUUGCUUGUAUUCAAUUAGGAGCUCAAUUGAGUGUUUUUUUCAAUUGAGGGCACAAUUGAUUAUCGAAUUAUUUUACAAAGGUUUUUCGUUAUAUUAAGCCUAUAUUUAACAAUUUCUAAAUUUAAGCAUCAAAGUGAACCAAAACAAAAUGUAUAUACUAAAGUGAAUCUAAUUACUAAGUUUAAGAACAAAAAAAUAUAUUAUCCCACCAACCAUUGACCAAACCUUUCACACUUUAUUAGGGAUGACAAAAAAUUCUAAACCUGACAGGUUCCUUACAACGCCCUAAAAUUUUCAGAAUUUAACUGUAAGAUUCUAUAGUAAUUAAGUUUAUGUAUCUGUGGUUCUGUGUUCUACUAUCGUGUUAAAGAUCUGGAGUUUGAGUUGCAUCGUUAAAAGUUUUAUUAUUUUAAAGCAAUCCCUAGCCAUGCGUUACAUAGUUAAAUUUAAUUCAGUUUAAACUUGUGUCAAAAAUGAGCCUGUUGGUUCAUUAUUUAAGCCUCUUAAUUCUGCCUGGUCUCGUGUUCAAGUCUCAACGUAUGCAUUUGGAAUAUUUUUGUCAAAUGCUAGAAACCCACUUAGAAGUUAAUUUAUAAUUAACGUUAAUUCUAUAUUGUUUUUUUUUAGUUUUCUCUUCUCCUUCCUUUCUCCUUUUUAUUUCUUCGUUCUUUUCUUUUUCUUUUUAAUUUUUAAUUUGCUGAUCGUGGUGGUAAGAAUACAUGAUUAGUUGAAAUUUACACUAUUAGUUGGCGGUCGAAAGGCUAUUUAGUAAGUCACAAUCAAUUCGUUGUUUGCACAGUUUUUCUUUGUUCUUCGUAAUUUGCUCUAAGUUAAGUAUUGAGUGUUCUAUGAGAAUCAUAGAUAGAUGAUUUUUAUUUUUCUAUUUAGGAAACAAUAUUGAAAGUGGUGAACAAAAACACGCUAAUUCCAACAAUUGCCAUUAAAUUUUCGGUAGGUAUUGGGUCAGUUGAAGGUUUCAUGUCAAAACUUUUGACUUAUCCAUUAGGCGUGUACUUAGGAAUGGUUGUCAAUAAAAUGAAUUAAUUGUGUAAUUGAAUGAUUUUUUAGGCUUUAGAGAUUCUCUACGUUGUUAUUGCUUCAAAAUCUCUUCAGGUGCAUACUAAAAACCCUUAAUUUUACAAAUUUUAGACGCCAAAAAAUGUAGCUGUUGACGCCACACGGCAAGGGACAUGAAUGUGUGCUAGUUCCAGGCCGUGUGUAGCCAUGUUAGUGCAGGUUUCACACGAGAAACGGACAUGGGCAUGUGUCUAGGCCGUGUAGCUAAUUGUUUAUGUUUUAGGACCACGCGGCUAGGAACAUAGGCGUGUGCCUAGGCCGUGUAAACCACACGACCAAGGACAUGGGCGUGUCCAAGCUGUGUAACUCACUGUUUGUGAUUUAGUGCCACAUGGGCAAGGACAUGGGUGUGUGUCCUGGUCAUGUGGCAUAUAAAUAAGACGUGAGUGUUGUUCGACAUGAGCAUUGACCUCCACUACCUAUGCAUGAUUUGAAUUUGAUUAUAUGAGGACUCUCUGAUGCUCUAAGACUGAUAUAUGAAUGAUAUAAAUGUAUGUGUAUUGUGAUGGCUAUUUCUGAUACUGAUCUGUAUUAUAUAUUGUGAAAUAAAUUGGAAUAACUGAACACAUGUUAUGGAUAUUUGUAAUCUGCAUUUGUAUGGGUUGGGAUAUUGUGAAGAAGGAAGUAAUCUACUUUGAAUCAUUGGCUAAGCCAUGAUAAAUAUAGAUAUGAAUCUGGCACUUUGUCGCAUUUCGAUCAAGCAACUAGGUUGCGUCUCUGUAAACGUGUCAGACAGACACUCUAUGGUGUGUGCAGGGUUGGUUGGGCAUUAAACGCCCUUAACGGUGUGUUGGGAUGGCCGAAGAUGAUGUGUAGCGGAUAAGGGUAGGAAUAACUGCAUAUGAAUCUGAUCUGUUCCAUAAAUGAAACUGAAAUUGCUUCUGUGUAUAUAACUGAUCUUUUUGUAUCUGAGAUGAAAUUGGUUCUAUUAUCUAACCGAAUCUUGGAAUCCAGGAACCAUCUUCUACAUGUGUUUUAGUUGAACGAACAUCUUUUACGCACUAGGUUCACAACUCUUUUCGUUCUUGACUGGAUUUCAGGUGGCUUUCAGACUUGAACGGGUCAGUGCUGCGGGAGCUCGAUCAAACCUUUUUAUCCUUCCUUUAAAUUCUACUAUUAGUAAUUUCAGUAUUCUAUGCUAUUGUGAUGUUGGGAAGAUUAUGUAGUGAGUUAGUUGCUAUAAUGAAUAUAAUAUGUUGAAUGGUUUCAUUUUGACUGCGUUAUAAAUGUGGUUUCCUAAUAUCGAUGAUAUAACUCCCUGGACUUGGUCUGGAUGCCUAAGCCGGGUUUAGGGUGUUACAUUCCUACUGGACCUGAUUCAAUAGGGUUAAAAAUUUUUCUUUGAAAUUAGGUUUUGGUGCUAGUUAGUGUGGGAUUAAUUUUUCUAAUUGGUAGGAAAAAUUGACCACCCGAUAUAAUUUCUAAAAUGCCCUUUACAUAUAAACUAGUUUAAAUAUAUAAUAAAUUUUAUAUUAAUAUUUGACCUAUAUAAUUAUACCCAGAAAAUAAUUGACAGCUUCAAUAAAAAAUUUUGUUCUACUUUGAUAAUUUUAUAAAUAAAUGAAAAUUAUGACAUAUUAGGUCAAAAUCAUGUAUAACUUUAAUUUUCUUGAUCGGGUUUGACGCAAAUAAUUUCAUAUUUAAUUUUGGGUCAGAUUAGGAUCAAGUUAUAUUAGAGGAUAUAUCGGGUCAGAAUUAGGACAAGCAAAAAAUUAACCAGCCAAGUUGCCAUCUCUACACUCUUCAAGAAACUCUUUCCCACAAGUGUUCCCAAAAGAGCAAUAAUAAAAGAUGUCAAGCAAAAAGGUGGCUUGUCAUGUUAGUAUACUAUCACGUGGUAACUUUUGGUGGCUUUUAUCGACCACAUCAGCGCAGUUAAUGAUAAAACCGUUCAACUAACAAUUUUUGUUAACGAAAGGGGCAAGUUAAUUUUUUUAAGGUCACCGAGAGCUCAAUUGGAUGCAUAUUUUUCAUAAGGGCUUAGUUGUUUUUUUUUCAAUGAGGACUUUUUUGACUUUUUAACCUUAAAAGUAAUUUAAAAAAUAGUUUAUUUUAUUUUUAUAAAAUUAAAAAAAAUGACAUAUCGAGUUGAAGUCAAGUAUAACUUUAAAUUUUCGGAUCAAACUUGAAACAAAUAAAUUAAAUUUUAGUUUAGAUCAGAUAAGGUGUUAUUGAAAGACAUAAGGGGUCGAGAUCAAGUGUAACGCCCCAAGUUUUUAAAUAUAUUUUUGUAAUUUAGUGACACAAGUGUGUAUUUGCUUCAGUGGUUAAGUGUUCUGGGGGUGUGUGAGAGGUCGUAAGUUCAAGCUUUAUCUUGGGCAAAUUUUGACUUUUGAUGAAUAAGGCCUUACACUUGUUCAAUAGGCUUAUAUUUGAUUGUGUGUAAAAUUAUACUAGAAUGGGUUUGUUGGUUUGGUGGUUAAGUGGAGUGAAUUUAAGCUAGAGGUCCUGUGCUCGAAUUAAGGUGUAAGCAAGGGUUUAUAUUUUUACCCCGGUGUUUGAGUGGAGUCGAAAUUCUGAUGAUGGUUGGGGUGUUGGGCGGUUUUGGAGAAGUGAAGGAUUGGGGGAGUAAUUAGAGGGAUUUGGUGAGCAAUCAAAAUCCCAUUGUGAUCUUUUUAUUUUUUUUUUGAAAUUUCAAUUGUUUUCCCAAUUUUGUCAACCCCUUUUCCCCUUACUCUCUGCCGAAAUUCUGUGUAACGGCCCAAAUUUUAGUGAUAUCGAAACAGUGAUUCGAGAUCACUAAAUCUGACGUGUGAGUUUAGAUAUUAGUAAGUAAAUGCUAAGUGUGGUUUUAGAAAUAAUUUUUAAUUAGUGAAAUUAUGAAUUAAAAGAAAUUUGUAGAUUAAAUGAGAUAAAAAUGAGGUAUUGAGACCUCAAAUUCAUAAACCAAACCAUAAAUAUUUUUAUAAAUAUUUAUGGAGUGUUAAUAAGUUAGAAUUAAAGUUUCGUCAAGAAAUUUUAAGGUUUCGGUAGUCAAUCGGGUAAAAAGCACUAAAUUGAAUUAAGUGCAAAAUUGUGAAAUGUGAUUAAAUAGCUCUAGUAAUUAUUAAAGGAAGACUAAAUAUGCAAUUAAACACCUAUUAUUGGGCUGGACGACAGGUGUGUGCUGGAAAAAUAAAAAUCAAGUGUGAACAAGGGGCAAAAUUGGAAUUGGGUAAAUAUUAAAUUGUAAAAUAUGAUAUAUUAGGUAAAAAUCUAGAGUUUUCUUCAAUUUUCAUCUUCUCUAGAAAAAACACCAUUGAAGGGUUCUUUUAAGCUGGUCUCUCAUAUUUCUAUUAAAUGUAAGCUCAAUUCUUGAUUAUUUCUUGUGAUUUUUGUGAUUUUGGGACUUUUGCAACUAGGUCCUAAUAUCUAAUUCAUUAGUUUUUGAUUUCAUGGGUAAUUUUGAAAGUUUCCAUGAAUAAGUGCUGAAAUUUUAUGAUGAUUUAUCAUGGAAUUAAGGUUUUAAUUUCAUUAUAUGAUGAUUUUAUGAAGAGAUUUGCAUAGAAAUUUAAUUUCUGGACUUAAUUGUGAAAGUUGUUGAAAUUGGGGUUUUGUGUUGAAGUUUGGAAUGUCAAAGGCUGUGAAGUAGUUUGUAGUGUUUAGAUAAAAUGAUAUUUGAAAGGAAUUAGCUUAAUUGAUGAAUGAAUUGAUUAGGGAUUAAAUUGUAAAAAUUUAAAAGUUUGGGGUAAUUGUGUAAUUUUGAAAAUUAAUGGCAUAAAUUUUGAAAUAGAAUGGAAUUGAAAUAGAUGAUAAUGGAGGAAUGAUUUUAUAAUUAUAGAUCAAGAGAACGAAGUGAAUCGUGGAAAGGAGAAAAUUCAAGCAUAGUCCUUGAAUUGCUACGAUUUUUUGCAAAUUAGCCCAGGUAAGUUCAUAUGGCAAAGUUCAAUGUUUGAUAUGAAAAUCUUAUGAUUGUUAAAGUAUUUUAUUAUAGAUGAAUAUUAUCAAAUUGUAUUAACUAAUGAAUAAUGUGUAACUAAAAAACAAAUUAGUUGGAACAAUGGUUUGAGCGCUUUCAUUUUAUGACCAUAAUGAAUUGACGGAAAAGAUGUGAUAUAUGCUUCCGUAUAAGACCAUAGCUGAGCUAUGGCAUCGGUGUGAUGUGAAAAUUUGAUUCCGUAUAAGACCAUAUCUGGGAUAUGGCUUCGGUAUGAUAUGUGAUCCGUGUAAGACCAUGGAAGGGCUAUGGCUUCGGUGUGUGAUGUGUGACAAUGUGAAAGUCCAUAGAUUACUAUGGCAUUGUGAUAAUGAAGCACUCAAUUCCAUUGUGGUUCCCUAAUUUGACAAUAGAAAUAAAUAAGAAAUGGGCCCAAAAGAAUUAAGUUCGUGAAUUACAUCAUGAAAAUUACUCAAAUGAGAUUAUUAGUGAAGUUGUGAUUUGAAGGAUGAAUUAGUUUAACUAAUAGAUAUAUGAUUGUGUACAGUGUUCGGUAAGAUUCAUGUUCUUAUGCCAAUGAGCUUACUAAGCUUCUAUAAGCUUACUUGUGUAUGUGAUUUGUUUUGUAGAUUGACUUAUAUACAUACGGAGGAUCGGAUCUACAACAAGGAUCACAUUAUCCAGAUUUACUCCGGUAGAUUUUGUUAAAUAACUUUUUGGUUUAUAUGGCAUGUAUAUGAUUUGAUUUAGUAAUGUAAUUAUAUGAAUAAUUAAGUAUGCAAACUAUGUUGAAUGUAAUGUUUUCUGAUUGGAAAAUGAAAUAUACUUGUUUUGGCUUGAAAUAAUUCUUUGGUUGAAAAUUUUUAAGUAUAAAUGUUAUAUAAUAUGGCUUGUGAAAAUUACCUCUAAAAGGGGUGGCAAAUUGGCUUAAAUCAAGCCUAUAUGGUGCCACACGGUCAGAGGACACGGGCGUGCCUUAUGGCCAUGUAAGAAACUGAGUAACCUCCUAAAUAUUACACGGCCUUGACACACGGGCGUGUCAUUUGGCCGUGGUAUUAAGUCAGUAGCUAGCUAUGUAUCACACGGCUACAGCACACAGGUAUGUUCCAGGCCACACGGGCGUGUCCCAAGCCACACGGGCGUGUGCCUCUAUCUUCAAGGAAAAUUUUCCAAAGUUCCCGAUUUAGUCUCAAAUCACUUCUAAAACAUAUAUAAGGCCCUGUAGGCCCAUAUUAAGGACUUUAAGAUGAAAUUUGAUAAGAAUCGAUCUAAAGUGUAAAGUUUAUGACUCGGUUUUGUAUAAAUGUUAGUGUAUAAGUCCGGUAAUGCCUCGUAGCCCUAUUCUGGUGACAGCUUGGGGUUAAGGGUAUUACAUUCUGUGCUUCCUCACCUUUUUUUCACGAUUUCUUCUCCAUACCAUUUUUAUUGUGAUAGGAGACGUUCGUGGUUCGUAAGGUAAGGGCUUUUCCGCUCGAAAGCUGUUUAGCCUAUUUUGGGGUAUAGUGUAAUUCGAUUGAUUGAAUGUCUGAUUGCGUGAAAUAUGGUUAAUUUUAGGUUCUGGAUUGCUCGGGGUUACGUUAGCUUCGAAUCGAUACCAAGUGUGUACCUGAAAACACAAAAAAAAAGAAUCAGUAAAAGCCGAAAAAUGAUUCUGUCGACGCCACACGGGUGUGUGGUCGCCAGUAUGGUAGGCCGUGUGGUAGCACACGACUGUGCGAAUAAUAGAUCAGGCCGUGCGCACGUGACACGGGUGCAUGACAAGGCCGUAUAAUGGCUGGCGAGGCUGUGUGCGAGACUCGGACUCGACCAUUUGGGUUGUGUGGGCCACACGAGCGUAUGGGCCUACACGGGUAUGUGGAAUUUUUUGGCCAAGCCGUGUGGGCCACACGGGCAGGCCACAUGGGCGUAUGAGCCUAUUUUUCUGAAAUAAUCUGUAAGGUUGCACGGGUCGCCCAAGUCGACUGUGACCUACCGUAGGGUCGAUAAGCCUUACUUAGACCCCUGAUUCUAUGAUCUGAAUGUGUGAUGUAUGUAUUAAGCAUGUUACUCUUAGCAUGCGUGUAUGACCAAUUGUAUGAUCUGUUAAGUUGCAUUAUCGCAUGCAUAUUUGUAUAAUGCAUUGCAUCGGGGUGGGGUUAGUGUUAUGAUGGAGGAAGCAUUCUGAAACGCUCUUAAGCCUGAUAUCUGAUGGCACAGCUGCAAUUAUCUGAUUAUGAGCCGCAUUUUGGUACAGCACAGUUGUAAUACCCCUACCCGUAUUCAUUACCGGAAUAGGGUACGAAGUAUUACCAGAGUUUACGAAUUAAAUUUUUUUUUAACUCAAUAUAACCCCUUUAUAGAUAUCUAACCUUCCCUGAAAUUUUAAACCAAAAAUAAUCCACAUCAACCAAUCCAAUUCAACAUAUUUUCAAGAUAAAUUCAUGCAUAUUUAUAAAAUAACAUCAUCACAUACCCAAAACCAGGUUUGUUAACCAUACCAAUGGCUAACUCUACAUUCAUUUCACAGAAUCAUUUACUUUAUUAGCUUAUACAUGCCAUUGAUUUCCAAAAUAAAGUUUCUUUAUAUACCGAAAUCCUGAGGUUGAUAGUGUGAUGUGUCUCCGACCAAAUCCGACCUCCGAGCUCUUAACACUUGAUACUUGUUUGUAAACAAAAAAAAAAUCUACUAAUCCCGAACUUUUUCCUUUCCUCGAUCUAGCUUCGUAUUUGAAUCUUCUGGAUUUGGUGCAAAAAUUAUGAAAUACCAGCUUAGAGAACCCUCCUAUGGUGUUUUUAGCUACUGGAAUUGAAGAGAAAUGAAGAGAAAUAUAGAUAUUUCCUAUUUAGUCCUAGCUUUAUUUAGUUAAUUUUGCAAUAUUUCAAUUUUGCCCUUAAUUUAUCAAUUUUCCUGUUGAUUUCAUGCCCUUGCCGUCCAGCCAUAAUAAAUUUUGGGUCUAAUUGCCUUUUAAAUCCUUUCUCAUUAGACUCUUAAGCUGUUUAAUCAUUCUAGCAACUUUUACACCUAUUAGAAUUUAGUCCUUUUCAUUUAAUUGACUACCCAAACAUUAAAAUUUCCUAACGAAAUUUUAAUACCACAUUACUAACAUUUCAUAAAUAUUUAUAAAAUUAUUUUUAACUCGGUUUUACGAGAUAGAGGUCCCGAUACCUUGUUUUUACCCAAUUUCUUCAAUAAUUUCUUUUUCUAACUAACCAUUAAAUCGAUAAAAUUUUUCUAUCAAUAUUUUCAUACGAUUUUCCUAUCAUAUCAAUUUUCAUGCAAAAAUAUUGAAAUAAAUUUCUCUUUGAAUCGGAUUUGUGGUUACGAAACCACUGUUCUGAUAACUUUGAAUUUAGGCCAUUACAAUAGUGUUUUGGGAUGGGUGGGUCGAUUUUAUCCCCACAUGGUGUGUUGGGUUGGAUGGAGUUGGUGCGUAGGGCUGGUGGGCAUGAUUCUAUUAUUCUGCUCUGUUAUGCAUAUGAUAUCUGAGAUGGGCUAAGGACCAGUUUGUAUCUAAUUCUGUAUUUGAGUGGACUAAGGUCCACACCGAUUCUGUAAAAGGCUUAGGCUGAAUUAUCUGUUAUUUGGAUAUAUGACUGACUUUUGCUCCUGUGUAUAUUUUUCUGUGGGGAUUACACACUGAGUUUGCAAAAAUUCACCCUUUUCUGUUUAAUCUGUGUAGGUAAUCCCUAGACUUGACGGAUUGGUACAGCGGAGGGCUCAACGGUGACUACCACUAUCAAACUGCUUAUUUACAGUUUUUUCGGUUACAUCGCUUAUUUCUUGUUGGUAUUUUAUGCAUAAUGGACUUUGGGACUGUUUGGUUUUUAAUUUGAGAUUUUGAACUGUUGAUUAUGGAUUUCUAAAUUGCAAUGCAACAAAAUAUGGUUUUCCUAAAAUAAACUAAGAUUUUUCGUAAAUGAAACGGUUUUCAAAAAUUUAUUUGGAUUUCAAAAGCUUUCGCGUAAAAGAAAUGUUUUAAAUCAAAUCAUUUAGAACACGGUUUCCCAAACUAAGUAAAAGUUAAUAAUUUGAAAUGAUUUGAAGGUCAAUGCAUUUUUCAAAAACACUUUCAUGUGACAUCGCCAGAUUCGGCCAUAGUGUCCAAGUUAGGUUUGGGGUGUUACAUCAAGGUAGACAAAAAACCUCCACCUCCUGCUCUGUUGCCAUUUUUACACUCUCAUUGAAGUCUCAAAAAUCAAACCUAGUUACCCAACAUCAUCCUUGAAAUCUCAACCUUCUCCAUAAGCCACCUCCUCACUAUUCAAAUCUCACUACAGGAAAACAGACUUUUACCGGCGCUUUUUUAGCCUUUAACGGUGCUUUUAGGCGCCACUAAAACUUUUAGCGGCGCUUUCUAAAACGCCGCAAAAAACGCUGCUAUAGGUAACGCCACAAAAAUUUGUGGCGUUUAUUGGAAAAAAACGUCGCUAAAGGUCAAGGCUUUUAGCGGCGCUUUUUUUACAAACGCCGCUAAAUUUGGCAGAUUUGUAAUAUUUUUUUCACCAAUAUCCAGCCCUUCCUGCAUUAAAAUCCAACCAAAUAAAACAAAUAUAAUAUAAAAUGCAGCCAAAAAUAGCAAAUUUAACAUAAAAAAUACAACCAAAAACAUUAAUUCUAAAUGAUACUUCAAAUUUAACUAAAGAUAUAUGAUAUAAUUAAUAAAUAAAGUAUAAUUUAAAAUAUUUUUACAAUAAUGUUAAACGUGACAAAACUUAAAAACAUUCUUACAAUAAGAAAACUAAUGUCUAAGACGGCGGCUUUUGCGAUUGUUGAAACAUAUGCAUCAUCUGCUGAAGUUGUAGCUGGAGGUCAUUGUACUUUUUGCUCUGUUCUGCUACCAUCGCUCGUGCCUCUGCCUCUCUCGCUGCAGCCGCUGCCUCCCUCUCUACUGCCUCCGCUCUAAGUUGUUGCUGGAGUUCUUCAUAUUUUCGUUGAACCUCGGCAAUUUGCACAACCGUGUUCGCUUGCAUCUGAGCUAUCUGGUCUCUUAACCUCUUAACUUCAGCUUGAGCUUGACUUCCGGAAGGCAUGUAUUGCUGGGAGCCGGAUCCAAAAUAUUGGGUCGGGUUAACACCAGAUCCUUGAAAUCGAACCCGACCGUACCUUUCAGGACCCAAAACUUCAGUGAUAAUUCUGUUAUCAAUGUUCUCAAGAUUAACAGAACUAUCGCUUGAAGCAAUCGCUUCAUAUUCCGCCUUCUUCUCCUUUAGUUUCUCCUAAAAAAUCAAUUAAAGAGUUAGAAAUGAAAUAUAUAAUAAAAAGAAAUGUAACAUAACUUAACAUUUUUUAAAACUACUAAUGAUGAAUUGAAUUAAACAAUUAUAAUUAAAGAUUAUAAAUAUUUAGAAUAAAUCAAAUAUUAUUAAGUGAAUAUACCAUAAUUUCUCCAGCUUCGGAUGUCAUAGGAGAUCCAUCUUUCUUCCUAUGCGUAAUCUCAAAAAGUUGAAGGCGUCCAAAUUUUUGUCCGGAUUUUACUUCCUACAAUAUAGUAGUAAGAAUAUUAUUUAAUAAUAGAAAGUUAUUAAUAUUUGAAAGAAUUAAUAAAUUCAUAAUACCUCGGCCUCAGCUACAGAAGCAAAACUUCUCGACCCUGCCGUGUGCGUGAAUUUUUGUUUUUGCCUGCUGCUUGUUCCAACUCGCUCACGGUCCUACAUAAUAAAAUUAUUAUUACGUAUAUAGUAAACACUAUAUAUAAGAGUUUGGAAAUACGCAAUACCUCUCCUUUCUUUGAAUUCCAAAAUCUAACCGCAUCUUCCCAUUGAUACCUCAGCAUUCCUGGCGGAACAUUUCUCAGUUUUUCCUCGAGGCUUAUGUCUUUCUUAAAAUAUUGUUUCUUUAAAGUGCUUUUAUUGUCUCUCCAUCUUUUACCUAAUGCCUUCUUGAUAUAAUCAUCGGAGACUUCUAAAGCAAAUAUCUCCUAAAAAAACAUAAGUUUAGAAUGUAAAUAUAAAUGAAACUUAAACCAAAGUAUUAUAAAUUACAUUCACAUUUUGUUACCUUACUAUUAGCGAGAGCCUGAUUUUUGUUGCUAUCAGGCAUGUGAUGCCAUGAUUUGUAGUUGAUGGGCAACAUAUUUGCAUUUCGUGCUAAAAUGCCCAAAUAGCCUGCUAAAAGUCGAGCUUCAGAUCCAACAGGCUGACCAUGAGUAUUUCUACUUACUUUAACACGCUCGACAGGAUCUAAGUCGUAUAAAUCUCUAAGUAGCGUACGUCCUCGAACUCUGCGUGUCCCACCACUUUCAGCUAAAAAAUGAUAUACUAUUAUUAUAUUAAAAUUGACAAAUAAUUCAAUAAUAAAAGUCAACACAUGUAAAAUGAACAUAAUAUUACUUUGAAAUUCUUCAGGCUCAUCAAGUGUCUCCGGCACAUUCGAAGAUCCAACAACUGUCUGCUAUUCACUAUUUCUUUCUUUCGAAUUUGGAGUAUUCUGGACAAUACUUAAAUCUCGUACUCUUCUUCUACGCAUUUUUCCUGCAAUACACAUAAAAUAAUUAAAGUUUUAGUAACAAAUUUAGCACAAUAGUAGUACAUAUAAAAUAGUUAAAUUAUAUAACAUGACAAAGAUUAAAAUUAUAAUAUAAGAUUAAAAUUAUAAUAUUACAUAUAAUUAAAAAAUUGUAAAAUCUUACUACAUCAUUAUUCGUAAAUAUCUUCAUCCACAUCAUGUCGAACCCAUUGAUGUUGUGUAUUAGUACUAGGGAUAUUUUCAUCUAAGUUUUGUUCUGGAAAAGGUAAUGUUUCUGAUCUUUCGACGAUGUCAUCUCUACUUCCAUUACCCAUUUCAAACAAGUCGCUAGGGGUGUUCCGGAGUACAACAUACCAACCCUCAACAGUUGGAUCUUUCGAAUAAAAAACUUGUUUCACUUGAGAGGAAAAUACAUAUGGCUCGUCCAUCAAUUGUUGUCCAAUGUGAAUCAAGCGAGAGAAAUUCAACAUUGUAAAACCAAAUUGAUCUUCUUUAAUUCCUCGAGUAGUAUUAACAUCAGGCCAAUCACACCGAAAUAAGACAACUUUCCAUCUGCCAGAGUAAUCCAACUCAAUAAUGUCGGUAAUAAGUCCGUAAUACUCCACAUUACCCUCAACCGGAUUACUGUCCCUAGCACUAGCAUAACUUGUAAUUGAAGAAUUAACAACAACUCCACAAUUUUGACUUCUCCUCAUUCUCUCACGAUACUUUGUAUGAAAUCUGUAUCCAUUGAUGAGGAAGACACUAUAUCUUUUUAUUAUUCUGUUCGGACCUUGGGAAAGCCAUUUAACUUCGUCAUUGACGUCUUUUCCACUCCAAACCUAUUGAAUCGAAAGUAAAUUGAAUAAUUAACUAAAUAUCGGGAUUAUAUGUAACUUAUUAACUUUAGUUACAUACCGUUUGACUUAACCAUUCAUGAAAAGAUUCUAUGAAUAACUUAUUAAUCUCUCGAUGUUGCAAUCUUCGAAAGCGUGCACGAGAUCUCAAAAUUUGUUUGUACUCACUAUGUUAAAAACAAGUGUAUUUGGUUAGAAGAUAAACAAAUCAAAACGACAAAUAUGUGAGGAAAUUUUAGAACUUACUUGUGUAACGGUUCAACUAAAUCGUGGUGAAAAAGUACAUAUCGAUGUGCUUGUAUCCACGAUAUAUCAUCUAAUUCUGCAAUUUCAACUUUGCCGAUUGGUUCUCCAUAACUUUGGAAUAAAUAAGUUUCGGCCAAGUUAUGAUCAUUGAGCCCAGCAUUUCUAUUUGGUCUAUUCAAUUGUGUUUCAACAUCUUCUAAAUAUCUAGAACAGAAUGUCAUGCACUCCUCUGCCAAGUAGCCUUCAGUAAUUGAUCCUUCUGGAUAACGCUUAUUGCGACAAUAAGAUUUCAAUUUACUUAGGAACCUAAACACGAUAUACAAUAUUUAUCAAAAGUUGUAACUAAAUGUAUAGACGCGAAUAAAUAAAUACUUGACAAAUAAAUUAGCACCUUUCUAUUGGAUACAUCCAUCGAUAAAAAACCGGUCCACCAAGUAUUGCUUCGUGAGGGAGAUGGAUUACCAAGUGCACCAUAAUAGUGAAGAAGGAAGGUGGAAAGAUCUUCUCCAAAUUGCAUAAAGUCAAAGUAGUUCGAUCCUGUACUUUCUUAAGUUCUUCAACAUCCAAAACUUUGCCACAAAUAGCUUUCAUUAUAUUGGAUAGUUCAAUUAUACAGGACGUCACAUUUUUUGACAUGCAGCACCGUAAAGCAACUGGGAGUAAAUCUUGCAUCAAGAUGUGGUAAUCAUGUGAUUUUAAUGAAUAUAAUCUUCGAUCUUUAAGACUCACACAUCGAGAUAUAUUUGACGCAUACGCAUCUGGGACCUUUAUAUCCUUCAACACCAUACAAAACACCUCUUUCUCUUCCUUUGACAUUGAAAAAAUAGAAGGCGGCAACCGAUAUUUCCUAUUCGGAAGUACUUGAGGAUGAAGAUCAUGCCAAAUUCUCAUGUCAACUAAAUCAAGUCGACUCUGAAGAUUGUCUUUUGAUUUUCCAUCGACAUUCAAAAUUGUCCCAAUUAUGUUCUCACAGACAUUCUUCUCAAUAUGCAUGACAUCAAGAUUGUGACGUAAAAUAUUAUGCUCCCAAUAAGGUAACUCAAAAAAAAUACUUCUUUUUUUUCCACAAGUGUGCCUCAUUAGGAUCAUCCUCUUCGUCAGAUUCAUCAUCAGAUUCAUCCCUCGAUAUUCUCUUUGAUCUCGUGUUAGGUGGUUGAUUCAUCUUCCCAUAACUAAAGUUGAUAUCUUUUAACAUAAACAAGAUUUCAGAUCCAACGGUCUGCUGAGGAGCUCCUCUGUACUCUUCAGUACCGUCAAAUAGAGUCCUCUGAAAUCUAAAUUUAUGAUUUCCAUCUAACCAUCGACAAUGGCCCAUGUAAGAGAACUUCUUCCCAUUGUACAACCACUUCGAACAAGUUUGCGCAGCACAACAAGGACAAGCAUAACGUCCUUUAGUACUCCAACCCGAUAAAUUAGCAUAAGCCGGGAAAUUAUUAAUUGUCCAUAAUAAAGCGGCACGUAAAUUAAAGUUCUCCUUUCUCAAUACAUCAUAUGUCUCAACACCCGCCCAUAAUUGUUUUAACUCUUCAAUAAGUGGCUGCAAAUAAAUAUCAAUAUCAUUUCCGGGACCUUUCUCUCCAGGGAUAAUCAUUGAUAAAAUAAAUGAAGAUUGCUUCAUGCAAAUCCAUGGAGGCAAAUUGUAAGGAACAAGCACUACAGGCCAAGUACUGUACGAAGUACUCAUGAUUUUAAAUAGAUUAAAGCCAUCAGCUGCUAGCCCAAGCCUCACAUUCCGAGGAUCGCUUGUAAAGCUUGGAAAUUUACUGUCAAAUGAUUUCCAAGCUAAAGAAUCCGCAGGAUGUCUUAAUAAUCCAUCAUCGGUCCGUUGAUGAUUAUGCCACCUCAUAGAUUCGGCUGUCUUUGAGGACAUGAAAAGCCUUUGAAGUCUUGGUAUCAGGGGAAAAUAUCGCAAGACCUUGACUGGCUUCUUUCUUAACUGUGCCCCACCUUUAUCCGUAUUCACAUCUUCUGUAUUACUAUUCAUCCAACGAGACUUACCGCAAACAUGACAAGAUUGUUGGUUUUUCUGAUCACCCCAGUACAACAUGCAGUCAUUUGGGCAACUAUGAAUUUUAUCGUACCCAAGGCCCAAAUCUUUUAUUAUUCUCUUCAUGUCUUGACAAGACUGGGGAAUUUUUGCAAACGGAAACAUCUCUCUUAGAAACUCUAGCAGUAUUGUAAAAGAGUUUCCGGUCCACCCUCCCAAACAUUUUAAGUGAAAUAGACGAAUGCAGAAGGACAAUUUCGAAUAUUUUGAUCCCUCGUAAAGUUCUUCAUUCAUUUCAUUAAGUAAAUUGUAAAACUUAGCCGCUUCUUCAUUUGGCUCCUCAUUAGGUGCACUUGUUCCCGUUUCGCAGAAAACAUUUCCAGUAAUAUUACAAUCCUCAGAUAUAAUAAAGUCAGGUGGAAACGAUUGCUCACCAUGACUACGCAUAUUAAAUGCAUCCCGCAACAUAUCUUCCAUGUCAUCUCGUCUAACAUACUGAUGGUAAUCAGUAUCAGGAUAAGUCGGAUUAAUCGUUGAAGAAGUUCCACUAGAUGUACACUCUCUAUGGAAAAUCCAUUUUUUAUACCCCCGAAUAAAGCCAUCAACAAUUAGAUAUUCGUAGACAACUUCACGAAAAUGCCAGUAAAUGUUGCCACACUUCUUACACGGGCAAAGAAUCAUAUUCUCUUGGCUUCCAUUUUGAAAUGCAAAAUUUAGAAAAGUUUGUACUCCAUUUUGAUAGGCAUUGCUUACCCUUGACAAUUUCAUCCAACUCCUAUCCAUUUUGUAGUUCUUGAAAUCUAAAGUUGACAACAUAUAAGUUAUGUAAGUUAUAUAAGUUAUGUAAGUUAUGUAAGUUAUAUAAGUUAUGUAAGUUAUGUAAGUUAUAUAAGUUAUGUAAGUUAUGUAUGUUAUAUGAGUUAUGUAAGUUAUAUAAGUUAUAUAUUUAUCUAAGUUAUAUAAGUUAUGUAUGUUUUGUAAGUUAUAUAAAUUAUGAUAUCAAAUAUAUUUAUGUAUUAUGUAAGUUUUUUAUUUCACGAUGUGGAAAAUCACAUGGAUAAUACAUAUCAAGUAUCAAGUAUCUACAGGUAAGUAGCGGGAUUAAAUAAUAUUUAAUUAAAUAAUAUUUAUAAAAAUUAUUUUAAUUAAGUAAUAUACAUGUCGUUCGUUUUUAUUUGACAAAUCACAUGUGCAGUUAAAAUAGUCCACACUUAAUUUAAUUUAUGUUUUACAAGUCGUCUUUUCUUAACUACAUAUUAAAGCAUUGUGUGGACAUCCGUAUUUAGCUUAAAAGCUAUGAUUUAGUUGGAAUAAAAAGUUUAACUUAAAUGGUAAAACGGACGAUAAUAUUUAUGAUAAAAAGUCUUUUUGAAUUUUUUAAGAUUCAUCAUAAGUGGCGUUGUUACACCUAGGGAGGAUCCAUUAUAUCUUGCAGCUCGAUAUAAGGCAACCCGUUAGGUUUCCAGCCUAUAUACUUUGAAUCUUUAAAAUAUUUAAAUAUUAAAAUCAAACAUUAUUAAUAUAAAAAAAUAGUAAUUUGAAUAUAAUAAUAUCAAAAAAGAAUCGUAGUUUAAUUUUUAUAAGUAAAUUGGAAAUAAAUUAAUGUUAUAUAAAUAUUCAAUAGUAAAUGAGCUCGAUAGAACUUUUUUCAAGUCUUUUUGAAUUUUUUAAGAUUCAUCAUACGUGGCGUUGUUUCACCUAGGGAGGAUCCAUUAUAUCUUGCAGCUCGAUAUAAGGCAACCCGUCAGGUUUCCAGCCUAUAUACUUUGAAUCUUUAAAAUAUUUAAAUAUUAAAAUCAAACAUUAUUAAUAUAAAAAAAUAGUAAUUUGAAUAUAAUAAUAUCAAAAAAGAAUCGUAGUUUAAUUUUUAUAAGUAAAUUGGAAAUAAAUUAAUGUUAUAUAAAUAUUCAAUAGUAAAUGAGCUCGAUAAAACUUUUUUCAAGUCUUUUUGAAUUUUUUAAGAUUCAUUAUACGUGGCGUUGUUACACCUAGGGAGGAUCCAUUAUAUCUUGCAGCUCGAUAUAAGGCAACCCGUCAGGUUUCCAGCCUAUAUACUUUGAAUCUUUAAAAUAUUUAAAUAUUAAAAUCAAACAUUAUUAAUAUAAAAAAAUAGUAAUUUGAAUAUAAUAAUAUCAAAAAAGAAUCGUAGUUUAAUUUUUAUAAGUAAAUUGGAAAUAAAUUAAUGUUAUAUAAAUAUUCAAUAGUAAAUGAGCUCGAUAGAACUUUUUUCAAGUCUUUUUGAAUUUUUUAAGAUUCAUCAUACGUGGCGUUGUUACACCUAGGGAGGAUCCAUUAUAUCUUGCAGCUCGAUAUAAGGCAACCCGUCAGGUUUCCAGCCUAUAUACUUUGAAUCUUUAAAAUAUUUAAAAUAAGGUUGGAGAGAAGGUCGGCUAUUGUUGUAAUUCUAAUGGACAAGCAAGCUACACGGUAAUAAAAUUAAUUCAUACCUAUUCAUACUUAAGUUGAAUCAAAUAAUAAUUAAGUUGAACCAAAUAUUUAAAAUUAAUUUGGAAACAAAAUAGUUCUACUCCAAACAGAACCAGCAAUUAAAUCUUUACAAUAUCGCAACCCCAAAAUAUUAAUUUUUCCAAAAUCAUCAUGAUAAAACUAUUAUUGAUUAGAAUUUUGAAAUAAAGCCUACCUUAAUAAAACGUACCUGGUCUACUCCACUCUCACCAGCAAGCAGAGGCUGGAGUCAAAAAAGUAAUAUUUGUUAAGUAAUUUAAAGUGAAAAUGCAUAGAAAUAAAGAUCAAAAUUUAGCAACGAAACCUGUACGUACCUAGAACAAAUGCCAAUGGCUGUGGUGUAUUUAGUUGCACCAAAUAUUAAUUCAAGUGCUCGAUAGUACCUAGAACAAAUGUAAGAUUAUAAGAGUAGCACCAAAUAUAUUUCAGUUUAAGCAAAUAUAAAAACUUUAUCUAUAUCAGUUUUGCAAGUGCCCACUUGUACCAGGAUCAAAGACACUGCCAAUGAAGCUGUACACCUCAGCAAAAUCUGGCAAAACUGCACAGUAAAUACAUAAGUUGGAUAAAAACAUGAAAACAGACCAAAAGAACAUCUAAAAAACCAAAAUGGAAUCACCAUUAUUAUGUAAACAUGAAAAUGCACAGUUUUAAACAAACCAACUUUGCAUGUGCAGAAUCAUACUCCACAAAACUCAUAAACAUUAACUUCUCCUAACCAGAAUACCAACUUUAUGUGUACAGAGGCCUUGAUGAAAACUAACAUAACUAUCGUCCAACUAAAUUCAAAUUAAACUCUAGCUGAGAGGUUAAACCUGGUGCAUCCGAGUCCUAAACUCCUUUUGCGGUGAUAGACCAUUGAAAAUGGCAAGCCCACACAUUACCACGUUUUGUUUGAUGAAAAUGGCUUCACUACUGACAUCUUGCAAGUGCUCACAAACAGUUUAUGUUACAUGUAUGUGUCUACUUCUUUCUCUAUAAUCUUGAAAUGGGGUGAGUAAAUAAUGCUUUAGAUCAGCACCUAGUAAUUAUAUAAUAAUAAUUUUACUUUUUGGACAGGUAUGCGAGGUGUACCAAGUCUGUUUCCAUAGGUUUGUGAUGAUGUUUUUUGUCUUGUUAAAAUUGUUGACUAAGGUUGGUUUUGACAGUGAAUAUUUGGAUUAUAUGUUUGCAGUGCCUCCGGCAUACUAUGCUCACCUCGCUGCUCUUAGGGCACGCUAUUAUAUUGAGGAUGAAAUGUCGGAUAGUGGGUCUACUGGGGGAGGCCGAAAGCCGAAAGACAAGGUUGUAGAGGUUAGGCAGCUCCCCAGCAUAAAGGAUAAUGUGAAGGAAGUGAUGUUCUACAUCUGAUAAAUUAUAUGUUUGGUUGAUGGUGGAAAGUUGCUCAGGUAUAGUUGCAGUUUGUGGAUAUUGGUUGGUACAGUUGUUUUGUUAGCAAAUAGCUUUUUGUUGGAGGGUACAGCAGAUGUUUUUACCAGAGACUGAAAAACAAUUAUCCCAAUCAUAUAUAAAAUAAAUUUACCUUUUCUAAUUGAAACUUGAGGAGUUUCGUACCUCAAUGGGUGCCAACGCUGUUAUAUGCUUCUUACUCCGAUGCCACCUUUGAUAAUAUAACAAUAAUUCAUUGAUGUUAAAAAUUGAUGAAAGGAGCGAUUUAUAAAUAAUUAAAUAAAAAGGAGCGAUUGAGGAAAAUCUUUAAAAAUGUUAGUAAAAACUGUCAACAUAUAAACCUGCAUUAAAAGGAGACUAUACAAAAUCAAAGAAAUUAGUGAUUCAGUAGCACUCACUGGUAGAGAAUUCAGAUCAGAAGAAAUCAUUGAGCCAAAAACAGUAAAAAAGCACAAACUAGUUUUUCCAUUUCAGAACAAAAAAUCCAAACAACAGACAUAAAACUGACAAAAAAGAAAUGAAUUUUCCAUUUCAGAACAAAAAAUCGAAACAACAGACAUAAAACUGACAAAAAAGAAAUGAAUUUUCCAUUUCAGAACAAAAAUAUCCAAACAACAGACAUAAAACUGACAAAAAAGAAAUCAAAUUUUGGAUCAAGUAAUUAAAGAAACCUACGUUAAAAGGGAAACUAUACAAAAUCAGAGUAAUCAGUGAUUCAAUAGCACUGAUUGGUACAGAACUCAGACCAGAAGAAAUCUUUGAACUGAAAACAGUAAAAAAGAACUAACUAGUUUUCCCAAUUCCAAACAAAAAUAUUCAAACAACAGAUAUAAAACUGACAAAAAGAAAAAAGAAACGAAAUUUUGCUCAAGUAAUUAAAAGGAAAACAGUAUGCAAAAUCAAAUCAAGAUACCAUCAUCGAUUAGUAAUUCAGUAGUACUCACUAGUAAAGAACUCAGAUCAAAAGAAAUUUUUGAGCCGAAACCUAUAAAAGACACUAACUAGUUUUUCGAACUCAGAACAAUAAAUAGAAAAAAAACCGACAAUUUCCAUAUUCAAUAUUUUUAUAUUACUUAAAACAAGGGUAUAAUCAUCGAGAUCAACAUCAACAUCAGUAUCAACAUCAUCAUCAUUAAGAUCAUCAAAAUCAUCAAUAACCUUGGGAUGAUUUACCCGGUUCCCAUCAUCUGCAAGGAGCGAUUUUUGUUGGGAUCUAAAGUCAAGUAAUACAGUAACUACAUAUUAAUCUGAAGGGGACUCAAAAACUAACCAUUUCAAACCCAUGAAGCAUCUGACCGUCGACGAGAGGAAAGGGAGAAUAAUUAGGGAUUUCGGGUAUGGGGGAACAGAUUAAGGGAAAAAAAGGGGACUUGGGGAAAAUGUUAGGGAUUUCGGGUUUGGGGAAUUAGGGGAUGAUUUGGGGAAAAAGAAGGAGGUGUUUGUUUUAGGGAUUUGGGGUAGGAAGACGAAAUGGGGGAAAUGACUUAGCAAAAAAAUGAAACCGAUUUCGGGUAAAGGGCAUAAACAUCAGGAGAGAAAAAACGACGCCGUUUCAAAUAAGGAAAAUUUGUGCGUUUUCAGCAACGCGCUGCUAAUAAGAUCUUUUGCGGCGUUUUUAGCAAAGCGCCACUAACACCUAUUUUAUCUACACUAUAAAACGACGCCGUUCUAAUACGCGUUGUGGCGUUUAUUAUAGAAACGCCGCUAAAGCCACUACUAUUUAGAAGAAACGACGCCGUUUUACUCUAAUGUAAAAUGAAAUUUUGUGGCGUUUUCUAAAAAAACGUCGCUAUUUUCUAUCUUUUGCGGCGUUUUAUGUAUAAACGCCGCUAACACCUGAAUAUUUUAUAGAAAUUGAUCAAAAUUUAAAACUAUAUAUAUAUUUAGAAUUUAUUUUAAAUUAUAUAUAAACCCGAAAACCCUAACUAUAGUUGAAACUUUAAUUUUGAUUUAAUACACAUUUUAAAAUACAUAUUAUGUAUGCAUAUAAAUUAAUUAAAUUAAAACAUGAUGCUAUUUAUUAUAUCAAUAACGUGUAAAUAUUUUACAAGAUCUAGAUCAAAUUACAUUUAUUAUAUCAAAUUGCACACUAACCACUUUUCAUAUGUAUAUUUAUAUAUAUUUUAAAAUAAUAUUUUAUAUAUAUUUAUCUCAUAUACAUUUAUCUUCUAAAUUAAAAUUCAAAAUUAUACUCUAAAUUUAAAACACUAGACCUGAUACUCUAAACCCUAAACCAACUUAGACCACAAACACAAAACCCCUAACCCCAAACUUUAAACCCCAAAAUCAUUCGAUAACCCCUAAACCAACCAUAUAACUCCUAGACCAUAAAGCCCAAACUAUAAAGUACUCUAAAAACUGUUAACCCUAAACCAUAAUAAACAUAUAUAUUUUGGGGAAUUAAUUCAUGUGGCCAAUGUUAGUGUAGUACAAAUUAAAACACACAUAUAUAUGUUUAUAUUCUUAAUUAUAUUAAAUAAUAUGAGUACGUAUAUAUAUAUAAAAUACAUGAAUCUUAGUAAAAUCCAAAUGUCGUUCUUCAGUUAAUUUCUACCUAAUAGUAUCAUUUCUUUAAACCCUUAACCUAAACUUAAUUUUUAUAACAUAUUUUAUUUCAGACAUUCUAUUUAAUAUUCUAAAUAUAUUUAAACAAAAAAAAUAGAUAAUUAAAAAUACACAAUAGCAUUAUUAUUUAUACAAAGUUACAUAACUUUAAUAAAAUAAUUAAUUCUCUACUGGAACACUCUAGUUAUAAUGUCCGGUCUGUAAGAUAUUUCCAUGUUAUAUAAGCUUGGAAAUUAUACAUAGUUCAACAAAUGCUAAAUCCAUGCCACAUUCAAAAUCACCCUUUCUUAAUAGCAUCCCAGGCUAGGUAAGAAUCUGGAAAGGAAAUUAUCUCUUAAGAAGUUAAUAAUUGUCCCAUUAAUUGUAAACUUAAUUUAACCCUAACCUUUAAACCCUAAGUCAUAAUCCCUAAACCCUGAAUUAAUCAUAAACCUUCAAAUACUAGUUAACUCCUAAACUUUAAACCAUAGUUAACUCAUAAUUAAUUAAACAUGCUUAAACCAUAUAUCUUAAAUUAACCAUAAACCUUAAACUAUAAUGAUAAUUAAUUCAAUAUUUUAAAUUCAAUACUAUCUCUUUUAUGAUUAUAUAAGAAAAUAUUUAAUAUAUUGUAUAAUCAUAAAUUUUAAUAAUUAUUGUUUUAGGAGUUAUAGAUUAGUGUUUAUGAUUUUUUUGAGGUUUAGGGGUUAUGAGAUUUUUAGCGGCGUUUUACGAAAAGCGCCGCUGAUGCUCUGGUGUUUAGCGGCGUUUUACGAAAAGUGCCUCUAAUGCUCUGGUUUUUUGCGGCGUUUUAGGAAAAGCGAUGCUAAUGCUCUGGUUUUAGCAGCGUUUUUUCUAGAACGCCGCUAUUACUCAGAAUUUUAAAAUUUUUACGGCAUUUUUUAAUAAAACGCCGCCAAAAGUCUGUUUUCCUGUAGUGUCUAUAAAAAUCUACUUUGAUACCCUUGAACCAGCUUAAGCCCAAAACUUAUAUUCGAUUAGAAGCUCAAUUGAGUGAUUUUUCAAUUAAGAGCUAAUUGAUUAUUGAAUUAUUUUAGAGGGACUUUUUGUUAUAUUAAUUCUUUAUCUAACAAUUUCUAAAUUUAAGCAUGAAAGUCAACGAAAACAAAAUGUAUAUACUAAAUUAAACUUAAUUACCAAGUUCUAAAUAAUUACAUUAUUCUACCAAGCAAGAACCAAAAUCUUUCACACUCUACUGGGAUGGUAAGAAAUUCUAAACUCGAUGGAUUUCGACUUGAUCUAAUUCAACAAGAUCCAGAUUUUUUUUAAAAAAAAAAUUACGUUUUGGGAUGAAUUUAAUUUUUUUUAAUUAUUUAAGUAAAAGUUUAUGAAAAACCCACCACCUUGAGAUAAUUAUCAUAAUACUCUUAUAUAUAAUAUUAAUUUAAAUAUAUAAAAUACAAUUUACAUUAAUAUUAGUCCUAACAUAACUAUACCUAGAAAGCAAUGAACAAUAUCUUUAAAAUAACAAAAAAAAAUUAAAAAUAUUUUCGUAUUUUGAUAAAAUUAUUAAAAAAAAAACUUUAAUUUUCUAGAUCGGGUUUGACCCAGAUAAAUCUUGUCCGAAUAGAGAGGAGAAAAAAACCGCCCGGCUUGCCAUCUCUACACUCAACAGGAAACUCUUUCCCACACGCGAUCGCUAAGAAAGCAAUGGUAAAAGACGGCAAGCAAAAAAAGGUGGCUUGAUUGAAGGGUCCAACCCACGUGGUCUAAUCACUAAUGGCCAGCUUUGGGUCCUUGUCACCCUAGCGUGGUCUGACCAACAACACCCACCAAUGACCCCCAAACCCUUCUUCUAACACGUUAUAGCUGCUCUUUAUAUAUAGCAAUCGACCAUUCUCUUUUGCCAUAUUUGUUGCUCAAAGUCCAAAACCAUUGGAAGAAGAGGGGAAAAAUGGCCUUUUCAACUAGGUGCUGCCUCAACAUGUCCCCUCCAACCCCAAAUCCACAGUUAGACAACUCUUGUUCCAACAUCAAAGGAUCCCAAGUUGCAUGGUGAGUCCACAUAAAACUUUAUAGAAUAUACUUUUCGCGAAUCGUAUUCAAGUUUCGUGGUUAUCAUUCUCAAAUGUAUAUUACCAUUGCUCUCAAGAUUUUGACAUUGAAAAAGUUAUUUUUUAUUAUCAAGCCAAGGAACGAUAAAUGGAAAACGGGAUGUGUAGUAGGGUUAGCCUGCAUGAUAAUUGGAUUAGAAGCAAGUGACGUAAGUAAGACAAGCGAGGUCGCUGAAGAGAUUCCAACGGUUAUUGUUUCGGAAUCGAAUUCAAGAGUAGCGAGGUGGAGUGACAAAAGAAUGUGCCCUCCGUGGCAGGCUAAUUCUUUGGAAACGAUUGUGCCGGAGAAUCUCCCGAGGCCAUCGGCUCGUCGGAAAUGGGAGGAUAUCGGUUUCUCAAACAAUGCCCCAGCAACCAAAGUGACAAUAGCUAGGGAAACAAGAGCUGGUUGCUUCUCUAUGUAAUCUACAUUGUUGUAUACAUCAAAUCAAAUACCUUUUAAAUUGUGACAUUAAUGGUAUAAAUGGUUAAAUACCAAAAUUUCAUAAUUUGGUAUUGUUGUUUUCAAUAGGAAUUUGGGAAUUGCAGUACUCGUUUGGUGUUAUUUGAGUUUGGUUUAGUAGUACACAUGCAGUACAAAUUGAAUGAAAUAUGCCUCAAGUCCUUAUACUUUUCAUACAUUUGAAUAUAGGCCCUCUAUUUAUAUUUUUAGAAAAAUUUAGUCUAUCUACUUUUCAAAUUUAAAAAUUCAAUUUCAAUUGUUAAUAACAUUAAAAUUUUUCUAUUAAUUUCAUAUCUGUUACAACCUCAAUUUUAUUCAUUUGUAGGCUACCAAGUUUUUUUUUUUUAAUUUCAAAAUAUGAUACAAAUGAAUUUAAUAGAAUACUUUUAACGUUAUUAACAAUUGAACUAGAACUACUCAUGGGUUGGGCCACUUGUCCCAACUUGAAGGCCCACUCGAAAAGUGGGCGGGUUUGGGCAAAAAUAUAGGCCUAAAAAAUGGGCUUCGGCAAAAAAAAUAAGAUCCAUUUUUAAAAAUGGGUCAGGCCUCAAGUAAGAAAUUUUUUGCCCUGAACCUGACCUGGCCCGGCCCGAAUUCACUAAAUGACAAAAAAAACUGCUAUUUUUUAUUUUUAUUUUAAUGAUUUUUUUGUUGUUUUCUCUCUAUUUUGCUACCAUUUCAUUACUAUGGUGCUACUAUUUUAUUGUUAUUAUUUGGAUAUUCUAUAACUCUUGUUUUAAUUUUAAUUUUGUUAUUAUUUUGGAGACAUUUUCUUGUUAAGUUGCAUCUAUCUUAAUUUUAUUUGAGUAUACAUAUUUUUUAAAAUUUAUUUUCAAUUUGUUCGGAAAUAUUUAUUUUAAUAUUUUUAGUAUUUUUGAUGUAUUAUAUAUAUACAUUUAAAAAUUAUGUAAAAAUAAUAUAAUAUAAAAAAAUUAAUAUGGGCGGACCGAGUCAGGCCCAGGUUUUAGCAUUUUUAUCUGAGUUGGGCUUGGAAAAUUUUUAAGCCCAUUUUUUGGGCCGGCCUAGGCUCGAGCCUAGCAAACAGGCCUAAAAUUUUUACUUAGGCCAGACCCAAACUUGGCCCGGCCCGGCUCAUAAUCACAUCUAAAUUGGAUCUUAAUUUUUAAAUUUGAAAAUUAAAGGGACAAAAUUCCUAGAAAUAAAAUAUAAGAACUAAAUUACAAAUAUUUAAAUAGUACAAGGACUUGGAGCAUAUUUUAACAAAAUAUCUUAAUAUCUAUGGAGCAGCUGUGGUGGACUCAUAUUCUUGAGUUCUUUGGCCCAUGGCUUGAGAUUUCAAUUUUUGGGUUUUACUAUUAAGCCGAAACUGAUAUUUUUAAGCUAAUUAUUUUUUUUAGAAAUUAACAUAAUUAAAAAUUUUAAAACUUUAUUAUUUUAUUUACAUGUAUUUAAAUUUUUAUUAGUUUUUUAUCCAUGAAUGAUUAGGUUAAUUUUAAUUAUUUAAUAUAUUUUUAAAUAAAAAUAUUUAUUAAUUUUAAAAGUUAUAAUUAAGUUGUUUUAAAAUAAAGAUUAAAAAAUAUUGUCUUAAAUUAUUGUUAAAAGUUUUAAUAUAAAAGAGUAUGUUAUGGAUAUUAUAUAUGAUAUUAUAAUAGUUAAAAAAAUAAGAUAAAUUAUUAAAAUAGUCACUUUUGUUUAUCUCAGGUUACAUUUUAGUCACUUAUGUUUGAAAUGUUACUUUUUAGUCACUUACGUUAUCAUGUUGUGACAUUUUAGUCAUUGAGCCGUUAAUUAUUAUUAAUGGUGUAACAGUAAGCUGACGUGGCAUGUUAAAUCAUUAUUUCAAACAAAAAAUUUAGGUUAAAUUCUACAAUUGGUCCUUAUAUUUUUUUCAUUUUGAGUAAUUUAAUUUUUUCUUUUAUGUUCUUUUAACUUUCUUUUUUUUUUCCUCAUUCUCUUCUGCUUCUCUCUAUGUUUUCCUCCCUUCUCCAUUUCUUUUAACGUAAUUUUUUUAUGUUUUUCAUUUGUUAAAACUAGUCCCUAUACGUUUUUUUGAACAGUUUAAUUUUUUAGAGUGAGGCAAGCUUGUGGAUUAGUUUUAACAAACGGAAAAUAUAAAAAGACUAUGUUAACUUUAAAAAAAAACCUAUAUCUUCUCCAUAACCCUGUUAACGCAAGCCCUACACAUCAUCUCCUUCACAUUUUUUGUCACAAUCAUCACCAACCGUAGUCUAAUCACCUUCAAGCCUCUCACCACCAUUGUGCCAACCAAGCUCUCAUCAACCUCCAAUAUAAUCACAAUCAUCAUCUUUCCUCGUAUUCAACCUUUACUAACUAAAUGCACACACCACCACAUCUCAUACUUAGGUUUUGCUUGGUAAAAUGAAAAGAAAAUUGAAAAUAUUAAAAUUUGAAGGAAUGGAAAAAUAGAAAGAAAAUAUAAUUUUUCUUUCCAUACCAUAGGCGUACUUGGUAGGUAAGUUAAAAAAAUUGAAAGAAAAAGUAAUUUUUUUUCUAUUAAUUACUUGGCAAAGUUGAAAAAUAGAAGGAAAUGAAAUAAAACAUUUGAAAAAUAUAUAAUUUUGAACUAGCAUACACCCCUCUCUCAUUUUCUCUCCUCUUAUCAUUCCAAUUUGAAAGGAUUGGUUUUUAUGCAUUAGGAUGGGAAAUUAUCGUCUCUCCUAUUUUCGUUUCUCACUUUUCUUCUCUACCGAGCACACUCAAUUUUUUUCUUUCCAUUUUUUGAUUCUCUCCUUCCAUCUCUCAACUUCUCCACCCAACCAAGCACACUCUUAGUUCGAAUCAUCACAAUAAUCAAAUAAAAGAAAAAAAGUCAACAUAUAAAAAUAUAUAUGAUGAAAAAAGACGUUAAGGUCAAAUACCACAUUGAUAAAUGGAAUUAAACUUCAAGUACCGAAUUUUAUAUUUUGAAAGUAGAUGUACCACAUUAAAACAAACCCUAAAGUAUGAGGGUCAUUUGUGUCAUUAUCCCUAAAUUAAUUAUAAAUGUGUAAAAAUAUUUUUUUAAUGUUCUAUAACGAGUAACGACCCACUUACACUAAUAUAAAACUAUGGUUGUUUUACAUAUUUUUCUAAUAUUUUUUUUGUAUGAUUAAUAGCUUUUAACGAUUUGACUAUCAUAUUUUAUCUUUUGCUGGCGUAAAUCAUAUAUGUCGAAUUUUAAUUAAAUUAAUAUUGCCCAACUAUUUAUUUGAUAUAAAAUAUUUUAAACUGUUAAAUAUAUAUUAAUAAAAUCAAUAUUCUCAAUUGAUAUAAUAAAGAUAUCAAAUCGGUUUGAACUUUUACAUACAUAAUAAUAACAAUUAUAUUAAUAAACUCAAUAAUUCUAAACAUUAAAAAAAAUUGAAAUCAAUUUACAGAUUAUAUUAAGAUAAGUAAAAAUGAAUCAUUAUAUCAAGUCGAACCAAAUCCGAUUCUCAAUAUUAAAAAGAUUUGAAAUAAAAUCUCAACCUAACUCAACCUCACUCAUGAUGUGUUACUAGACCUGUCCAUGCUCGGCUUGUCCGAAAAUUGUGAGGGUUUUGGUAAAAAUAUAAGUAAAAAAAUGGGCUUUGGUAAAAAACUAAGGCCCGUUUAAAAAACGGGUUAGACCUUGGGUAAUACUUUUUUGGCAUGGGCUAGGCCCAAUCCAAAUUUACAAAAAAAAAAUUGUUGUUUUCUUGCUAUUUUCUCACUGUCUUGCUACUAUUUUACUAUUAUAUUGCUAAUUUUUGUUAUUGUUUGGAUAUUGUAUAACUUUUAUUUUAUUGUUAAUUUUACUACAAUUUUAGAGACAUUUGCUUAUCAAGUUGCACCUAUGCUAGUGUUAUUUAAGUAUAAAGAUUUGUUAAAUUUAUUGAAAAAUAUUUAUUUUAAUAUUUUUAGUAUUUUUUAUGCAAUAUAUUUUUUAAAAAAUUAUAUAAAAAAUAACACGGACAAAUUGGACCCGAAUUUUAACAUUUUUGUCUGAUUCGAAUUUGGAUAAAAUUUUAAGUCUAUUUUUUGAAUCGAUCCAAACCUAUUAAAAGAGCCUAAAAUUUGACAAGACUCAACUCGAACCCGACUCCACUUAACCAUGAAGAAAUCUUCGUGUUACCCCCAAUAGAUAAUGUGGUGAGAUUGAAAUUUGAAGAACAGUUAGUAGCCUUUAAAUCCACGUGCACCUCUACCCAACUUAGCCAUUUUGUAGUGUGCUGCUAGCCAUUCAAGGUCAAAGCUCAAUAUCCACCGUCCGAUCCUUAAAUUAUCAUCAAACCCAUCUCUAUAAUAGAAAUAGAUACUAAUAUGGUCUACUUUAUAAUGGAAGUAAAUUAAAACAGCUAAUAAAUGGGGGCAGUAAGUAUCUCCUGCAGCCGCAUCUAUUCUACGAUUUGUUAGGAUCUGAUCAAAUACCGUUCGAUCUUUCCUUAACCGGAAAGAGUCAGUAGUUGAUCGAGUACGCUUGCGGUGGGUCCCCCUUUUAUCAACACCUUCCUAGCUGUCCUCUUUUAUCUUUUGAAAAAAUCAGUUUCACUCGCAUUUUGGAGAGAACGUCAACUCACGCUCAUCUGAAAUUAUUUUUCAACAUAAUCACAAAUUUAGCCCUUACCAUUUAUCUAUUCUAUCACUUUGGUCCUAAUUCUUUUUUCAAAUUACCAUAACUCUCAACUUGCAAAGUUUAGUCAAAUUUCUUUUUAUUGGAUUAAAAAUCUGGAUGAAUUAUUGAUGUAAUAUAUUUAAUAAAAAUUCAACAAAAUAAAAAAAUUUACCGACAUUAACUAUGUAUACGUAUGCUACCACAUAAGCUACUAUGUUAGUGCUAUUAAAAUAUUAACAGUUUACUCAAUUUUUCCAUCCGAAAAAAAAUCAAUUUGACUAAAAUUUGAAGGUUAAAAGCCAAAGUGAUCCAAAGAAAAAAAUUAUGACCAAAUUAAUCAAAUUAAUAAAUAUUAAGGGUUAAAAUUGUCAUUAUACUAUUUUUCUUAACUUAAAGGGAAGUUACUUUUAAAUUUAGAUUUUUAUUCUACUUUUUGAAUAUAGAUUUUAUUAUAGUUAUUUGAAUGUAAUAUUAUAAUUGCUAUUUUGUUAGUAUUUUUUUUAACAAUCUCAUGAUUGUUAGAUUUUGAUUAUAUCUGUUUUUUUUAAUAUAAUGCCUAGAACUACCCAUUUAAACUCAUAUUCUCCUACAUUGAUAAUAAUACCUAUGUCAAUUGAGUUAAAACUCAAUCGACAUUUUGACAGUAACUAAAAUAACUUUUAUCUCCAAUUGUUUUCAGGGGCAUAAAUACAAUUACAAAUAUUAAUUUAAACCCGAUUUCAAUCAUUAUAAAAAAGCAUAAUUAAAUUGGAAUUGGAAUAUUUUCAAGAUUAAAUCAAAAUAAAUCAUUGGAAAAACUUAAAUUUGUAUUUAUGAUAUAUAAUUAAAAUUAAUGGAAUAACUAUUCCUUUUUCCUAACAAAUUGUCCAGCGCAGUAGUUGUCCAAUAAAUUUGAAUUGGUACCCAAUAAUUGAAUAAUUUUGAAAUAAUUUGGAAUUAUUUUUCUGACACUUGCCUUUGCCUACACAACUUGACCAUCCAUGACCAUAAAAUAAAGUUCUAAUUAUGCCACAGAUCCCUGCAUUUCAAUUAAAUUUGAGAUGUAAUCCCUAUAUUUUUUUAAUAUAACAUUUAGAACUACUCACAAUCUCUUCUCAAUCCUUAAAUAGAACGAUAAACCUAUCAUAUUAAAUAUCAAUUCUGUCCAGAUUUAUACUGAUAUUGGUCCAAUUAUAUUCCAAUUUUUUGAUUGUACUUAGUACUAAGCUAACUUUAGCUAUUCCAAUCACAUAUUUCAAUGGAAUAAAGCAACAUUUAGUCACUGAAUUUGGUAACUCUUUCCAAUUCAGUCUUGAAACUUGUUAAUUUUUUUUUCAAUUUGGUCUCUGAACUUAGAUUUCAUUAAAGUGUAACCUUAUAACACUUUGAAAUCGCAUCAUAUCUUCAGUUGGAAUUUCAAAAUAAAUAAUCUAAAAAAAUAAAAAUAAAAAUUGUAAAGAAAUUAUAAUUUUUUUAAAAAAAAUCUUUAAGUGAUAACGUGGUACAAUCUUAAAGUAUCAUGUUAUCAUACAUUAAAGAAAUGCAAAUUCAAGGAUCAAAUUGAGAAAAUCUUCCAAGUUUCAAGACUAAUGUGCACGAAAAAUGUUCAGAACUCUAGGUGAAAUAAGUUUCUAAGUUGAAGGACUAAAUGUUAGUUUAUCCCUAUUUUAGCAUAGCCUUCAUAAAUCUAUUGGGAUCCGCGCGUGUCUUUCACAAUAAAUGGUAAGCAAGUGAAGAUUCAAAAUCCAAACAGCCACGACAGUACUUCCAAAACAGUGUAAGAAAAAUUAAAUGACAAAAAAGAAAUAGAAGCUAUUGCUAAUAUCAAAUCGCCGAUCAUCAAAAUAGUUAUCUCUCUAAGCUAAAAAAAAAAACCAUGAGAAACCCUACGAAAAAAGACAACGUUGGAACCAAGACGACGCCGUGUUGCAGCAAAGUAGGGUUGAAAAGAGGGCCAUGGACGCCGGAAGAAGACGAGUUAUUAUCUAAUUACAUCAACAAAGAAGGCGAAGGACGGUGGCGGACUUUACCUAAACGGGCUGGUCUUCUCCGAUGCGGAAAAAGCUGUCGUCUCCGAUGGAUGAAUUAUCUCCGACCUUCUGUUAAACGUGGCCAGAUUGCUCCCGAUGAAGAAGAUCUCAUCCUCCGCCUUCACCGCCUUUUAGGGAAUCGGUAACUUUUUCCUCUCUUUUUUUCUAUGAAUUUCAUUUUAGGGUUUUGGAUUAGAUAUCUGGAUAUCUCAAGAUAAACUGUCUAACUUAAUUCGACUUCAAAUCUAAUUAGAUUCAAUGCAGAAACCUCGAAUCUUAUACAAAAAAGUUGUAGGUCUAGGGUUUCAGUGUUUUAGGGUUCUAAAUGGAUUCAUUUUGUAAUCAUUUUUUGCAUACGGUUUCUAUAUAUAUAUACAUGUAUGCGUGUGUACGUAUAUGCAACAUGAAUGAAUGAAUUUGCUGGGUUUGUUAUGUAGGUGGUCACUAAUAGCUGGAAGAAUACCAGGGCGUACAGAUAACGAAAUAAAGAACUACUGGAAUACUCACCUGAGUAAGAAAUUGAUAAGUCAAGGGAUCGAUCCUCGAACGCACAAGCCUUUAAACCCUCAACAACUCUCACCAUCACCACCAUCACUCAAACCUUCACCUUCUUCAUCAUCAUCCAUGGCGAAACCAAACAAUCCUCCUUCCCCUCUUCCUGUUCAUGUCGUCAACGCUAACAAGCAAAAUGAUUAUGACGAUGGGAGCAAUGAAGACCAUCAAGGGAUGAUCAUGAACAAUGACCAUUAUCAGCAACAACAAGAUCAUGAUGAUGAUGUGUUCUCUUCUUUUCUGAAUUCAUUGAUAAAUGAAGAUGAUGAUGCAUUGGUUUCGAAUUUGGGACUCUCACAAGGAUGGGAAUCUACUCCCUUCGAUCAACCAAAAUGACCCAAUAGAGGGUUUGAUGAUGAAUGUUAUUUAUAUAGUUUUUUUUCAAAGUGUGUUGAUUGUAUGUUUAAAUCAUGUUGUUGCCAAACUUAAUUCAUCAAACCUGAUGGUUCUUUUUAUGUUUGUUGUGUUUGAAAGAAACAUAUGAAUGUAUUGUUUCAAACAAAGAUAUAUAUAUAUGGAACACUACUUUGAUAUAUAAACUUGUAUUUGGAUGCAUUUUCUUAAUCAAAGUUGAGUUUAUAUUUAAUGUACUGAUAGUGUAUAAUUCAGUCAAAUAUCAAAUAAUGAUAGUGUCGUUUAAAAUGAAGUUAGUUGAAUUUUCUUUGAAGAAACUUUCGAAGAACACUAUUAACACAUCAAAGUAUAAACUUUUAAAAUAUUUCUAAGGUAAAGUUUGGAAUUUUGUUUUUUGAAAUGCGGAUUUGGGUUUCAAAUUUAGUGUAAAGCAAGUAAAAACGCACCUAGAAAUAUAACCUUAAUAAACUAUUAAAUACUUAUUUAGUAAUGGAUUUGAAAUUCAAGGAGGAAUUCAUGAACUUGAGAAUUCCUAUUUUUUUAUAAUUUUUAAAUACAUAGUUAUUUAUAAUAUAUGCAUUUCAUAACUUCAUGUUCCCAAAUGCUAAUUUCGUCAAAUACAUUUCAUUUGCUAACCUUAGCUCUAAUACAUAUUUUUAGGCAUUUUGAUAAUUAGAUUUUAGGGAUUAAUGGGUGUUUUACUUGGUUUAUGAAGAGUUUUUCAAGUAUUAGAUUUUUUUUUUAAAAAAAAGGCAUUCUACACUCAAAUAAUUGAAAUAAUUAAACAUUUUAACAAUUAAUUAAAUACAUUAUCAGUACAUUAAAUAUAUAUUAUUUGGAUUAAAUUUAUAUAUAUAAUGAGAUUUUAUUUUUAAUAUAUAUUUUCAUCUUCCCUUCAAUAAUUGAAACCCUAAACCCUAUUUUUUUAAAUAAUUAAAUGAUUAUCAAAUAGUUUCUCUACAUUAAGUUUUUACAACACUUUAAUCCAUCCAAAUUAUCGUUUACUCAUGCAAAAUGGUGUAGAACAUUGUUGAGUAACAAUGAAAACAAAGACAACAAGCAAAGGCCAAAGGACUAAAUUAAAACAGCAAGCAAAGCAAAGGGAUUGAUAAAUAAAGGUAAAUAUCAGUAAAUCUUCAAAAAAAUAAACCCUAAUUGUAGGUCUACUUUACUCUCAGUAUUAAACUACCGGUCCUUUUAAUUGGUAGCUGGUUUCAUUUUGUGCUACCUAAAUUUUCAUAGCUUCUACGUACCCGCUCUUCCAUGCAAAAAUAGAUUUUUAAAAUCGCCUAACGGUCAACGCUAUAUCUACAAAAAAUAAAUUUUUUUUAGAAAUAAUAACUAGUAAUUAAAUUAAAGCGUAAUUUGUCGAUUGAGUCUUAACUCGAUUGGUAUUAGUAUUAUUGCCAAUACAAGAGAACUUGGGUUCAAAUGUGCUGAAAUGCAUUAUUUUCUUAUUUAUAGGUUGGGUGAGGUUAUGAGUAGUUUUAAGUAUUGUGUCAAAAAGAAAAGAUAUAAUCAGAACAUAUAAUGAGAUUGUUCAAAAAAAUUAAAAUGCAAUUUUUUAGAUUAAUAAUAAUUUCGUAACAAGUCAAUUGGGCACCAACUCAAUUAAGGGAGUUUAUAAAAUCAACAAAUUUAUACUUUUCAAAUAUAUAAUUAUUCAUAAUGUCUACAUUUUAUUCCUACAAUUCAUAUAUCAGAAAAAAUUUAAAUCUAAAAUUUCAAAUUCAUGUUCCUGAACACAACAUGAGUUAAUUGAUCAAAACCAUUAAUUUCAUUUGUUAAUCUUAGCUAAUAUAUAUACACACAUUUGAAGAACAUCUGAAGGUAAUGGGAUUAAUGGUUGUUUUGAUUAGUUUAUGACGAGUUUUUCAAGUAUUAGAAGUAAUUGAUUUUAACACUAUAUUAUUAUUAUUUUUUUAAUUACAAGAGGAGAGUAAAACCCUAACAACAAAGCGACUAGCGCGACUCAAACCCAUAUUACACUUGGGAUAAUAAAUACCCCAACUUUCAGACCAACACGUGGAAUUCUAAAACUAUAUUAUUAAAUUUGUUAAAAUAUACAUAAUUCAUUUUUUGGAUUAAGUUCUUAUAUAUAGUUACAAGUCAAAACUUCUUAAAUGAAAGUACUAGAAUAAGCAUAUUUAAUGAAAUUUUGUUUUGUAAUAUAUAUUUUAACUUUCCCUUCAAUAAUUCAUAAAUAUAUAAAGAGGAGAAUUAUUGUUCUUUUCCCAUUUUUAUGUUAAAAUUAAUGAUAUGGUUUAAUAAAGUUGAGUCUUUAAAAAGAUUUAAAAAAAUAAUUAAAUUAGUAUCCUAUAGUUUAUCUAAGAUAAACCUUAAAUCCUAACCUAAACGGGCCGAUCAAAUCAGUUGGACCCACGACCAGUUGUCUGAUCAGUUUAAUCAUCGGUAUAAUUUUAAAAACCUUAAAAAUUAUAUAAUUACUCUAUUUUUCUAAGAGAAAUUGAAUAAAAAAAAUUUUCAAAGGACUAAAUUAAAAACAACAAGCAAAGCAAAAGGAUUAAUAACAGGGGUUGAUCUAAGGGGGGCUGGCAAGGGCCUCGGCCCCCCUAAAAUGAAAAAAAUUCCAUUUUAACUCUUUAUAGUUUAUAAAAUUUAAAUUAGUAAUGGUAAAAUUAUACUUUGCCCCCACAAAAAUGAUAAAAAUUUGAUUCAAUCCUCUAAAAAUUAUAAAAAUAUAGACUAUUAAAAUUGUGAAAUUAUAUUUUUACUAUCAUAAAAUAUAUAAUUUAAUUCUGCCCAAAAAAAUUUCUAAUUUCAUCCUUGACCCUUAAAUCAUAUUUCUAGAUCUGCCACGAGUUAAUAAAUAAAGGUAAAUAAUUUUUAAUUACUUCAAAAAGAAAAAAAGAACCCUUAAUUUUAGGUCUACUUUAGGCUCAAAAUUAAACUACCAGUCUUUUCAAUCGGUAGCUGGCUUCAUUUUGUGCUUACCUAAAUUUUUUGUAGUUUCUACGUACCACCUGUUCUUCCAUGCAAAACACAAUUUUCUAAACCGCCUAACGGUCAACCGUUUUAUCUACGUAAAAUAAAGUUUUUUAUUUUAGAAAUAUAUUAUUAGUAAUUAAAUUAAAGUAGAAUUUUUAGGUAAAUAAUAAUGUUACUUAUGUUAACAGGUUAGUUAAGUUGGAGAUCCCGAGUCAAGUUUGAGUUUUAUUAUGCUUAAUUGCAAUGUGUGGAUUCAGGAAUGAAUCUAAUUUUUUUUUUAAGAAGAGCCAAAAUUUAAUUAUAAACUUUUGAGAGGUCAAAAUAUAAUUUUAUCAUAUAUUAAUUUAUAAUUUUAUUAUUUUAGAGGUGAUUAAACAAGUAAUUUUCCAUUUGGGGAUCCUUUAAAUUUGCCACUGCGUGGAUCUCGAGUCCCAUCAUGUACAUAUAUCAUGUAUGGGUUUUUUUUUUCUUCUGGUUUUCUUCAUCUUUUGUGUUUUAUAUAUAUUUGUUUGAUUCUAUAUUAUAAUUAUUCAUAUAAAUAUUUAUAUUUAUAGUAUACUUGUAAAUGUACCGUAUUUGUAAUAGUAAAACUUAAAAAAUGUUAUUUAUUGAUAAUUCGAUGAAAUAGAAUUAUUUUAAUUUUUUUAUAGCCAAAUACAAGCUAAGUUGUAGAAAUUUUUAUUUUAAGUUUUAUUUAUCUAUUAUUUAUCUAAAUUGAUUGAUUUUUUUUAGAUUGAAUUAGGUAUUAUAGGUAAUUGUUCAUAAACAAUAUAAGAUGGAGACCUAUAAUAAAUUUGAUGAAAUAAUUUGUUGAUAGGAUAGGUAUAUAUACCUUUUAACCUUAUGAAAUCAUGAUUAAAGUCGAUUUUUAAUGUAUUGUUUUAAUGUUAAUUAGGACCAUAAAUGAACUGACGUAAACAAAUUUAUAUUUAUGUUUGGUUCAUAUUUAUUGAAAAUUUUAAAAUAAUAUUUGUGUUCGUUUAUUUAAACUUUUGUGUGUUUAUAUUAAUUCGUUUAAGUUAAAUGAAUUUAUUCCUAAAUAUUAAACAAACAUAUUCUUGAACAUAUAACUAAAUAUAUUCACAAAUAAUAUUCAUGAAUAAUAAGAUAUAAAUAAAAUUAUUAUUCACGAUUUUAUUUAUUUAAUAUAAACUAAUAAAAUCCCAACUAUUCAUUAGAAGCUUUGUCUAUUUACUGACCCAAUAUUAAAUUAUUAAUUAUAGCGAAUUGAGUUAGGAGGCAAUUUUAGGUUGACUAUUCAAUAUUUUCAUUAUGGCAUAGAGAAUUCUAAAUUCUUAAAUCUUCAUAGAAUAAAAAUAAAUAAAAUUUAUUUUUAAUAAAAAUAUAAUAUAAAACAAUUUUAUUGUCAGAAGGGUUCUUUUAUUAAUAAAAUAAAAAAGUUGAUAUUUAAAAACUAUUUAAAUAAUUUCUUUUCUUUGGACUUUAAUUUAUGAAUUUUUCAAUUUUCCAAAACAUUGAUAAAUAGAAUGAAGAUUUUUUUUAUUUUUUUUAAAUAUUUGUAUGUUAAAUUUUUUUAAAAAAUAAUUUUUAUUUUCUCAUAUCAAACACAUAAUAUUGUUUAAAUUUAAAUUAUUAAUUUAUUUCAAUUAAAGUAUUUUACUUGGUAUUUAUAUUACCAACUCUUAAGCCUUACACAUGGGAAACUUUCCACGCUAUGAGAGGGUUGGUCAACACACACAAAAAAGUAUUUACAUAACUAGGCCAGAAAUCAGAAUUUUUUUUUUGGCGGAAUUAAGUUGUAUAUUUUUAUAAAAGUAAAAAUAUAUUUUUAUUAUUUUAAUAGCUGUAUCUUUAUAAUGUUUAAAAGACUAAAUCAAUUUUUUUAUCAUUUUAGAGGGAGCAAAGUGUAGUUUUACCAUUACUAAUUUAAAAUUUUAUAAAUUAUAAAAAAAAAAUUCAUUUUAAAGGGGUCAGGCUAUCUGCAAAAGUUCAAAAUAUCUAAUAUUUGAAAAGGUUUUGACAAAAAUAUUAAGCCUAAAAAAAUAGACUUGAACAAAAAUUAAAUGUUUAAAGUAUGAGUCGAGCCCAAAUUCCAACAUUCAAGGCCAAAGCGUAACCUAUUUCAAUCUAUUUUACUUAUGUAAUAUAAUGUAUCUAACACUACCCAAACAUUAAAAAAAUAUGUUAUCUAUAUGUUUAAAUUUUUAAUUCAAGUUUAUAAAAAAAAUUUAAAAAUAACUCAAGCAUGCCUAAAAUGAGUUUGGGUUACUCAUUUACAAACAUGGAAGAACUUGAACCAAGUUCUAAGUCCAUAUUUCGGGUCGAGUCAAACUUGAACAAGUAUAAAGUAUUUUAAUAUCAGACAUAGGUCUAGCCCAAAUUUGAUUAGGCUCAACCAUAAACACCCUAUAAGUCACACGAAUAAACAUAUUUUUUGAAAUUAUAUUUAAAAUGACAUUCAUUAUAAUUAAAAUAAUUUAAUAAAUUCAAAUUUAAAUCAUUUUAACACUAGCAAUAAAAACUAUACGUGAAAGUAUAAAUUAAAACACACACAACUUCCUCAAAUGUUUAUAAAUUAAAAUUAUAAAUUCAUUUCUACUAUGUAAUGAGUAAAUAAUCAUCAAUUUCAUACUUUUAAUCUUAUUAUAUAAUGUAAAAAUAUAUAUAUAAUAAUUCUCCCACGAAGAAAAUCGAAAUUAUUGUAACAAUAAUAAUUACUUUUAAUUAAUAUCUGAAAUUAAUGUAUUUUUAUAAUUAUUUUGAUCUUUUUUUCAACAUUUUGAAGUUCUUUUACAUUUAUUUGUGCCAAGCAAAAACAAAGUCAAAAUUCACCAUUUUUCAACAAAAUCAUCAACCACAAUGUUAUGAAAGAACAAUAAGAGAUGAAAUAAAAUAUAUAUAUAUAAAUGAAAAAAGAAAAUAAAGAACAAUACUAACCUGGAAAAAAAAACCUUGUUUAGCGGUUUGAUCCGGCUCGUUUUUCAAAUUUAACCAUGUUCCAAUAUGAUUAUCGAAUAUCGAAAACGAUUUCCGAACUAAAUGCAUUCACAUGUAUUUUUGAAAAAUAAAAAAAAAUAAUUAUUAUGAACUUAAAAAUAUAAAGAAAAGAGAGAGAGAGAGUACAUAAGAAAGGAAGAAGAUUUUUUUGGGGGGUGUUUAAUGUAU
rnacentral:lncRNA from 1 species